rnacentral:lncRNA from 1 species
AGUGAUAGUGUUUUAUGACCUUCACAGGUAUGGAGCAAUGACAUUUAUGAUAGCUUAGUCCACAGAGUGGUCGUGAACUCUCAACUCGAGAGGUUCUCAAGCAUCCUUGCGGUUGUACCUUCUUACCAUACCAUUGUGAAGCCAUUAGAGGAGCUGGUUGAUGAAAACAACCCUGCAAAUUAUAAUGAAUACAAAUGGGGUGAAUACUUUAUGACAAGGAGGAUCAGCAAUUUCAUGAAGUUGGACAAGCCUGUGAUUCAGGUUGCAGACUUUAGAAAGUCCAAAUAAGCCACUCUCAUUGUGAGAUGUUUGCAAUGCUUUGUGCCCUUGCUUGCUCGCUCUUGCUUUCCUUUCAGCGUUUCUACUACUAAGGUCUUCCGUAUUUCUACUAAUAAGGCCUAUCUCUAGUGUUUGUUAGAAUAAGUGGCUUUGUUCCACAAAAUAUGUACCUGAUAAAUUAAAUAAAUUUGCAAUGAAAUAUGGUUUGUAUCAUCCUAUUGUAUUAAGAUUGACAAAUUUUGAUCACCCUCUCUCUCUCACACACAUACAGAACAUGCAUACCUCUCUAUAAACGUGCCUCUCUCAUCUCUCUCAUACGCAACAUAAAUCUAUUUUGAGAUUGGGCUAGGUUGGCUGUAGUACCAACGAGCUUUGCAAUAAAGUCUAUUACUCUAAGGGUAGGGCCCAAAUCCCCAUUGGCCUUUCAAAAAAAAAUAGCAAAUAACUUCUUUAAAAAGGGUUUUUAAGUGGAUUUUUUUUUUAAAUUUAUGUUUUUUUUAAGUGGAUUUAUUUUUCAAAAAAAUAUAAGGAAAGAACUUGUUCAAAAAGAAAAACCAGCAACUUAAUCUAAUACUUACUAAAAAAGAAAGGAAAGGAAAGGACGUGCUUCAUCAUCCUAAAAAACUGAACAAAAAUGGACUCUUAAUAUUUAUUCUAAUUUAAACUUACUAAAAAAAGGAAAAGUCAACCUCACAAAAGAGAAAGAAACAAAGUUUCCUAAAAAACAACUCAUGUAAAAGAAAGAAAAAAAAGACCUAAAAAAAACAUAAGUACCCGGUUUCUAUGCGGCCAGCCUUCAUAUAUAGAAAUGCGGGCCUUUUAAUAAAUCUAUUUUUUAAAUUGAUUUUAAGACUUAAUUUUUUAAGACAUGUAAUCUCUAACAUGGAGAUCAUGAAUAUAAAAAACCAAAUAAAUUUUAAAACUAAAAAUAAUAACUCUUGUAAGAAUACAUUUGGACCGUAAAUUUCCAUUGUUUUUAGAUGAAACACGUACUUGCAUCCAUCUUUAAGAUGGAUGCUUUACACUUUCUGGAUUGCAUAUAUAGAUAUGCGGUCCAGCUCGCAUGAACAAUUUUUUAAAAAUAAAGGACUUAUACUUUUGAAAAAAAUGCAUUUUCUUAAAAAAAUAGGUUUUUAUUAAACUAACCUAAAAAUCAUAUUUUUACCAAUUAACCCUAAUAAAAAAAAAAGAGUCAACCAACAUCUUUAAAAAUAAAAUUAAUAAAUUAAAAUUAAAUUAAAUUUAAAUUUAAAUUAAAUUAAAAUUAAAAUUAAAAUUAAAANNNNNNNNNNNNNNNNNNNNNNNNNNNNNNNNNNNNNNNNNNNNNNNNNNNNNNNNNNNNNNNNNNNNNNNNNNNNNNNNNNNNNNNNNNNNNNNNNNNNNNNNNNNNNNNNNNNNNNNNNNNNNNNNNNNNNNNNNNNNNNNNNNNNNNNNNNNNNNNNNNNNNNNNNNNNNNNNNNNNNNNNNNNNNNNNNNNNNNNNNNNNNNNNNNNNNNNNNNNNNNNNNNNNNNNNNNNNNNNNNNNNNNNNNNNNNNNNNNNNNNNNNNNNNNNNNNNNNNNNNNNNNNNNNNNNNNNNNNNNNNNNNNNNNNNNNNNNNNNNNNNNNNNNNNNNNNNNNNNNNNNNNNNNNNNNNNNNNNNNNNNNNNNNNNNNNNNNNNNNNNNNNNNNNNNNNNNNNNNNNNNNNNNNNNNNNNNNNNNNNNNNNNNNNNNNNNNNNNNNNNNNNNNNNNNNNNNNNNNNNNNNNNNNNNNNNNNNNNNNNNNNNNNNNNNNNNNNNNNNNNNNNNNNNNNNNNNNNNNNNNNNNNNNNNNNNNNNNNNNNNNNNNNNNNNNNNNNNNNNNNNNNNNNNNNNNNNNNNNNNNNNNNNNNNNNNNNNNNNNNNNNNNNNNNNNNNNNNNNNNNNNNNNNNNNNNNNNNNNNNNNNNNNNNNNNNNNNNNNNNNNNNNNNNNNNNNNNNNNNNNNNNNNNNNNNNNNNNNNNNNNNNNNNNNNNNNNNNNNNAGAUUCACCUAUUGCUUCUCCUUUGAGGCAUUUCUUUUUUUUCUUUGUCAAAUAUUGGUUUAAUCACACAAUAUUGAUCAUCAUUACAGAUUAAUCUCAUACAAAACCUUGAUCUUCAUCUAAGUAUGUAUCGAAAAUUGGUGGAAGAUCCCAAUUUAUAACUUGCAAAAUUUUGAUACAAUCGACGUCAAAAUCAGCCUCGUUCCAUUCAAAUCACGCAGAUCAAUUAAAUCUCAUAAUUUAUUCUCUUCAACAUGGGGCUCCCGACACGGAGCAUGCGCAUAGAACAUAUACUCGAAAAUAACUUCCGACUCACUACUAUCGUCAUAGUGUGUUACUACUUGGUUUUGUGCCAAGCGCUAGGUCAAUUCCUCAACUUGCCUUUUCAAGUCUUUUAUCUCAGUAUCUCGGAGGUUUGCUCUCGCUGGAUAGGCUUAUUCUCGAUAUCUGGUCGUAGACCAUGUUACAAGCGAUGAUGCCUUAUUGAUGAAGGCCACAAUCCACAAGAAUUGACUGAAGGCCACAAUCCACAAAAAUUAACAGGCGCUAAUAACCGGCAAAAGAAUCAUAGUUUUAGAAAGAAAUUAAGAAACUGACAAAAAAUUUGUAAGUAGAAAACACUGAUGUGGGGAUCCGAGAUCUACACCACAUACCAUCAACAAGAGUAGAAGCAAAGAAAAACAAGAGUCAUGCUCCCUCUUUCGCUCUACAAAAUAAUCGUUUUUUUUAUUCAACCAAAAUUCAUCAUCCAAUACAUUGUAUGUGUUCCUUUUUUAUACACUAAGAAACUUGCUUUCUAAAACUCCCUACAAAAAAGGAAGUCCACUACUUCAAUGUUAAUCCUAAUAGGGAUCUUUGUUAACCAAAAGAUAAGGAAAAAAACUUAUUCAAAAUAAGAAACUAUCAACUCAAUCUAAUAUUUACUUAAAAAAUAAAGGAAAGGAUGUGCUUCAUCAUCCUAAAAUAACUCAACAAAAACGGACUCCUUCAAAAGACAACUCCAAAUAUUUAUUACAAUUUAAACAUACUAAAGAAAAUGAUAAGUCAACCUCACAAAAGAAAAAAUAUCCUACGAAACAAAAGUACUCUAAAAUAAGAAACUUGUGCAUAAGAAAGAAGGAAACAGACUAAACUAGGCCUUAUUUGUAAGCUAGGCUUUGCGAAGGCACAUGAUAAGGUUGAUUGCGGGGUCCUGCACAGUAUCAUGGAUAAAAUGGGUUUUCGUUCAAGAUGGAGAUUGUGGAUUGAUGGUUGCAUAUCUUCUACCCAUUUUUUAGUUCUUGUUAAUGGCAAAUAAACAUGUUUUUUCAAAGCAUCAAGAGGAUUGAGACAAUGAGACCCUCUUUCACCUUUUUCAUAUACUUUGGUAGCUGAGAGCUUUAGUGUUACACUUAAUGGAUUGAUAGGGCAAAGGAUCAUAUCAGGUGUUAAUAUUAAUAAUAACGGUCUUGUAGUAUCACAUUUACAGUAUGCUGAUGAUAUCAUUAUAUUCUAUGAUCCCACGAUUACUGAAAUCACUUGCCUAUGGAUUUUCUUGAAAAGCGUGGAACUCUCAAUUGCACUUAAAGUUAAUUUAAGUAAAACCAAGCUUAUUGGUAUUGGCUGUCCACAAAUGGUAGUAUCAGGAAUGACACAUUUAUUAGGUUGUGGUGUUGAGUCAUUACCUUGUACUUAUUUGGGAAUUCCCUUAGUGGAUUCAAGGCCUUCAAGAUCAAUUUGGGAUUUGGUGGUGGAGAGAUUUGAGACGAAACUGGAUACUUGGAAAACUAAAACUCUUUCCAUGGGGGGAAGAUUUACGUUGAUUAAAUCCACUUUGUUUAACCUCCCAAUAUAUUUUGUCUUUAUUUAAAUGCCAAAAGAAGUUGAAAAAUAACUGGAGAGAGUUAUGAGAAAUUUCUUGUGGGGAGAUGACAUAAGAAGGAAGAGAUUUCAACUGUUGAGUUGGGAAAAAGUUUGUAGACCAAUGAAGGAGGGGGGAUUGGGUGUUAGGAGACUGAAACAUAUGAACUCGCCGAUUUUAGUAAAAUGGUGGUAGAGGAUCCAUACACAACCUAAGUCUUUCUGGGUUUUCUUAGAGAAAAAUAUGGAAUGGAUUUGAACUUUGGCCUUAUUAAAAGUCCAAGAAACAAGACAAGUUGGUCUCAUGUUUGGAGAGGUAUUGACUAUGAGAGAUCUGUGUAUCUAUGGCAAUUCUGAAAAAUAGUGGGGAAUAAAGAGUCCACUCUCUUUUGGUUCGACAAAUGGAUUGAAAAUGAACCGUUGAGAUACCUUUUCCUCGAGGUUUUCACAAAAGCUUUAAACUCGCUAGCAUCUAUCAAGGAGGCUAGUGGGGGUGCUUAUACUAAUAUUAUUUGGUCCAUUCCUUGUAAGUAUAGAAGAGGUACAGACAGAUUCAUUGAGGAGUAUCAAACAUUGUUGAAAUUAUUGAAUGACACAUAUUUGAUUCCAAAUAUGGAUGAUAACUUUAUUUGGGAUCUUAACCCUUCGAGAGACUUUUUGGUUAAGUCAACCUACAACCUAUUAUUUUCUGAUCGUUGGAGAGAAUUAGAUGCUGGUUUAUUUAAGAUUAAGAAAUUGUAUGUGCCUCUUAAACUGCAGUUAUUCUUAUAGAUCUUGUGUUAAGAUAAAUUAGCAACUGUUGACAACUUGAGAAAGAGGGGGUUUAUUAUCACCAAUGUAUGUAUCAUGUGCACAGCCAGUGAUGAAACUUUGUAACAUCUUUUCCUAUCAUGCCCUUUUGUUACUUAUCUUUGGGAUUGGGUUCACCAGUGCCUCAAUCUGUCAUUACCUUUGCACCAAAAUGUCAGUGCGCUUCUUGACCAAUGGAUCACACUCGAUAUUUUAGAGAUGGGAACUAUCCUCUAGAGAUCUAUUUGGGUUCGCCUUUUUUAGAAUGUGUAGAAGGAAAGAAAUAGAAGAGUAUUUGAUAGUAUAAGUGCAGAUAUGUCUAUAUUAAUAUCAAAUAUUUUGGCAGUUGCAGCUGAUUGGUUCCAUGCACAUAAGGAUAGUGGCUUCAUUCCUAAAAGUCUUAUCAUUAGCACUUCUUCGGUAGUGGUGAUUAUGGGUGUUUUCAUCAACACUCGUAGUGAAGUUGUUUGGAUACAACCACCAGUCAAUUCCUUCAAACUUAAUUUUUAUUAGAAUAUUUGAAAUUGCUAUGCACUUUGGAAGGGGACAGGAUUAUCGAAGGAGACUUGACAAAUGUCAUUGCGUAGAGUAAGAGAAAGGCCAAAAUACCUUGGAGAUUAAAGACUAUUUUUCAUCAAAUUUGAGAUAUUUUGUUAACCUCUAUGGCAACGAUCCAACAUUGUUAUAGAGAGGCGAAUGAAGAUGCCGAUGUUCUUGUUAAAGGAGGUGUCCAUUCUCCCUCUCUGUUGGUUAGUUCUUUUAUGUAAUAUUGUGACAUUGCUUGAACAUCUUGUAUUUUACAUAUGAAUUAAUAGUAAGUCGUACGUUGCCCUUCAAAAAAAAAGAAAGAAGGAAAUGGACCUAUUGUUUUACCUUUUAUCAACCUUAUUUCCUCUCAUGUUCUCAUUUUCUCUCUUUGUGCCCUCCAGCACCUUUUUCUCUCUCUGUGAUAUCGGAGCCUAUAGCUUCAACCUUUUAGUUUUUCCAUCCUUUGGCUUUACUGUUUCCCUUGUUUCUUUCCUCACUAUUCAUUCACAAAUUUCAUUGUUGAGUUUCCCUUUUCUCUCUUAACCCACUGUCAAGUCAAUAGUUUUUCCUUGAAAAUACAUACAUUUUGAGCCCAUAACAUAUAGGGAGUUAGUUCACAACUAAGCAUGGUGGGAUUCAGGUUUGAUUAAUUUCGAACAAAUUUGCACAAAUGGCUUGUGAGUGCAUCUAUGAUAACGUUUUUCAUAAAAAAGAGCGUAACACAAUGGGUUUUGGCGAGCCUUUACUAGAAUUUAAAAUUUUACAUUAUGAAAAUAAAGUAUCAUAUGUGAAAGAGAGAUCUGAUCAUACUUUGGGAUGUUCAUGAUCUUCAAAUUUUUCAUCCAGAGAAAAGGCAGAAAGAAAGGAAUGGGUUUCCACAUAUACUUAUCCAAUUUCAGUGACAGAAUCAUGGGAAUAUGUAUUUUACAGUAACCUCUGCCAAAAACUUUAUACCUUUUUUGAACGAUAUCUUCCCCUAAAAUACAAUUAUGCUUGUCUAGUUUUCAUAACAAUAUCAAAAAGGAAACUUUUGAAUUGGAUUUUAGAGUGACAAAGAACAAGUACGCUAUAAAAUGGAAGCUUAGAAUCGAAGAAGAAUCCAUUACACUUCUCUUUCUAAGUUUGAUGUAGAUGCAAGAAUUUUUGAAGAAGAAGAAAUCAUUUGGCAGAUAAAGAUGGCUUCUUGAGGAGACUUGGUUUCAGACGAAUAAAAAGAAGAAAGGAAAAAGAAUACGUACAACAGGAUUCGAGACUAAUCUCGCACGAGAUUAGUGGAAAAAUUCUCUCUUCACAAGUUAUUUAAGAUUAGGUAGAUUGGGGUCUGGUCGAGUUUCGAUCCAAAUGUGAUUUGGUCUUGUACCAGAGCUCCAACCUUCUUUGGAUCUUUUGUGCAAGAAAUAUUGGCACGAAAAUUGGGGAAUGCCUUCGGGGUAUCAAAGGCCACUCUUGUCCACCAUGUGGGGCCAAGAUGAUGUCCUUGUAGUGUCUCUUCAAAAUCUGGCUUUAUUCCACGCAGGCUUCCGUAGUCCUUAGGUUAUAAAGAGUGUGAUUGUAACCGCCUCCUCUCUUAUUGGCAUAGGGGGAGAGUGCAUAAAAAAUAUGGCCGAACACACUUCCCAUCCUUUCUUCGAGGAUCUCAUCCAUCAAGUGGAUAGGUUUGGAAACUUGCCCUCCUCUAAUCAGGGAAUCUAUUUCAUCUUUUUGUAGCUCAAUGGGGGCUGCCCUAGCGAGAGUGAUAUGGUGUUUUGGGGUGUUAUCCCCUUGUGUAUCUUGAUUGGAGGAAGAACCCCUCUCAUUGACCUGGAUCAUGUCAACUUCCAUGGUCUCGUUUUCAUAGUGAUCCCACUUAGGUGGGUUGUCAAAGUUGUCUUGCGAGGGAGGUUCCUUAGAAGAUCCAGUAAGUCUUCUUGGGUUCUUGAGCAUGAAGGUGACCAUCUUGAGGGAAUAUGAAUGGGGUCGGAUCUUUGCCUUCAACACCACUUCUGAUCUUAUGAAUAACAACAUUUCCCUUGGUGUUGUAGUGGAUCUCGGGAUUUUCAUUCAUUGUCGACGUGUUUUCGGGAAAGGGGUUCUCAAAUAUACCCAUAUUUUAAUUGGGUGCUUCGACAGGUUGGUUCUUCGGUGUAACAGUGAUGUCCCCCUUAUUGAUUAAUCUACGAAUGACACACUUCGAGUGGUAACAAGUAUGGGUGUUAUGUGCAUAGUUUCGAUGCCAUUUGCACCAUUUCAUCUUGUCCUUGACUGAGAAGGGUGGCUUGGAUGGUGCUAAGAGAUAAACGAAAUCUUUAGACCAGAGUAGUUCGAGCACCUUUUCCAAUAGGUCUUUGAGAGGAGUAAAAUUAUCCUCUCGUCUCCUAUUGUCAUUUUGAGAAUGACCAAUGGGUCACCUCCUCUGAUUUUGGUUUUGAAAGUUUUGCCAAGUGGCGGAGCCUUGAGCCUGCCGUUAAUAACAAUCUCAUUAACUUGGUCGGAAGUACUCCCUCUCUUGUUAUUAUUGUUGUUUCUGAGUGACUUAUUUUGGGGAGUGGUUAUAGGCUUGUUCUCGGGCUUUGUGCUAAUGGAAAUCCCCUGUGCCCUUUCAUGAAGUGCUACUCUUUUGAUCAUGGAGAUAAAAGAGUAAGGGAAAAGACCAUGAUUGAAUAACAUUCUAUAUUCGAAAGCAACAUUCUCCAAAGCUCUGGAGAUCUUUGCGGGGUCUGUGAGUGGCAUUCGAUAACCUGCAUCGCAGCCUCCCGAAAUCUGUUACUGAAAUCUUUGAAGGACUCUCCUAGAUUUUUCUUUGUUGUGCUUAUUCACCGAGGAAGAGAGCCCUUGGUGCUACCUCCCAGUAGUGGGAGGCAAAUUCUAAAAAUCUGAUCUACGUGACAUGCGGCUAUGUAUUCAUUAUUCUUCGAUGCCAGUUUAGAGUUUUACUGGACAACAUUUGUGAGAAUAUGGCUUUUAAUUGAUUAGGCCUAUCUUGCCAAUUUGGGAUAGAGAGAAGAUAUGUGUGGACAUGGGUGUCUGGAUCACAUUUUCCAUUGAAUUUGUUUCAAAAUUAUGACAUUAUGAAUGCAAGCAGACCUUCGUGUAUGCCCAUGAUAUAUACAAUGAAAGAACCACCACAAGAAUUGUGUGGGGCACAAUUAUUUUUCUCAAAAAGUUCCUCUCUCUCUCUCUCAAAUUUUUAAUGGUUUCUGAGCAAACAUUGAUCCAAUCUCUAUUUUUCAUGUUGUUCCUCAAUCCAAAGUAAGUCUCUCCCUCUCCAUUUCAUUUCAUGUUUCAUCUUGGAAAUUUUGUUAAAAAAAAAAAAUCCCUUUGGCUCGAUUUCAUAUUUCAUCUUUCAGUCAACUAACCCAUCGCUUUGCAUCUUUGCAUCCAUCAAUUUUUUUUUUUUUGCAUCAUAUUUCUUUGCCUCCAUUGUUUUGCACUCUUUGCCGCCAUUGUUUUGCAUUUUUUAAAAAAAAAAAAAAAUUGCAUCGUUUUGCACUCUUUGCCUCAUCGUUUUUCUUUGCCUCCAUAUCACCCAAGCAAGCCUCUCACGUCUAACCCAUAGUUCUAAUUUAAUCUUCGGCUUACACUCUAUUUUACACAUUGAAAAGCUCUAAAACUUAUUUGUCAAAAAAAAGAAAAGCUCUAAAACUUGCGCCCACCUUUUUUAGUCGAUCCAUCUAUCUUAAAAAGAUACCUCUUUAUUCUUAUGGACACUUCAUCCUCACCAAACAAAUAUCCCUAUCCCUCAACCUUGAAUAUAGAAAAUUUUGUGUCUCUUAAAUUGACACAGAAUAACUAUUUAUUAUGGGAAACUAAAAUUCUCUCUCAUUGAGAGUCAUAAAAUUUUUGAAUUCAUUAAUAGUGAUUGCUCUACACCAAGUCAAAAUAUUUCUUCUCUUGAUGGUAAGAGUGAAAUAAAAAAUCCAGACUACAAAUUAUGGCUAAAGUCGGACCAGCUUCUUAAAGCUUGGAUCACAUAGACAUUAUUACAAGAAUGUCUUAGCCUUGUUGUUGGCUUCAAGACCUCUAUAGAAGUUUGGAAACAUCUGGAGAAUGCUUAUGCAGGGAAUUCUCAAGCUAGGGAGUUCCAACUUACCCAACAACUUCGACUCUGCAAGAAAGGGAAUUCAACCCUCUCAGAAUACAUAUGCAAAUUCUAGAGUAUUUGUAAUGAUUUGGCGGCUAUUAGAAAAGAUGUACCAUAAGAAAAUAAGGUUAUUUAGCUUCUAAAUUGACUUAGUCCAAAAUAUGAGAGUUUUGUUGUCUAAUGCUUAAGCCUAUGAUUACUUCAUAUUCUAAAAUUAUACCACUUCUUCAAAGCCAUGAGAUUAAAAAUCAGCCCCAUAUCUUUGAAGAACACUCAUAUCCAAAUCAAAAUAUGGCCUUUGCUAGACAAUAGAGAAAUUUGGACCUAACAUAUGUACCAGAAAUUACAGAGGUAGAGGCAUACACAACUUUGGUGGUCAACAGGUUUCUAAUUCUCGAGGGUAUGGAUUUGCUCAAACAUGUUGGAACAAUAACGGGGGACGUGGUUUGCCUCAGAGAAACCAAGAAAGUGGUGGUACAUCUAUUCAACAUAUGAAUCAAAGUUUCAACAAGAUUCACAGAUACAACGAUUAGCUCAAACACCCCAUGAAAAGUGUAAAAUUUGUGGAAAAUUUUGACAUACUGCAUUGAAGUGUUGGCGCCGAUUCAAUCAUAUGUGCUAAGAAAAAGAUAUUCCUCCAGCUCUUGCUACAGUGACAAUAGUAAAUUCCCAAGACUCGGAAUGGUUCCCAGACCCGGUUGGCUCAACUCAUAUGAUAGAAGACCCAGUCAAACUGUAAAACCUUCGCCCUUAUAGUGGUAGAGAUAUAAUCAUGAUUGGCAAUGGUGAGCAAUUAACUAUUUCAUAUGUUGGUGACGCAAAUAUUGAUGUUGGAUCUGAAAAUUUUAAUAUUUUUAAUGCACUUUUGGUGCUAGAGAUAAAAAAGAAUUUACUAUUUGUUAGCCAGUUUAUAAAUUAUUUUUCUUGUAUUUUUUAUUUCUCAUCAAAUGGUUUUCAAAUUAAAGAAAGGAGCACAGGGAGAACUCUAGCCAGCAGGAGUAGAAAUGGUGGACUUUAUGCACUUGAGGAUGUGAAUGAAGCUUUAUUUUCUAAUCAAAAUAAGAAAACAAAGAUGUGCGGCAUCAAUGACUUGGACAUCCUCAAAAUAAAGUAAUACGUUACUUAGAAUCUAAACAGUUGAUUAUUGUUGAUGCAUGUAAUAAAUCUCAUUCUGUUUGUGCUAGCUGUCAGACGGGAAAAUGUUGUAACUCCGAUUUAGUAGUACUGACAAAACCUCUACAAAACCUCUUUUCAAGAUUCAUUCAGAUUUAGGGAUCCUUCAUCAGUUUUAUCUAAUCAGAAUUAUCGCUUUUAUGUGGUAUUUGUAGGUGAUUACACUCGUACUUGGAUUUAUCCUUUGAAAAUAAAAUCUGAAUUUUUCUCUGCAUUUGUGAAAUUUCAUCUAAUGGUUGAAAGGAGAUUUGAUAAACGAAUUCGAAUUUUCAAUGUGAUAGAGGUGGUGAGUUUGCUAAGAAAGAAUUCAUUGCUCAUCUUACUGAGAAUGGAAUUGUGCAACAUAUAUCAUGUCCAGGAACCCCUGAACAAAAUGGAAUAGUUGAAAGGAAAUGUAGAAAUAUUAUAGAAUCGCUUCUUACGAUGAUGUUUUAUACAUGAAUUUCUAAACGAUUUUGGGUUGAAGCUUUCCAUACCGUAGUCUUUGUAAUAAACAAGAUUCUCUCGGCCAAUUUGCAAAUGGAUUCACCGUAUUCUUUGUUGUUUGGUCGUAUACCAGACUAUUCUUCACUCCGAGUUUUUGUUUGUCAGUGUUUUCCGUUCCUUCGAGACUAUGCUGCAAAUAAAUUAUGUAAUCAUUCUCUUACAUGUGUAUUUUUGAGUUACAGUGUUCAGCAUAAGGGUUACAAAUGUCUGCAUCCACCGACAUAGUGAAUUUAUAUCUCUAGACAUGUUGUAUUUGAUGGAAAUAUCUAUCCUUAUGCUAGCCCAAUUCUUUGUUUGAGAGUUCUCAGGUUCAAGGGGAGAUGUCCACCUAUACAUAAUGGUCAGAAUGUUAUGAGCCUGAUAUACAAACUCCUUCCUCUUUUGAUUCAUCACCUCUACAUACACCACCCAUAUGGGAUAAACUUGAUGUAUCUGGUCCCUCAAGUCCCACUUUGCCCACCACCAAUUAUAGUUUUCUAACUUCUCUUAUAGAGGAAGAUGUCACCACUGCAACACCAAUCCAAGAUGUUCAAGAUGAUGUAACACACAAUCAUGAUGAUGAAAAUGUUACUACUCAAGACACCAACCAAUCUAAUUUUUUACAAGCUUCUGAGCAUUUUCAUCAUCACAUGGUCACCAGAUCUAAAGAUGGUACUCAAAUACCUUGAAUUCUCCCAUCUAUGGCAGCAAUCUCAAGUGCUCCUACAUUUGAAGCUAUCCCUCUGAACUUAAAACAUAAAGUCUGCCUUGGUCACUAGGUUAGCAUUCUACGAUGGAAGAGGAAAUUGAAGCCCUACAUGUUAACUCAACUUGGAAGCUAGUUUCAUGUCUUCUAGGUAUGAAUAUUGUUGAUUGUCAUUGGGCCUAUAAGACUAAAUUAAAGUUUGAUGGUAAUCUAGAGAGACUUAAGGCCAAACUAGUUGCUAAAAGAUAUAAUCAGGAUGCUGGAAUUGAUUUCUCUGAAUCAUUCAGUCUGUUAUUAAUCCUGCUAGUAUUCGGAUUGUGCUUCCCAUAACUACUAUGUGCCACUGGCCUAUCAAAUAGCUUGAUAUGAAAAAUGCUUUCCUGCAUAGCUUUCUUAAGGAACUUGUAUUUAUGGAAUAACCUCCUGGAUUUGUGAGCUCAAAAUAUCAAAAUCAUGUCUGCAAAUUACAAAGAGCUUUAUAUGGUCUCAAGCAAGUACCAUGGGCCUGAUUUGAUAGAUUUAGUAUCUAUUUAUUAUCAUUGGUGUUUUAUGGCAGUAUAGUUUAUUCAUCUCUUAUUUCUCGCACUGGCACUAUUAUCCUUCUCAUUUGUGUUAAUGAUAUUAUUGUUAUUGGUGACAAUUUAGAUUUUCUAGAUUGGUUCAUUUCCCAACUUGGGAGUUCACAAUAAAAGAUAUUGGACCUCUUCACUACUUUCUUGUCAUAGAGGUAUCUUAUUUUUCAGGUGGGAUAUUUCUCUCACAAAGAAAAUAUGCUCGAGAUCUUAAUGAUCAUGCUCAGAUGCUCAAUGCAACACCUGUUUCAACACCAAUGGCAAUGAAGAACAAUAUUCAUGGGAAUUCUGAUUUAUUUCAUGAUCCAUCUCUUUAUCGGAGCAUUAUUGGUGCCAUCCAAUACAUUACCAUUACAUGGCCAGACCUUUCUCAUGGUGUUAAUAAAGUUGGUCAAUUUAUGCAUGCCCCUACAAUUGCACAUUUUCAGCUAGUUAUCUCAAUGGUACACAAUCAUGUGGUGUACGACUCUUAUCUGCUAGUUCCCUUGAGUUAUAUGCCUUCUUUGAUACAGUCUGGGUUGGGUUUCCAACCACUCGUCGUUCAACUGCUGGUUUUCUACGCCUAUCUUGGUUCUAACUACAUAUCUUGGAGCACUAAGAAACUGGCAAUUGUAGCUCGUUCUAGUGCUAAAGCGGAAUACCGCUCUAUGGCAUCCAUUGCUGUAGAAUUGACAUGGCUUUCUUUUAUUCUUCGGGAUCUUGGGUUGCAUCUUCUUCAACCAAUAACACUUUUUUGUUACAAUAUUAGUAUUCUCUCUAUAUGACAGUUAAUCAUGUUUUCAAGCCCGGACAAAUCACAUUGAGUUAGACUAUCAUUUGUAUGUGAAAAGCUUGUUCUUGGGUUACUUAUCACUCGUUUUGUUUCCUCUCGUAAUCAAGUAGUUGAUAUCUUUACCAAGCCUUUUAUCACAAGAUGUUUUUCGAGAUUUUUGCUUCAAACUCAGGCUUCAAAUGCCUCCCGAGCCAAGUUUGAGAGGGAGUAAUGGAAACAAAGUCCAAAAUAGCAAAAUACAUAUUACAAGAUAGGAAAAAGAUAUUGCUCUUACCUUUUGAGAGGAGAAUGUAACAAGAUAGGAAAGUAUAUAUUGCAUGUAACAAGAUAGGAAAAUGUAUAUUUGUACUAUUGUAUUACCAUGAUAUAUAUAAUAAAAGAACCGCCACAAGAGUUGUGUGGGGCAUAAUUAUUUUUCUCAAAGUGUUCCUCUCUCUCUCUCAAAUUCUUUAAGUAUCACAUUCCCUUACACUAUUACCAUGAGUAUUACAUUCCCUUAGCUCCAAUGCUCCACCAACCUCCAUGGCCUCCAUCUUUAAGCUUCAAACAAAAAUUAGGAUUUCAAACUCUGAAAAUAGUCUAUAAUAUAAGAAAAUAUCCAGACUGUUCAUUUUUUUUUAAAAAAAAAUAUUCACAUAUCUGCAAGAUUUGUGACCAUGCUCUCACCUAUUCCUCUCUAUCUAUUGCUGCACUAAAUCAGCCUCCUAGUUCAUCCUAAAGUAGCAUUUGAAGUUGCAUUUUAUGCAUCCCAUUUAUUGACUGUGAUAGAGUCCCGAUCACUGUGUUUUCAGUUUGAUAAGUUCUGGAAGGUAAUCGGGGCAAAUUGUGUGAAAUUUUGGCAUCAUGUUCCUUGUAUCUCGUAGACACACAUUUGUAAAGCGUUUAUAGAAAUUGAGAUUGCAAUUAAGUCAUUGUAUAUGUAAAAGCAUUCGAUGUAAAUCUAAAAGAAAUAGAAUAUAACUAAAUUUUAUUUGUAUGAAUGUUAAGUGCAGUCAGAAGUUUGUCCAAAUGAAUAGAAAUGGUUAUGGUGAUGUAAAGAGGUUUUUAUGACCAUCAAAUCUUGCUUAAAUUAUAUUAAAAGAAAGUAGUAUGAGGAAGUGACUGUACUUAUUCAUGUAUGAAAUUGAGGUGUAUAUUUAUCUCUUUUUGGAAAUUUUAAAAGAGUUGUACCUAAGAGACCCGUAUCUACCUAUCACGUAGCAUCAGAGCCGGCCCUCUUAGAUCUCCAUUAUUAUUCAAGUUUUGUGUCCUACAUUGUAUUUUAGUUAUGCUGGAGUCAGAAGCCAUCACCGUGAAUGCAAUUUUGGGCCAAUUACUUAAUGGAAAGAUUUUUAUAUUUCCCCUACGGCAUAGAAGAUCUAUGCUUCCCCCUACCAUCCAGCCGUCCAAUUUUGCAAGAGAGCCACUCGCCUUUUAAUCUUAGAUCCGACAUCUCAAAAUAUUUUAUUUUUAGUUUUUCUUAUACAAAUUGUAUGAAUAUGAAAUUUGGUACAUGUCAUCUUAUCAUUGGGGCGCACCUAUAAAAUAUAUUUAAAAUAAUUUUUUGAUAAAAUACAAUGACCAAAAUACCCCUUAAAACUUUCAGGGUAAUUUUGAUCAUUUUAUUUCUUGGAAAUAUUUUUUUAAUGUUUUUCGCUAGUGCGAGUGUAAUAGAGGAUUGGACGUCCAAAAUUUGGUGUCAAAAUAGUUUAUAGAAAAAAAUUAAAAAUAAAAUAGUGUAAAGACAUGACAUUAUGAUUGGGGCAAACUUAGCCCUCCAUUCAGAAUGGACGGUUGGAUAAGGGGAAAUAUAUAAGUUUUAUGUUGUACGGGAAGCAUAUAAAGCUUGCCCAUUAUUUAAAGGAGACUGUUGUGAUUGUCAAAAAAAAAAAGGCUCUCUAUUUUGUUUGAUUUGAUAGCAACCUUAAACUUUUCUAUCCAUAAAAGAGCUAUAACCAUCAUCAUCAUGAUUGAAGCUUUUUUCCAACUAUUUGGAGUCGGCUACACAAAUCCUGAUCUAUCAUUAUGCUCUAUCCAGUUUUAUAUCCUCAAUAAGGCUAUAAGUCCCCAUAUUUUUCUUCACUACUUCUAAUUAGUGAUUUAAAAAUUGCCUAGUCAGCACUAACUCGGGCAAGUCAACACGGGAAUUGGUCACCCCGUGUCAAUUCCAAUAAAAUUCACAGUAUCGCCAGAUUUUACGAUUCCAAUAAAAUUCGCAAUAUCGCCCUGUUCUAGAGAAGAACCGGCGAGUCUCUACAAUGAACCACCGGAGUCUAUAUAGUGAACUGCCCGAAUGACUCUAAUAAAAAUCACAGUAUCGCCCGAUUUUACGAUUCCAAUAAAAUUUGCAGUAUCGCUCGGUUCUAGAGAAGAACCGGAGAGUCUUAUGACAUCAUAAAUAUACAUUUGUUUUCAAAUUUUUUUAAAAGGGUAAUUGGGAUAUUUUUAAAUCUACCUUUGUUUUCAAUUUUUUUUGCAAGGGUAAUUGGGAUAUUUUUUCAAAAUAGGGGGACUCUAUCGUGGCGAGCUUGAUGUCUCAACACUGGCCAUCACUGGACCCUAUGCCCCAUUCAAUGGAAGGACCCCAUGCUCCAUUCAAUCGUUGUUAAUGUGCUAGUCCUCGAGUCUUUUAUACAUGUUAACUUUUCAUGAAGUUUUCAAUUUGGGACAAUUCCCAAUGUAACAGCUUGAAAAGGUAAUAUAGCAUUUUAUUAUGAAAGUUAAUAAAGAAAGAGAUCUCUAGUUCAAACCUAGGCAGUAUUUAAAAAAAAAAAAAACGUACCAUCUUAUUUUUCUUUUCAAAAAUAAAUAAAUUUUGUCAAAAAAUAAAAUAAAAUAAUACAAAAUAAAACACAUCAUCUUCUUAUUUUUCUUGUCAAAAAAAAAUUCUUUUUGUCAAAAAAUAAAAAAAAAUAAAAGGUACCAUCUUCUUAUUUUUCUUGUCAAAAAAAAAGAAAAGGUAAUAUAACAAGUAUUUCAACAUAACAAGUAUUUCUUGUCAAGAAAUAAAUAAAAUGUAAUAUGACAAGUAUCAUGUUUUUCAAACACGCAUUUGAGCUGCAAUUGUCGUAAGCUUAAAUUAGACAUGUAAAAGUAAUCCAAUAUAGGCUUGAAGCAUGUUAGCUCUUUUUUUCUCUCUCAUAUAUGAAUGCCUAUUGUUAGAUUGUUUAUUUUUUUUUACUUAGGAAUAAAUGAUCUAAUUAUAUUUUUUUAUUUUUAUCACAUGGUGGUCUUUAACAUAAAUUUAGGAAUAUUAAUUUAAGGGAAAGUUUAUAUAGAACCGAGGCUCUAAACAAUCAAAUUAGAGCCUACAUAAAAUAUUUCACUAAAAGAGGUUGUUUUGAUGCCUAAAUAUCCUCAAAUUGAUCAUCUCAACAUUAAGAUGCAUGAUCAUGAGAAAAAAUGGAUUUAAAGUUUUAGGAGUAUUGUAUUUGUAACGUAUUUUGGACCGUCAAUUUUCAAGAUUUUCAAGUUUUCAUAGAUCAAUCGAUCUACACUAUUUUUUAAGCUUUAAACUUUAUAAAUAAAGAUGAAAAUAUAUUUUAAGACUAUCACAAAGAUUUACAGUAUUGAAACCACAUUUCUAAACACUAUUUUAGGGUAGGCUCUAAUUUGAUUGUUUAGAGCUUGGGCUGUAUACAAAUCGCACCCUUAAUUUAAAGAUAGGGUUCAUAUAAUGAAGCUAUUUGAAAUCUCUCUCUCUCUCNNNNNNNNNNNNNNNNNNNNUUAGUUAGGAUCUUCGGGUCGUCGUAAUACAAAGUUACCGCACCGUUUAACUUUAAACGUAAUAGGGUUACGUAUAUAAUAGAGACUACUUAGUAAUACUCUCUCUCUCUCUCUCUCUCUCUCUCUCUCUCUCUCUCUCGCUCUCUCUCUCUAUACUAACAAUCUCUUCCACUAAAUUUAUUCUAGCAACCUAAAAAACUUGAUUUUUGAAAAACAAUUGCGUUAUAAAUUAUGCAAUGUACCGUUUUUCUUACAAUUGUCAAUAAUAUAUUUUAAAUUAGAUGAUAUUAUAAGAUAAUUUAGAUUUGUUAUUAUUUGUAUAGUAAAAUAAUUAUAAAAUAUAAAUCAACAAUUUCAAUUUAAGUAUAUAAUAUUAUAGUUAGUUAGGUUGUAAUAAUUUUGGAUUAUAGUUAGUUAAGUUGUAAUAAUUUGGGUUUUUUCUUAGUGAAUUGGGAUUUCAGCCAAUUCGAGAUUUUUGUAGUCAUUUUUUCAUCGAUUAAAUCCAUUAUUUAUUGUAGUUCAUGUACGAUAUAUACUUCAUCCAUAAUAAUUCUGUGAUUUUUCUUUUGUGCGAUGUAAAUUUAAUGGUUAACAUAAGUUCAUACAGGGAAAGAACAUCUCAAUAUUCGCAUAUUGAUGAAAAAAAAUGAAAGUUAAUAAUGUAGUACCCCAUUUCUUAUUGGAUUCCUAAAAAGAAUAUUUAUAAUGAUUUUUAAUAAUGUUUUUAGAUUUUUUUAUUAUCGAAUCCUAUCGAUUUCUGAUCCGAACUGUUGAUUCACUGAUUCGGAUGGGUUUUGGGGUGCACGAUCAGGGACACCGAUCCGUUUUUUAAACCACUUCUUCUAACCAUGUGUUUUUGGGCUUACCUCUCGCUCUUUUUUAGCCAUCCACUGAAACCAACUUGCACCUCCUAACAAUACUGUAAUGGGUAUGUGAUGCACAUGGUCAGCCCACCUAAUUCUAUGUUUUCUCAUAUUAUCGCCUCUGGAGCCACAUCUAAGUUCUCCUGAAUGUCUUCAUGUCUUUCCACUCAUCCAUCUCAACAUCCUCAUUUCAGCUACACUCAUCCUAUGAGCAUGUCGUUUGUUGACUACCCGGUAGUCUACCUUAUAAAGCAAAGUCGGUCUCACAAUUUUCUCAUAGAACUUCCCCGUCAACUUCAUUGGUGGUGACUACAUAAAACUCUUGUAGUACAACUCCACUUCGUCCCUAGCUCUAAUUACAUAUAUUAUGGACCCAAGAUAUCUAAAGUACGUUUUUUUUAUAUUAUAUAUUUUUUUUUUACCAUCAAUCUUACCUACUUCCUUGUCUCUAUUUAUUGGGAUGCAGUGAUCAUAUAAAAAAGCCCUAACCGGUGUUGAUUCCGAUCCAUAUUGCCUGAUUUGGUGUGCGAAUAACAAAUAAAGUGUUUUAAGAAAAUAGAAAACCAAGAGAACCCGUGCAGUUUUUGGGUUUCUCUUGUCAGAAUUGUUCAUGUCCUAAUCCAAAUUCAAGUUGAAUGACUCCAAAUUAGAUUGGAAAUUUUCCAACACGUUCCCACAAAAUAAAUUUCUCUACCUCAAAAACAGUUGACGAUGUCAAAUACAUUCAUGGCAUGGCCGGCUUACUAGUAAAGGUCCAAAUUGGGAUGCAAAGUAUGUAACUAUUUCUUUUCUGUAUGGAAUAUAAACAUGGUGAGAUGGUUAUAAUGUAUCAGUCACUCUGUAGCAACUAAAUAAAAUAAACUUAAGGAUGAGCUCAAGUCUAGGAAGUCAGAAUGCCGGAAAACGACAAUGCGAUAUCUUGAUUCCAUUUCUAUCACGAACAAGUGAACCCUUCUUUGCAGAAAUGCUCGAAAAGAAGCCAAAUACAAUCACCCUUCUAUCGUUGUAUACCGUGCAGUAAGUUUAAAGGAAAAGUACCCCAUCCACAUUAUGUGGACAAGUGGUAAGGUGCACAAGCACCUUCCAAUGGUUGAGUUGAGUUCUCAUAUGAUCAUAUUCAAUCGCUGAAAGUUAGUUUCGUUUUUUAUUUUUUCUAAUUAGGCGAUUAGCAGUUAAAUUGCUCGAUUUUUCCAACAAUGCUUGUGAUAAUGUGAAAAUUUAUUGCUGCCUUUAAUUAUAAAAUUUAAAGUUCCAUAAAUAGUGACGAUCAAACAAUAUAUGAAUACUUAAAAAUUUUAAAAAUGGACCACUCCAGUUAGAAGAUGACCUGUUUUUAAAACUAAAACAUAAAUCCCCUUUUUUCAUAUCUAUCAGGUUGAAUUGAUCGAUUUGGAAAAUCUUACUCCGAUGGAUGCACCUUUUUAUAACAUAGCUAGUCUAAUUUUUGGAUGCACCUUACCUGUACAGUAUAAAAUGUGUAACUUUUUUUCAAACUUGGUGAGAUUCUCGUUAACCAGUUAAAAAUUUUAAAAAUUAAGGUAAUAAAAAAUUUCAAGCCUCUCUUUGCUGUGCAGCGUCAGUAAAAUAAUAAAAUAAUGAAUAAAUGUCGAAGAAAGAAAGGACCCUGGUAGAUAAUUCUAGAAGCCGCCUUCACCUCGUGAAAUGCAGUAAUAAAGUCUUUGUACAAAUAUGCGACACUACUAGUACAACAAACCAGUUGGUGACGGAACGUUGCCAAGUGCCGGCGACCAGUCCAAAUCAUUAAAGUUAAAAAAAUUAUAAAAAAUAUAUAUAUAUAUAUAUAUAUAUAUAUAUACUAUAACAANNNNNNNNNNNNNNNNNNNNAAUUGAUAUUCCAAAUCAUUGGAUCAGCCUAAAUGCCCUUUUAAAAAAAAAUUUAAAAAAUACUAAAAUUUCUUUCAAAUCUAAAUUUUUAGGUUUCUCAAAAAAUGUGGUUAUUGAAAAUACAUAAAUACUGAAAACAUGUUUCAUGUUUGAGUAUUUUGUUUAUCAUUAUAUUGAUUUUAUAGUCAAAAUUAAGUUUGAAAUGUAAUUUAUUAUAAUAAAAUAAAUCUCUUUAACUAAUUUUUUUAUUUUUUUUCUUCCAUAAUCUCCAAUGUCACUUUCACUUGUAAAAAUAGUGGGCCUAUUUCUUGUUUUUUUCUAUUUUCUGAUAAUUAAUUUAUUAAAUUAUUAAUUUAUUUCUAUGAUAUUUUUCUUCAUAUUUGAGGUCUCAUGCUUGAAAAUGCGCUCCAUUUAUUUAGGUUAUAGAUUUUCUUACGUAGAGUGAGGCCAAGCACAUCUUAAAAAACAAAAAAAAGUUGGGAGGAUAUCUCUCGUAUCCCUCCAUUCUCCAUCUAAUGACCUCUCAUUCUCUCUCUUUUUAUCCCCAUCCCUCAUUCUCCAUCUAAUGACGUCUCAUUCUCUCUCUUUUUAUCCCCAUUGAUGCAUUCUUAUCAAAUACGUCUUAAAAUCUUAUCUUUAUGAGGAUCAAAGGUAAACUACAUAUUAACAACAACUAAAACACAUAAGUUUGGGACAACCCCAUUACAUUGAGGACUCUUUAUAAAAAAAAAUCGCAAACUAUGUAAAAUUUAUAAAAAAAAAAUGAGGUUAUCCAAUAAAAGAAAAUUUUGUAGAAAAUAAAAAAUUAUAUGGAACUAGCUGGUUCCUAAAAGGAACUGGAUUGUUCCAACGAAGAAACGGCCAGCUCACACCUAGAACCAACCGGUUCCCAAUAUUUAUAGGAAACUGAACUAGCUCUUCGGAGAACUGAUUCGGAUCGGAUGACUUCAAUCCGAAUUGACAUUUUUUUAAACACUGAGUUCUAUAUCGCUCUGAUUAGGAUUGAAUGAUUCCAAUCCGAAUUGACAGUGUUUUAAACACUAAGUUCUAUAUCGCUCAGGACAUGUUUCUUAUGUAUCGAUGUUGUCUACGAGUUAUCUCGGCUAUCUACCAAGACCGAGUAACUCGGCCAAAUUCAUCUGAAAAUAUUGUUUUAAUGUUGAAAACUCUCUAAUUGAUCAUCUCGACGUUGAGAUGUAUGAAUAUGGAAAAAAAAAAAAAGAUUUUGAGUACAAGAAAUAGCGUAUCUUGCAACACAAUUUCUAGAUCGUCCAUUUUCAAGAUUUUCGUAUGUUUAUAGAUCUACAUAAUUUCAACUUUUUUUGGAGUUUAAAAUUUUUUUACUAGAUAUAAAAACAAAUUUUUAAUUGAUCCUAAUAUUUUUUUAAACCAAAAUUACAUGUUAUGUUAAAGUUUGGAAGUACGCCUUAAUUGGAUUGUCCAAGAUUGCAAUCUUAUGAAAAUCGCUAAUUAAAAUGGGCUAACUCAACAAAGAAAAUUAAAACCACUAUUUUUAACGUUUAAAAUCAAGUUAUUUCUUCAAAUUCAUUAUUGUAGUAGUUGAGAUUCGCAUCUCUUAAUAUUAAAAUCCAAAAUUCAUCUCUGACAUUAAUUUCCCGCCUCUUCUUUAUUUUUAUUUAUAUUAUUAUUAUUUAUUAUUUUAUGAGAAUAAUUUAUUAUUAUUAUUAUUAUUAUUGAUUUUGAGUGCUGUAACGGAUGACACAUCGUAGCGCGAUCCAAAAACAAUGCAGCCGACGUCCCAUGUGUCUCCUGACGGUAUCUCAAUUAUACUCACAGACAACUGCACAUCAAUCAUGACCAUUAAAAAAAUAAAGAAAACGAAACCCACCCAAAAACAAUGGAGAAAAAUCGAGAAGAUCAAGAUAAUAUGGCCUAAUGUGCUUAUAAAAACAAUGUAGAAAAAUCAAGAAAAUCAUUCAAGAUAUUCUGUAUACCCUCAUGUGGUUAUAAAAGUGGUAUGCCCGUUCUAGGGCUGAGCAUCAGAGUGAACCAUGGCUCCCUCUAUUGAUGAAGCCGCGGUCCAACCUCUUGAGCUCAGGCCUAAGCUUGACUGCAUCAAAUACUUAGAGGAAGUCCCUCUCAUUGAUCUCUCUCCUCUAAGGUCUAAAAACUGUGACCUCUCUGAGGCCAAAGAGAAACUUGCAUCUCAGCUCCAUGAUUGUCUUAAAGAGUGGGGCUUCUUCCUAGUUGUGAACCAUGGCAUGGCAACUGAUGCCUUGGCAAAGGUUAAGAGUACCUUCACUAAGCUUCCUGAGGAGGACAAGAAGAAGGUGGCUAGAAAUGAGAAGAAUCCUUGGGGUUACAGUGAGAAGGAUCUCACUAAGAACACUAAGGACUGGGUCGAGGUGUUCGACUACAUGGUCGCGGAGGAGCUCACCCUGCCUGAGACCUUCGAACCCGAUUGCAAAACUGUAGUGAAGUUCAGGAAUAACUGGCCGGAAAACCAGCCGGAGUUUCAGUAAUGGAUUUGGUUUAGAAUUCCUACUUUAUUCGUUUGUUAAAUUAGGUUUCUUUAAUUUUUAUUUGUUUUUCCCAUUUCUUCUUUUAGUAUAUCAGCAUGGAAAAAAGCCCCAUAGAGAAGAGAGACUAUGCUCUUCUUGUACAGCAGAAUACUGAAAGAACAGAUCUCUCUCUCCCUCUCUCUACGUCAAAAUUCAUUUCAUUCACCAAAAUCAUUCCAUACAAUGCGACCGUUUUUCUUUCUAGCUGUUUGUUGUCUUUUUUCUUCUUUUUUUUGGGUGAUUCAGUGGGAGAAGACCAAGACCCUUACCCGUUUUUUCAAGUAGAUCGAGUUAGCCGUUUGAAAGUACUAGUAUGGUUGGUGAGAAUAGAAACCAAUGCGUAGUGAGUCGAUGUGCUGCCGCGACCACCCAGGACUUUUACUUUUUAUUAAUACCUGCUGGCUUUUUUAAAAGAUUCCUCCUUACUAAAAUGAGCUCAUGCCUUCUAUAAAAUAUAAGCUUUCUAUUAACAAACUUCUUCCUUCAAUAAGAGAUCAAUUAGGUGGUUUUUCACCGUCAAAACAACCUCUUUCUGGGUGACUUUUGAGGGCAUGCUUUUUUCUACAAUUUAAAGUUGUAACUUUAUAUAAACUUUUUCUUCCAAAUUUUACUAAAAUGAACUCAUACCUUCUAUAAAAUAUAAGCUUUAUAUUAACAAACUUCUUCCUUCAAUAAGAGAUCAAUUAGGUGGUUUUUCACCAUCAAAACAAUCUUUUUCUGGGUGACUUUUAAGGGCUUUAUAUAAACUUUUCCUUCCAAAUUUUAUCACUAACAAAACUGAAAUUGCUUUGCAGGAAAGCAUGCGAAGACUUCACGACUGGCACGAUGAAAUUGCUCUAUGAGCUCAUGGAACUCAUAGCCUUAAGCUUGGGCUUAUCUGAAGACAGGUUAAAGCCUUAUUUUGACGAAAAUUUGUGUUAUUCUCGCAUCAAUUACUACCCACCAUGCCCAACUCCUGAGUUGGCUCUAGGCAAAGGCGCGCACAAGGACCACUGUGCCUACACAGUGUUAGCCACCGAUGAAGUAAGCGGGUUUGAGGUAAUGCGCAAGUCCGAUGGCGAGUGGCUCCGAGUCCGACCCAUUCCUGACUCUGUCAUCGUCGUCGGCGGCGACAUCUUGCAGGUAGUCCACUGAAAUCCAAUCUGUCUCUCUCUCUCUAUCUAUCUAUCUCAUCUGUCCAGGUGAUCCACGAAACGUAAUCUGAUGUUGUGUGGGAGAGUAGAUGCUUUUCUAUUUUAAGUGCAACUACAAAUUUUAAAGCACCCAAAAGGCCUCAAUGAAUCUGGAAAGGCCCACUCUUUCAUCUUUGACCUUUCUAAAAUGCCCCCCUAACAAGUUGCAAAAAAUAAUUAUGCUGAUAUGAUACACCAUUUUUUCAAAACUUAUCAAAUAGCAUUGACUAGUCUAUGCCAAUAAACUACAUCUUCCAUCUCUCACAAAGAACCCUGCCCACACCUAUGCCUUUAGCCUAUUUUUAAUUUUUUUUUAUUCACUUCACAUCUCACGAAAUAAAAGGCAGGUUUGGAGCAAUGAGAUUUACGAGAGCGUGGUACACAGAGCUGUGGUGAACUCCGAGAAGGAGAGGCUUUCUAUGCUCACUGUUGCCGCACCGGCAUUUGAGGUGAUGGUUGCGCCUCUCGAUGAGCUUGUGGGAGAGAAAACCCCUGCUAAAUAUAGAGCUUAUAAGUGGGGAGAGUUCUAUGGAGCAAGGAAGUUCAGCAAUUUCAGGAAGCUAGACACCCCUGUCCUUGAGGUGGCUGACUACAAGAUCAGAAGUUAGGGCAAGGCUAUCCACUAUCAUAUAUAUGCCUGAGUUUAGAUUAUCCUGUUUGUCUUGUGUCACUGUCUAAGCUCCUCUUGUGUCCCUGUCUAAGUUGUUAAUGUUCUGGUUUUCCCUGAAUAAUGGGAUAUUAUAUGACCCAGAUCCUUGCCUAUGUAGUUGGUCAUGUUCUGGUUUUCCCUUUCCCUGAAAAAUAGGAUCUUGAAUGUAAUAAAGAAUGGUUUUGUAGUAUGGAACUUCUCAUGGUGUAAAAUCUAUUAUGCUUAUUGUAAGACUUGCCCCAGGAGUGAGUCAAUCUUAUUUAUGCUUAUGUUCAUGUGAAUCUCCUCUCUCUCAUCGGAUUUUGCAUGACUCACUCAUUUUUUAAUCAGUUAGUGGUUUUUAAAGCUCUCGGGGGAAUGGAAACCACAACCCAUUGUAUGGGUGGAAACUGUUUCUGAGUGACUUACGUAGGGACUCUAAAAGUUUUUCUAAAAUACGAUAUACCAUUUAUAGGUAGAAAUUGCAAAGAACUUCGAUCAACCUCUUAUUUUUAUUUUUAUCAAAAUUACACCUCUGUCCAAAGAUAUCUUCGAACCGAUUUUUAUUUUUUAUUUUUUUAAGUGUUUUUUGUUAGUAAUAAAUUACCAUAAAACUUAAGCCAUUCUCUACUAACCAAAAAAAAAACUAAAAAAACUAAAAAUAAAAGUCAUGCUAAAUAUUCCAUCAUCAGAUCGAAGGACAAGUUUUGAAAAAAAUGAAAAAUACGAGGGUUAACCGACCUUCUUUCUAAUUUCUACCUAUAAAGGGAGGUUUUCAUAUUUUAUAAAAAAAAAUUAGGGUCCUGAUGUAAAAAAAAAUUAGGGUCCUGAUGUAAAUAACUCUUUAUUUUUCUCUUAAGAAAUUAAAAAGUUUUUAAGGGACUCGUGGAUGUGUUGCAAGUUAGGAGUGUUAGUGCCACAUAAAUCAAGUUAUAAAACCAUGUGCUUCUAUGUGCAACUAAAACGCUCUCGGACACUAAUUACAAUUGAUCAAAUAAAAUAGGAAAAGUUGUUUUAACGUAAAAAAGAAAAUAAAAGAUUUUGAAUCCCAGAAAUAGUGCAUCUUGCAAUACAUUAUCUAGACCUUCUAUUUUCAAGAUUUUCAUAUGUUUAUAGAUCUACUUGAUAUUGGUCAUUUUUUAGAGUUUCAAAAUUUUAUAAUUAAAUAUGAAAAUAGAUUUCAUAUAAUUCUAUGAAUUUUUUAAACGAAAAUUAUAUGUUAUGAUAAAAUUUGGAGCUGCGCCUUAAUUGGAUUGUUUAAAAUUGCAACCUUAUAGAGACCACACCCAAUAAAAUAUAGUCCAUACCAAGGUUUAAAAAAUCGAAUCGGUGACUUGAUUCAGUCACACCCAUACCCGUGUCAGAUCGGGGGGAUCGGAUCCAAAGAUUCGGGGGAAUUAGUAAUGUUUGUUUUAAUUUUUUUAAAUAAUAACUCAAGAAAAAAUUAUUCAUCCCUUUUUUUUUGCUUGACUCUGUGAUGAAUUGGUCGGAAUUGGUGAAGAAUUAGUCGGACUUGGUGAAGAAUCGUUGGAAUCAGCAGUUCCACAAAAAAUCGGCAACUCUACUAUUUGGAACCCCCGAAUCCCAUUUUUUACCUUAAUCUGAAACAUCCAAGGCAAUUCUUGAUCCGGAUCGCCCAAUUCCAGAUCGAGAUAGUGAUAUUUUAAACAUUGAUCCAUACUAUACUUUGUUUUGUGUUCUUCUAGGGGCUAUUUUCACGUCAUUGUUUCAUUAUAAGAUAUUAAAUUGGUUCUUUUAGACUGUGUGUUCAUGGAAUUUGCAUGACUCCAAAGUUUGAACUCACUCUCUUCAUCCAAAUGAUCAAUCUCAGCCCGAAAAAACUGCCUUCUAGAAAAAGCAAAGAGUAUUUCAACUCCAACAAUGAAUUUAGAUAACAUCGACUCGAAGUCUUUAAGAAUUCAAAAUUUAUUUUCCUUUUUUUAAGUCACUCAUCUAACACUGAUAAAGUGGUCCAUAAAAUUUAGAAUAAAAAAUAGGGCAAGCUUUCUAUACUUCCCCUACUAUAUAAAACUAAUAUACUUCCCCUUAUCCGACGGUCCAACCAUUCUGAAAGAACAGCUGAGAUGGCCCCAAUUACAAUGUCACGCCUCUACAUUAUUUAAGUUUUAAUUAUAUUUUUACAAAACUUUUUGUUGUCAAAUUUUUAGUGUCCAUUCCUCUCUUAAACAUGCACCUGUAAAAAAAAUAAAACAAAUAUUCCCAAUAAAAAAGACCAAAAAUGCCCCUUAAACUUUAGAGGUAUUUUUUUCAUUUUAUUUUAUCAAAAAUAUUUUUUAUUUGUGCACCCCAUUAAGAUGAUAGCAUGUACCAAAUUUUAUAUUAAUAUAAUUUAUAAAAAAUAAAAUAUUAUGAGACGUCAGAUCUCGAUCACACGGUCAUUGGGCUUACUUGAUCUAAAUUGGAUGGCUAGAUGGGGAGGGAAGUAUAUAGAAGUAUUAAACUGCCUAUAUUCAUUGGGUUAAAAGAAGGUCUUUUAAUGAGUUUGUUUGGAUUUUUUUUUCUUUUUUAUAUUGUUUAUGAAAAUAAAAGAGUGUGGGUUUAAAUAUUGAGAUUAAACAAAGGAAAAAGUUUAUAUAAGGCCUCUAAUUGAUCAUCUCAGCAUCAAGAUGUAUGAAUAUGAUAAAAUAAGAUUUCGAGUCUGAGAAAUAAUAUAUCGUACGUCACAUUAUCUUGACCAUCCAUUUUCAAAAAUUUCAUGAGUUUAUUGAUCUACUUGAUUUGAACUAUUUUUAGAGUUUACAAUUUUAGGAUUAAAAAUAAAAAUAGAUUUUGAAGCCAUCCUAAGAAUUAUUUAUAUCAAAAUCAGAUAUUACUUGGAUUGUUUAAGGUUGCAAUCUUAUCCAAACCACACCCUGAAACAAAUGUGCCUAAUUGUUUUAACCGUAAAUUUGAUUAUAUUUCUGUAAAAUCAUUGCAUAAAAUCACUGUCGUGUUUAACGGUACCAAAAAAGACAACGGGUCAAACAAUAUCCGUAUCUAUCUAAUCAAAUAGAAUAUCGGUGUCACCGAUAUCCAUCAUUAUCCAUUCUACCGUAAUCCAUGCAAACUCUUAAAUCAUAUAAUAUAAUUCAUAGACAAUGUUAAAUCAUAUAAUGUAAUAAAAUUAUAAAAUUGGGAUUAGCCUUGAUUAUGCGAUUUAAUAAAGAGCAAUGAAGGGGGUACAAGGCAAAGAAAGUCCACUUAAAUUAAAUAAGAGGUGCUUAACCACCACCAACAGAAUGGCAUGUCUUGAUUCUCGCAUUUAAUAUUAAUCAAAUAUUAAAAUGGUAAGUUAAACGUUUAAUUGUUUUAAAUGUCAUAAAAACUGAAACCAAUGACGUCUUGACAUUGAUUGGUCCAUCAUAUUUUAACAUGCCAUAGGAGAACGGUGAACUUGCUGGGCUCUGGGUGUUUAGAUAAACGUCUUCGAACUUCAAACAACACACAUUCCUGAUCGAAGUUCUAAAACCUGGCUCGAGCCUCGAGCUCCGCCCCUGCUUGGAUCGAGUUACUCUGGGUCAGUUCAAUUCGACAUGGCUAUAUCGUGUACAACCUCAAGUUAGAUUAGAAAUCUAUAAGAUUUAUAAAAAAAUUAUUAAGGUCAGGUCUUUAUAGAAAAAAAAUAAAUAAAUAUAUAAAGCCCUACCUCGAAACUCGCCUAAAAUUAUACUAACGGAUUUAAAGAACCUUCAAUUUCGAUCAACUUGACCUUGAUCUUUAUGAUUGUUAAAAAAAAUAUUGGACUUUAUGACCUAAAAAUAAUGUAUAUUGUAACACAUUAUCUAAACAAUCAAUUUUAAAGUGAUCAAUCAUAACUAGUGGUGGAAAUAGAUUUUGGAACGAUCAUUACAAAUUUUCCAUGGCUGAAUUGUUUUUUGGACAAUAUCCUGAGGUGAACCUCUAUUUAUUUUAUUUUGGGCAAUAUUUCUAUGCUUUCCUUACAACAUAUAUCUUUUAUGCUUCCCCCUAUCCAACCGUCCAUUUUGAAUGGAGGGCUACGGUUGCCCCAAUCACAAUGUCACGUCUCUACACUUUUGUUAUUUUUAAUUUCUUAUGUAAAAUAUUAUUUUUAAUUUCUUAUGUAAAAUAUUAUGACAUCAAAUUUUGGGUGUCCAAUCCUCUAUUAAACUCACAUUUGUAAAAAAUAUAAAAAAUAUUCCCAAUAAAAUAAAAGACCAAAAUACCCCUAAAAGUUUCAAGGUGUAUUUUAGUUAUUAUAUUCUAUCGAAAAAUUAAUUUUAAUAUUUUUUAUAGGUCCGCCCCAAUGAGAAGACGACACUUACCAAAUUUUAUAAUCAUAAAAUUUGUAUUAAAAAAAAAAAUUUAAAAUAAAAUACUCUGAGGCGUCGGAUCUAGGAUCAAAUGGUGAGCGGCUCACUUAAUCAAAAUUGGAGGACUAGAUAGUAGGGGAAGCGUAGAUCUUCUAUGUUUUAGGGAAAGUAUAGAAACCUUUCCUUUUUAUUGUUAUAAGGGCCAGUCUUAUAGAAAUUACAUCCUAGCAAAAAUUUGUGAGGCUUUUUUAAUGGGUGUGGUUUCUAUAAGGUUGCAACCUUAAACAAUUCAAUUAAAGCUACCUCCAAAUUUUAUCAUAACAUGUAAUUUUGGUGUAAAAAAUUCUUAAGGUUAUCUUAAAAUUGAUUUUCAUCUCUAAUUAUAAACUUUUAAACUCCAAAAAUGACUAAAAUCAAGUAGAUACAUAAACAUAUCAAAAUCUUGAAAAUGGACGGUCUAGAUAAUGGGUUGUAAGAUGCCCUAUUUUUGGUACUCAAAAUCUUUUUCUUUUUUCAUAUUCAUACAUCUCGAUGUCGAGAUGAUCAAUUAGAGGGUUUUUCAACAUUAAAACAACCUUGUUCGAUGGAUUUUUGAGGUACAUUUUUAAUUCUACAUUUUAAGGUUUCAACCUAAUAUAAACUUUUUCCUUUUUUUAAUAUGUAUUUUCAUUUAUCAUUUAGAUUUUCCUUGUUAAAUUUUAAGUUUUCAACGAUAUUCUAUAACAUUGCUUCCCGUUUUUCAAUUAGACGAAGCGAUAUGGCGUCCCUAGAAACGUGCCAGAUGCUCAUUUGUCAGCAUUUGGAAGGUGUUAGGUUGUUUUUCUUUCUUCCUUAUUUUAAGAGUUGUAUAGUCCCGCGGGUGCAUGCUAUAUGCUUUUUUCGGUCCAUUGGAAAGAAAUUUUUUUAGAAGAAACUUUGGGAAUACACUUGAACCACUAGAUUAUUAUUUUCAAAAGAAAAAAUAAUAAUUUCCAUUUAAAAAAAAAUAUUGAGUUCUCUAACAAUUAACCUUUCAUUAUCCAAAAUUGUCGUCUUCAGUCGUUCUUUGAACAUUAGUGUUUUACAAGCACAUCAAGAGAGAGAUUUGGAGAUUUGUUUUGUUUGCUUCUUUGUUUUUACUUUUAUUUUUUUAAAGGUUAAUCUUGAGGUUACAUCCCCAAGACUUGGGAUCCUAAAAAAUAAUUGCAAAUUAAAUUUUACCCAAGAAAAUAAUGAGUGUGACUGGGAGAUUUUUAGUUUUUUUAAUUAAGGUUAAUCUUCUGAUGUUAUAUCCCCAAUACUUGGGAUCCUAAAAAAUAACUGCAAAUUAAAUUUUACCGAAGAAAGUAAUGGACAAUGUGCUCGUGAUGGAGCACAAAUUCUUUUGGCUUAACAUUUACUAUGAAUUUUCAGACGUUAUUAGUCUUUUAGAGGAAACGAUUGUAUUCUAUAACAUGACAAUAUAAUAAUAAAAUAUUUAUUAUUUAAUCGCAAAUCAAGACUAAUCCCACUUUUAUGAUUUUAUUAUAGGGAAAAGUUUAUAUAAGGCCAAGGCUAUAAACAAUUUGAGCCUGCCUCAAAAAUUUUACUGUAAGGGGUUGUUUUGAUGCCCAAAUAUCCUCAAAUUGAUCAUCUCGGCAUCAAGAUGCAUGAACAUGAGAAAAAAAUGGAUUUCAAGUUUUGGAAAUAAUAUAUUUUGUAAUGAAUUUUUAGACCAUCAAUUUUCAAGAUUUUCAAGUUUUCAUAGAUCUGUCAAUCUACACGAUUUUUGAAGCUUUUAACUUUAUAAAUAAAGAUGAAAAUAUAUUUUAAGUCUAUCACAAAUAUUUCCAGUAUUGAAACCACAUUUCUCGACAGCAUUUGAAGGUAGGCUCUAAUUUGAUUAUUUAAAGCCUAGGCUCUAUACAAACCAUACCCUUUAUUAUAUUAUAUAAUUUAACAUUGAAUAUGAAUUUUUUCACGUUAUUAGUUCUUCGGAUGAAACAAUUAUAUUCUAUGAUAAUAUAAUAAUAUAAUAUUUAUUAUAGGGUACGGUUUAUAUAGAGCCAACGCUCUAAACAAUCAAAUAAACACACCUUCAAAUAGUGUCAAGACAUGUGGUUUCAAUAAUGGAAAUGUUUGUGAUAGCCUUAAAAUAGAUUUUUAUCUUUCAUUAUAAAGCUUUAAAAAUAGGGCAGAUCUAGCAGAUCUAUGAAAACUUGAAAAUCUUGAAAAUUAAUAGUCCACAAAUGUUUUACAAGAUAUACUAUUUCUAAAACUUGAAAUCCAUUUUCAUCUCAUGUCCAUUCAUCUUGAUGUUGAGAUGAUCAAUUUGCGGAUAUUUGAGCAUCAAAACAACCUCUUCCAGUGAAAUUUUUGAGGUGGAUUCUAAUUUGAUUGCUUAGAGCCUCGGUUCUAUAUAAACUUUUUUUCCUUAUUAUAUUUUGUACAACUUUUUUGUAUUAUAUGAUUUAACAUUGAAAAAUGGUUUGAUAGAGUUGCGGCCCUAUCAAAAUAAAAAAAGCCUCACCUCAUAAUUCAUUGAAAAUUAAAAUUCAAGCAUUGCAAAACCCUUGCAUCGAUCAUUUUGGCUUGAACAUUAUGGUUGUGAAAACAAAUUAAGAUUUCAAGCUCUAAAAAUAGUAUCUAUUGUAACAAAUUAUCUAAACCGUCCAUUUCGCCCUAAAAAUAAGUGUUCAUAGAUCCGCAAGAUCUUUACCUUUUUUUGAGUUUUAAAUUUCAUUGUCGGUAUUGAAAAUUGAUUUUAGAGCCAUCAUGGAGAUUUUCAUAGCCGAAAGGACUUUCCAAACGAGGAUUUGAGGUCAGGCUAUAUUUUGCUUUCAUGGCACCUAUACCUUAUAGAAACCUCAUCUUUUAACAUUUAUGAGGAUUUGACAUGUUUGGAGGGUUUUUCCGGCAGUUUUGAAACCGAAGUACUACCAAAAUUUUGCCAAUCUUGGUUUUAGAUUAUGUUAUCGAAUCAACAAAUUACUGUUUUGUUUGUAAAUAAGAGUAAAUACUCAGUGAGCAAACAAGCUUGUAAAACAAUAUAGAGUAGACGAGAUUAUAGAAGUGGGGCAGUUUGUGUUGAGUAGCGCAACGGAAAAUUCAUGCUCAAAAUGAGAACCUUGUGCAUUUAUCAGAUACCAUGCACACAUGUGCACACCAAAUUUGGAGAGAAACUAUUUCCUUGAUUUAUUAAUAAAAACAUCAUAUGAAAAUACGCAAAUAUCUCUACUACUCUAUCUAUAGCUCACGUCUGAUGCCUCUCUGUCUCAUGUAAUUUGCCACAAUGCCUACCUCACAGUAAUUCCCCCCUUUUUAUUACAGGAAAAAUUUUAUUUAAGGUUGACACCUUAAAAUGUAGAAUUAAGGUGCACCUCUAAUAUUUUUUAAAAAAAGUUGUUUUGAUUUUGGAAAAAUAUCUAUUAUCAUCUUGAAAUCGUGAUUUAUAGGUAUGGAGAAAUAAAGAGAUUUCAAGUCCUAACAAUAGUAUACCUUGCAAUACAUUAUUUGAACCGUCUAUUUUUAAGAUUUUCUUAUGUUUAUAAAUCUGCUUGAUUUGAACCAUUUUUUAAAUUUAAAAUUUUAUAAGCAAGAAUAAAAAUAGAUUCUCAUACUAUCCUAAGAAUUUUCGACACUAAAAUUGCGACAAAGUUUCGAGACACACCUUCCUUUCAUUUUUAAGGUUGGAAUCUUAUGCAAACCACAUCUUUUUUUUAACCUUAAAAGGAGAUAACUGCAAACAAAAAUAAGGACUUCUAACUCUAAAGGUAAUUCAUGUAGAACUUCUAACCCAAGAGCAAAUCUCUUCCUAUCUUAAGAUAACCAAAACAUUGAGUUUAGUUUUUUUUUUUUUUUGAACUGCAAAACAUUAAGUUUAGGCUGUUCCUCAAUAUUAUAAUCAUUAACUCCAACGGGAUUAGAAACUCGAAAUAGAGAUAAGGGAAAAGUUUAUAUGGAGCCUAGGCUCUAAACAAUCAAAAUUGAGCCUAUCUCAAAAAUUUCAUUAGAAGAGGUUGUUUUGAUUCUCACAUAUCCUUAAAUUGAUCAUCUCGACAUCAAGAUGAAUGAACUUGAGAAAACAAUGGAUUUCAAGUUUUGAAAAUAGUACAUCUUGUAAGGCAUUUUUGAACCAUCAAUUAUUAAGUUAUUCAAGGUUUCAUAGAUUUGCUCGAUCUACACUAUUUUUUUAAGAUUUAAAUUUUAUAAUUAAAUAUAAUAAUAUAUUUUAAAGCUAAUAAAAUAUUUCUAAUAUUGAAACCACAUUUAAUCAACACCAUUUGAAGGUGGGCUCCAACUUGAUUGCUUAGAGCGUCGGCUCUAUAGAAACCGCACCCGAUAGAUAAUUCCUAUCUAGCGACAAUCUCUGACGGUCGGCAGUACAACUGGGCGAUGUAGCUAAUUUAGUGCCGACAAUCAAGAUAGUGUCAGCUAAAUAAUUGAGAGACUCUGCAAUUUGAUAAUAUAAUUUCAUUUCUUGCACCUCACUUUUUUUCCGUCACACGUAUCGGUAGUGCUGUCUUGAGUUGGGAGCUACUUGAUUUGCACAAUUAUGACAUCGUGCUUUCUCUUUUUUCACAUCGUUUAAGAUGGACAAGGUGUAUAACACAGCCAAAUUGAUAAAUUACUUUGCAGUAAGACAUUUUGUGAAUCCUUCGACAAUGAAAAUUAUGCUUAUUGAUAUGUUUUAAGAAUUUCGUCCUCUCUAUAGUUCAUAUUCUUGUUGGAAAUUAGAAAGCGGAAAUAUAUUUCAAAUCCCAAGUCAGUGUUUUAAAAUCUAGGCGAGAUGAACUGGCCAACCAGAAAUCUGCUCCGCGACAGGGAAUUGCUUAUCCUGAUUGGUGCAUUAAACUAGUUCUCUAUCACGAGAAUCGGUCCAAUAAUUAAAAAUUUUAAAACAAAAAUAUAUAACCAGGCAGAAGAUCAUGAACUCAGAAUUGUGUGAAUCGAACCAGAUCAGCCAGUUUAUAUCAAUCUGCGGAAGAAUAUAAAAUAAAAAAAUUAAAUAACAAUAAAAAAUAUUUUGUAUAACAACCUAAUCUAAUUUUCUAAUACUUUUUAAUCAUUUUCUAGUAAAUUGUUUUGUGAUAAAUUGCUUUUUAAAACUUUUUAUGAUCAACUAUUCAUCAUCCAAAUAUAAUAAUUAUUUCAAAUUCAAAUCCAUUUAUAUAUUAUUUUUUAAGAUAUAAACCAUGGGAUUUUUAACAUUCAAAUAAAUAAAUAAACCACAAUUACUUUAUAGAAAAAUAUAAAUUUAUAUAGAAAGCUAGAAAAAUAUAUGGGAUUGUACAUGAUGAGAUCAUUUACCUUUGAAAUAGAGAGGUCACAAUUACUUACAAUCAUCCGACGUAAAAUUUGAACUUUGAGCUUGGUCAUUGAAAUAAAUGCAGCCACCCAAUUUCACACUCAAGGUUUAGAAAUAGUGCAUCUUGUAAUGCAUUUUUGGACUGUCAAUUUUCAAGAUUUUUAAGUUUUCAUAGACGUGUUCGAUCUACAUUAUUUUUAAAGCUUUAAAUUUUAUAAUUAAAAAUAAAAUAUAUUUUAAAGCUAUCACAAAGAUUUCUAUUAUUGAAACCACAUCUUUCAACACUAUUUAAAAAUGAGCUUUACUUUAAUUGUUUAGAUUGUCGGUUCUAUACAAGCUGCAGCCUAUAGAAACAAGCAGUAAAGUUCGACUGCGUUGUUGUCACACUGGACCAUUGGGCAGCAGCUAAAUACCAAACUUUGCGUGUUUUCUUUCACUUUGAAUAGAGGAAAUGGAUUUUUUUCCAAAAAAGAAGACGAAAAGAAAUGGUUUACACGAGUCAACAUCUUAACUACCGCAUGAAAGGUGUCCUUAAGAGAGAAAAAAGCUUAUAAGGUUUAACUUUAUACUAUUGACGUAAGGUGCGGCCUCACAAAUUCCAUAGAGAGCGUUCCGGGUUGACGCAAGGUGCGCCUCCCAAAUUCCAUAGAGAGGGUUCCGGAUUGGAGAACCCUAAGAGUGAUUGAUCUCGAGAUGGAUGGACGUGAAAAAAAUAUAUAUAUAUUUUCAAGUCUAAAAAGUGGUACAUUUUGUAAAAAGUUAUCUGGAUUUUUUAUUUUUUAGAUUUUUAAAUGUUUUUAUAUCUUCUUGAUCUGCACUGUUUUUGAAGUUUUAAAUUUUAUAAUUGAAAAUAAAAAAAUAUUUUUAAAUCAUUAUAAGAUUUUCAACACCAAAACGACAUCUCUAACUAAAUUUUUGUAAAUGCACCUUGCUUAUACAGUAUAAAGAGACAACCUCAUACAAACCUCACUCAUUGAAAAAUCCUCCCAAAAGUGGUUUUGAUAUUAAAAAUCCUCCCAUCAUGGUGAGGAUUCCGCCCAAAGGUUCAUAUUACUGUUUAGUUUAUUGUAAGAAAGGAUAUUGAAAUUUAUAUAAUUAAUUAUUUUUAACAGGGGCACGUUGAUGGGCCUUGGUCGGUUUGAUAUUAUUAAAAUAUACAUUUAAUGAUUUUGAUAGGGACUGAUCAACUUAGACAUGGGUUGUUGAGUUCUUGGAACAUGUCGCUUGUGGAAUUAGAAACUUUAAAUACCAGGAUCCCACUCAAAGUCGAGUAUAUAAUUGGUUAAAUGUAAAAUAAAUUAAUAUAAUUAUAAAUUGAGUGUAAGAAAUAUAUUAAAAAUCAAAAUACACUAUAAUGACACACGAUUUAGGUGGUUCACCCCGUACGGCUACAUCCCUUCUUCGUAAUCAUGUAGAGAUAGUUCCUUUUUCUUAUGUUGGACCCUGUGGCACUAACUCCUCUAAUAAAGCUGAAAUGUGUUCCCUUAUACAAAGGCUAGAAAUUAUUAUAGAUGAGGGUUUCUCAGGAGACAUUCUUAUUGAGGGAGAUUUUCUGAAUAUCUUGGACUUAUUAAUGAAAUCUUUGUAAUCUUGUCAAAAAAAGAAAACGAAAUUUGCUGAAUUUUGUUAAAUGGUGCAGGCAGGAGCAAAAGGUCCCUUAGCCCCUACAUAUCCUAUAGAUUAAAUUACUUGAUCUUUGUGCUUCUCCGAGACUAUGGGUUUUGUUCUGCCAUACCUAUCUUGAAGCCAAUGUUGCAGUGGAUAAUCUUGCUAAGCAUUAUCUACAAAGAGACCAUUUAUCUUUUGUAUAUGGAUGUCAUAAUCAUUCAUACUCAUUAGAUGCCAUAUUAGAUGGCUUGGGGUGAGUGACGAAGUUCAAGAUUUUUUUUUUUGGAACUUUGUAUCUACUCAAUGGCACUCUUACAACCACCCAUUUAAAUUUUAAGGGACAAAAAUAAUUGUGACCUCCAUGUAUAAAAAAACAAAUGGUCUCUUUGUAGGCAAGCCCUUUCGGAAAAUAGUCACUUAAUCUUUUUUCUCUUCAAAUAUGACAUUGAAUCGGGGACUAGGAGUUGCCGCCAAUUUGUUUUGAGAGUUUAGAUAAGCAAUUUCUACCCUUCAAAUUCCCAGAUUUGAAUUUUUUUUUUUCCUUGAUAUCAUCCAUAAAUUCUUAUUAAUUUUUAAUUAUUGAUUCGGCUAAUCUAGGUCAUCCGAUCCAAAUCUCUUUAGAUCAACUUAAAUGAAUCAAGUUUUGAUAUAAAUCUACUUAAAUUCAUUUUUAAUUAUAAGCUAUAUUAGGGUACUCGUACAUGUGAGUAUUUCUUUAAUAUACUCAACAAACCCUUACUGUACCAUGUAGUAGCUUUUUUAUUUAGGGAUAAUUCAGGUAAUUAAUUAGGGUAAAAUUGAAAUUCUUGACGGAAAAAAUAGCAUUUUGUAAUUAUCAUAGGGAAUGACAUCAUCCAUAUAAGAUGUGAUAUGACAUGACCCACAUGGAACAAUAAUUACUUCUUAACCACUUGUAAAAUAACACUAGUUUCUUAUAAAAAUAUCUAUUCUACACAUCCUUAUGAUCAAACAAUUCAUAUCAAUCAGUUUUCCAUAAAUGAUCUUUUUGAAUGUUAUGUGCAAACCAUGUGAAUGUCAAAAGUUCAAUUGAUCAUGGUGUCUUGUAAAACAAAGCUCAAAAUCUCAUAAAACAUAAAUCAUUUGAAAAAAAAUAAGAGUUUUAAGUAAGGAAAGUUUAAAUAAGGGUGACGCUUCGAUGCCCAAAAAUCCUUAAAUCGAUCAUCUUUGACCUCAACUUGUAUGUACAAGAAAAAUAAAUAAAUUUCAAGUCUUCACAUCUUUAAAAUAAGGGUGCAGUUUGCAUACGGAUGCAUCCGUAGGUCUAGAGGUAAGGUGCACAUUCAAAUUUUAUAAUGAUAUAUAAUUUUGAUGUAAAAUGUUCUUAGAAUUAUCUCAAAAUCGAUUUUUAUAUCUAAUUAUAAAAUUUUAAAUUUCAAAAAUAGUUAAAAUGAAGUAGAUCUAUAAACAUAUGAAAAUCUUGAAAAUGGAUGAUGUAGAUAAUAUGUUGUAAACUGCACUAUUUCUGAGACUUAAAAUCUUUUUAUUUUUCAUAGUCAUGCAUCUCGAUGUCAAGAUGAUCAAUUAAAGGGUUUUUCAACAUUAAAACUACCUUUUCCAAUGGAUGUUUGAGGGGCACCUGUAGUUCUACAUUUUUUUUUUUGACAAAUAAACCGUAGUUCUACAUUAUAAGGUAGCAUCCUUAUAUAAACUUUUUCCAUAAAUUAAUGUAUCUUGUAUUGCAUUUUAAAUAAAGUGCACCUCAAAAACUCAUCGGCAAAGUUGAAUGAUACUGAAAAAUCCUUCCAUUAAAAUCAAUCAGUUUUCCAUAUUCAAAGUGUUUUUUUUUUAAUUUCUUGCAAAAAUCGUUUGAUUGUCAACAAUUAAAAAUGGAUCAUGCUUUCUUGGAACCAAAGAUCAAAAUCUUAAAAGCAUAAAGUGAAGUGCAUAUCAAAAACUCAUCGAAAAUGGCCAUUAUGAGGCUGAAAAAAAAAAUUCAAUCGUCUAACUUUAUAACUUCAAGAUGAGUGAUGGUACUUUGCAAGGGCAUUUAAAUAAAUUUAAUACUCUUAUGGGAAAGUUGAUGGGACUAGAUGUGAAAGUUGUUGAGGAAGAUAAGACAUCCAUAUUACUUUGUUCCAUACUGAAAUUAUUGGGAUGAACUGAUCAGGAUUCUCAAUACUGCAAAGCAUCUAGAACUUAAUUUUGUUGUGUUUGCACUUCUUAAAGAGGAGUUUAGGUGGAAGUUCAAUAAAAGAUAAUCUGAGAAUGUAUUUAUAGCAUGGUAGAUCAAUGAAGAGAACUGCAGGAGUGAGUUUGUCUUGAUCCAUGUCAAAAAUACAUAAGAAAGUGAAGUGCAUAGGUUGUAAAAAUUAUGUAAUGUGAGGAAAGAUUGCAAGUUUUUUUGAAAAUGAAGAAGUUUUGUCCAUGGAUAGAGAGGAAAUGUUGUACUAUUGAAUACUUGAUUCAGAUGCAUCCUUUCAUAUAUCUCCACGUAAGAAUUGGUUUUACAAAUAUGAACUAUGUGAUGGAAAAAUAGCUUACAUGGGAAAUAAAGACUCAUGCAAAAUAAUAUGAAUUGGAGGCAUGGGAAUCAAGAUGCUAAAUGAGGUGACACUAAAUCUCUUGCGUAAGGCAUUUUCUUCUGGUCUCACAGUGAGUCUCUUAGUCUUAAGAAAAUUUGAUGAGUAAGGUCAAGUUUACAGGUGAUAACACUAAAUCUCUUGCGUAAGGCAUUUUUUUCUGGUCUCACAGUGAGUCUCUUAGUCUUAAGAAAAUUUGAUGAGUAAGGUCAAGUUUACAGGUGAUAAUGGAUGUCUGAAAAUUUCAAAAGGAAUAAUAAUGGUUGUGCAAGUUGUCGACUACUUACAGCCAUUUGAUUGGAAAUCAAGUGGCUAAGGUUGUGUCACGAAGAUUAGUAAAAUAUUUAUUGAGCUUUGAGUGCGUUAAUUACAAAACCCUAACCAUCUGAUUUUAAAUCUAACCUUUCUGUACUAAAUAUAACCAAUCCAAUUGCAUACUUUUCUUUAAUAUCUUUUGGGCAUUUUAGUUAGGAGUUAAAUUGCCAAUGCAACUCGGAUUUGUCCGCGUUCGGAUCAUUGAUUGUGGUCCCAAGAGUCCUAGAACUGCUCUGAUUCUUUGCGUUUUUUAGCUUCUAUUUUCAAGUCAUGUUUGUUAAAUUUGGACAAAACUGGUUUGAUUAAAUUGAAAUGGACCCUGGCGAGUAGUAGUAGAUUUCCAGUUUUGAAAUUACUGUGUAGGCUCCACUUUCCUUUGCCCUUUGUGUUUUGUGUCGACAUGUCCAGAUGCGUCUAAAGAUCUAUUGGUGUGACCGAAUAACACGGAGCGUCUAAAUGUAGGCACACCGUGUUUGAAUAUCAGAUACACCUACCUACUCUAUGGUUUACUUUGUAUGACUUGCCUACUGAUCUAUUAAAUGAAGGUUCAAUGUACAUGAUAUGAAUGCUGACUGCAUAUAAAAAAUUUGGUUGUCCAGUUUUAGAGAUAUCGGGCAGGCACAAUUUUUUUUUUUUUUUUUUUAUUAUUUUUCGAUGCGGUUCAAUAUUGGAGAUACAAUGCAUUUCAAAUGGAAAACGCUAAGUAAGGGAUGGUCCAAUGUAUCUAAUAUCAGCCGGUCAAAAAUGGAUCGGUCCAAUAUUUGGUACAUCGAACAGCUGAAAAUAUCAAUCAUAGAAAUUAAAAAAAAUAAAAAGUAGUCCUUGAUGUUUGCAACAUCAGAUCAGUUUUUUUCAUGAACGUUCUCUUCCUGGACAGUGGUUUAGCUGUAGAUUAGAGAUAAGUCUAUUCUAAGACAAUAGUUCAGUUGUAGAAUAGAAAUCAUAUAUUUGCAAGUGCUGUCGUUUGGGAAAGCGGGUCUAAAAGAGUUUUCUCGAGUGGGUUUGGUUGAGGGUUAAAUAGAAAAGCAACCGGUGAUGACAUGAGGGAAAUUUGUCAUAAAGUUUCGAAAAUUUUCUUUCCAAGUUUGAGCUUGAUCAACUAAAUAAAUACAGCAACCCAAUUUCACAUUCAAUGGUUAAAAUCAAUUGUGACAAUCGUGUGCCAAAAGUAAAUGGUUUCAUUAUAUACUUUUUCAUAUAAUUAUAUAGGUAUAAAACCCCAAUUUUUUCAAAACUUAACAAACAGUAUUGAAUAAUGGUAAAGUAUGUAAUGAGACUAUUUAUCUUUUCUACAAGAUGGUCACAAUUAAUCAUGACCAUUGGAUGUGAAAUUAGGCGGCUACAUUUAUUUCAUUGACCAAGCUGAAAGUUCAAAAUAAAUUUUUUCAAACUUUGUGACCCAUCCAAGCGUUAGAUUUCACAUUGGAUGGUUGUAAGUAAUUGUGCCCUCCCUAUUCCAAAGGAAAACAGUCUCAUUGUAUAAAUCCCUUGAAUAAUCUAUGCCAACAAACUAGAUCUUCCAUCUAUCACAAAGAAGACCCUUGAGCCAAGCCAAGGGAUUCAUCUAUCGCAAUACUGUAAAGUCCCCUAUGUGCGGUAAAAAUAAAACUCAAGGCAUCCACCACCCUCUAGGCCCCUAAAGACAAUUGGUCAAAUAAAAUAUAAGGAAAAUGUCUCCAUAAACCCCAUUUUCAACUUUCAUUUCUUUCUAAACUAAAUAUUUCAAAACCUAUCUUCUAACCCCCUAAAUAACUUUAUCAAUUUUUAUUCCAACUUUUAAUCCAAACAAAUUAAAAAAGAUAUUUUUUUUCUAACUCUAUCUCUCUCCUCACAUGUUUCAAUCUAUUCUUCUUCUUACCCACCUUCUCCCUAGCUGUUCUCUUGCUCUUACUCUCGCCCUGCAAUGGGGUCACCUAGCUGCUCUCUUGCUCUUACUCUUGGCCUGCAAUGGGGUCACCAUCUUCUGACUCCAUCUCCCUUUUCUGGCAAAGCCCACAUCAGAAAAGAAUAGGUCUUGGUUAAGGCAAACAUCAUCGCCUCUUGUAGUUUUCCGGCGAUCCAUUGUUAUAUCAGGCGCACAACGGGAUUCUUCAUAGGCUGAAGAUUCAUGGGAGAAAUAUAGUUAUAUCAGGUGCAAUACGGCGAUCCAUGGUUAUACCAUUGAAUUUUAAACCCCUUUAUCUAUAUCUGCCUCUCUCUCUUCUGUCCAUCUCCUCCCUUCUUUCCCUCUCUGGUCAUCUUUUCAAAAUUCUGAAAUUGAAGACUUCUUCAAGAUCAUUUCUCUUGGGAUGAGACUGGACUCUCAGAUUGGGAUCAACUUUGAUUAAUAGAAAUUAAUGGAGGAAGUUCGUUUGCCUUAGGAUGAGGGAUUAAUGGUAUGUUGUAGUUUUACGGAUUUUAUAGUGAAAUUUGGGGGAGAAUGGCUGGAUUUUGGCUAGAAAGUGAGCAAAAUAAGCUGGUUUAUGGUGGUGAUGGUGAAAUUUGCUGGUUUAUCAGAUGUUUCCUUUUCUUGAGUUGAGCAGGCCGCCGGAAUUUAUUAUCGGAUGAUUUGGCCGGAAGCUUUCGCCGGAGAAUGAGGAUUGAUGAUUUUCUUGAAGUGGGUUUUGGGGGGUUUGUGUUAUCGUUCAGUUGGGAUUCUCUCUUGAGCUUACAUGUUUCUUUUUUUUCAUUAUUGAAACUUGGAGCCCAUCAUCACCUCUUGUGGUUUUCUUGCGAGUAGGUGACCAGGGUAGUAUAGUUUACCGGCGAGUAGGUGAGGGGGAGAGAGAGAGAGAGAGAGAGAGAGAGGUUCUAGAGGUUGAUCAGGGGAGAGAGAAAGAGAAUCAUGUCAAGAGUGAGAGGGGUUUGGAAACAAUGUGUUUUUAAAAUUUGUUUGGGUCAAAAAAAUUAGUAAAAAAUGAAUGAAAUAUGCUUAAGGGGUUAGGAGAUAUAAUAGAGUGAAUUUCUAUGUAGUAAGAUAGGUUUUUUCAACUUGAGGUCAAUGGAGAAAUGAAAGUUGAAAGUAGAGUCUAUGGAGAUAUUUUCUCUAAAUUAUAUGGUGUGUUUUCUUUUGGGGCCAUCUCACAUCAUUGUCUUACUAUAAUUUAUUAAAAUAUAUUUUUUAGAAAGUAUGCGUAUACCAUUUGUAUGACUCUAAAUUCUAAAUAUGCACUCUCAUCAUCUUAAUGAUCAAUCUCAGCAAGAAAAAAUCUCAUUUAUAUCUUAGAAAAAGUAAAAAAUAGUUCCACUCCAACAAUGAAUCUAGACUAUGCAUUUAUUGGAUAUUAGACAAAGGUUAUUAAGAAUUCAAAAUUUAUUUUUCGUUGUUCAAGUUGCUUAUCUAACGGUGAAAAGGCCAUCUAAAAAACUUGGAAUUAAGAAGAAAAAAAAAAUAGCCCUCAAACAAAUAGAUCUAAUCAUCCCAAACCAGUGAUUUAAAAAAUUCAGAGUCGACCCGGAAUCGCACCGAGUUGACACGAAAAUCAACCACUAAUUUUUAUGACUCUUGGGCGUCUCUUUUGCCACGUGCACCUCGCUACGGCUAACCCGAGCUGUUCCCACAUGCAUGCUCUACAAAAACCCGCAUUUUUGGGUAAUGGGAAAGCUUUUAUACAUGCCAAACCUCUCCUGAUUUGUCGAUGUGGGAUAACAAUGGAGGCUGUAGAGUAGAUAUCUCUCUUUGUGUGUUAUAUAAUAAAUAAAAUAAAUGACAUUUAGUUAAUAGCAUUAGUUAAUUCUUCUUUAUAGUGUUUAAGGCAUUAUACCGUUAAAGGCAUUAGUUAAUAUCAUUUUCCUCUUUUUGGCUUCGUACCGUUAAAUGCAUUAGUUAAUAGCGUUAAAUGUUAAUGGGAAAAGUUUAUAUAAGGUUGCAACCUUAAAAUGUAGAAUCACAUAUGCACCUCAAAAAUCUUUUCAUCUUGAUAUCGAGAUGUAUGACUAUAAAAAUAUAUGUAUAUAUUUUGAGUCCCAGAAAUAGUUCAUCUUGCAACACAUUAUCUAGACUGUCUAUUUUCAAGAUUUUCAUAUAUUUAUAGAUCUACUUGAUUUUAACCAUUUUUAGAAUUUAAAAUUUUAUAAUUAGAUAUGAAAAAUAGAUUUUAAGAUAAUCCUAAGAAUUUUUUACAACAAAAGUACAUGUUAUGAUAAAAAUUUUAGGUGCGCCUUAAUUGGAUUGUUUAAAGUUGCAACCUUAUAGAAACCGCACCCUUAGUUAAUAGCAUUGGUUAAUAACUAAAUGGCAUUAAUUAACAUCAUUUAAGGCUAGGUUUUAAAGGUUUGGACCUAGCUUUUUAUCAAAAAAUCAAUGGUAUAAUUAUAUUAAUUUCUUUUGUACCAUGGUGGCCUUUAAAUAUUAAUUUACAGCAAAGAAAAAUUAUUAAAAAUAAUAAUUGGCUGAUAGGGCCCACCACCCCUUUCUUUCACCAAAAAAAUUUAAAUUUACUUGUCCAAAAAACAAGACCAAUAGAAUUAAACUAUUAGCUAAUUGAGAUUAAAAAAAUUAGAACUAGCACAUAAGAUAUUAAAAAAAGCAAAAAAUAAUACUAAUGCUGGUUUAUUGAACAUUAAAAAAAAAACUAGUACUUUAACAAACGAAAAUAACACUAGCUCAUACUACUUUAGAAUUUAUUGCAUGUUGCUUUUAUCAAUUAUCCCCCAUUUGCAAAGAUGAAUUUAUUUAUAUACUUUCUUAAUUUUAUAAAAAUGUGAUUGCAAAUAUAUGUUAUUAGAUUCUAUAUGUUUAUCAACACUAAUUAUUAUACAUUAUAUUUAUUUAUUCAUAAUAAUCAAAUCUUAUAUUUUAUUUAUUAAUUUAUUUACAUUAUAAAUUAUGCAAUGUAUUAUUUUUUAUUAUAGUUGUAAAUUAGAUUUUUAAAUUAUAUGAUACUAUAUGACAAAUUUCAAAUUUAUUCUUAUUUGUAUUGUAAAAUGAUGGUAAAAUAACAAAAUACAAACUAAUAAUUCUAAUUUCAAUGUAUAAUAAUGCAUUUAGUUAGGUUUUAAUAAAUGUUUGAUAAAAAUCUUAAUACAGGGAAAGAACAUCUCAAUAUUCGCAUAUUGAUGCAAAAAAAUGAAAUUUAUUAGUGGAGUACCCACAUUUCUUAUUGGAUUUCUAAAAAAAAAACAUUUAUAAUGAAUUUUAAUAAUUAUUUUGGAUUUUUUUAAUACUUAAUCCGAUCGAUUUGGCUGAUUCCCGAUCUGAAUCACCAAUUCACUGAUCCGGAUAGGUUUUUGGGGUGCCCGAUUUGGCGUACCGAUCCGUUUUUUAAAUCACUGCAUCAAACAAUCAAUAAUCAUGGCAUUAAAACAUAAUUUAUUUUUUGAGAUUAUUUACAAAAAUAAAAGGAAAAUUUAUGUAAAUAUCUGUUUUAUUUUUUGUUAUUACAAAAAUACCUAAAUCUUUCAAUUAUUACUCAUAUAUCCAUUUUUUUAUAUUCAUAAUAAUUCUUUUUUACAAAAAGUCGAAACUAUCCAUUUUUUAUUUUCAAAAAUCAAAAUUUAAGAAAUUUCGGUCUUAAAAAGCCGAAUUUCGCUGUUUGCAGAUUCGACCAAGUUAUUCAAGAACAAUUUUCAUGUUCCCUCCCCUCUAUUAAUGGCAAAAGCGAAGAAAACAAAAAAUUGAGAAAAUUGUAUAACAACUAAUAAAUGAACUUAUACACAUGGAAAAAAUACGAACUAAUAAUUCAUCCACACGAGCAAAAUGAAACCCUAAAAUUAGGUCAGCAAACAAGAAUCCUCACCCCCAAACUCACGCCUCUUAUGUCUGGAAUCCGGUGAUGUACGAGAGAGUUCUGAGCUCAGUGUGAUUGAUAGGAUGCAAUUGGAAAGCAAUUGGGAGAGGAAGAGCGAGAAACACACUCCAUUGUUGAAGAAUUAUAGUUUAAUGGCAGUUCAAAGCGCUAUUAACAAAGAAUUGCAGUUGAAAGCGCCAUUAACAAAGAAUUAGGGAUUGUAGGGGAUGAGAAAGCCUGGGAGAUUUUGAUUUCGAUUGAAUAAAACGAAGGGAUAUCUUUUAAAAUAGUAAAAUUUCUUCCCUCAAAUACAAAAAGCAGAAAGUGUGGGUAAUUUGUAGAGAACAUGCUGCGACCAAAACAUAAAAACUGAAAAACAAAUAAAUUUGGUUUUUGAAAAAUCAAAAAUUUAAAAAUUAACCGUAAAUGAGUAGUUUCAUUUUUUUAAAAAGAAUUGUUAUGAAGUUCAAAAAACGGAUAUAUGAGUAAUAGUAAAAAGUUCUAAGUAUUUUCAAAAUAACUGAAAAUAAAACGGAUAUUUCCAUAAUUUUCUCAAAACAAAAAGAGGUGUGUUUAAAUAUUCAGAUUUUAAAAAUGUCCCAGCAUUGUUUUAAAAGUAAAUUUCACUAUAUUGCUAUAAAAUCAUUGGUUGAGAUCACUCCCUUGUUGUUAGCGAUAUAGAUAAAGACAAUUGGUCAAAAACAAUAUAUGUACGUACCUAACCAAAUAGAAUAUUGUUGUUUUAGAUAUCCAUAUCCCACAUUGUUAAUCUUUUGUCCUAGACAUCCAUAUUGUUAAUCUUUUGUCUUGAAUCUCAAGUAAUUUGGGAUUAUUCCUUUUUUGAAGUGGGUUUAGGUUUCCUAAUUCAAAGGGAUAUGUUUUGUGUGCCAAUUUUGUGGGAGAUUAUUUCGUAUUUCCGGGAGAGACUCCCUAGCUUUUGAGAAUUCUAUAUGGAGCUUUUUAUGUACGGACACUUUUUUACUCCAUAUAUUAUCGUUCGAUUUACGAAGAGCGCCACUCCUAUAGUGCUUUUUUUCUUUUUGGUUUUAAGUUAAACUCCUAUUUGGUAUUAACAACACCCGAUUAAAGACAGCUUUUUGUUUUAAGACAAACAACUCAUUCACCGGACUAAAGGCAACGUUUGCCUUAAGACAAACAACUCAUUUGUCCGGUAGUUUUACGCCACGUGCGGUGUUUGGUAUUUUCAGUAUUGGAUAGUUGCUUGCAUCCCCUUAAAAAGUGAGUGCGCCCAUUGGCGAGCCUAUUUCAAUUUUGUGGGUUAACCCUCUCUCUCUUCUGGGAGCUUUCUCAUAGCCUCAAGCAGAUGUCCGAGGUCUCAGAUCUACGCGAACAUUUACUCAUCUAAUUUGCAAUCCAUCAAAUAUAUUUUCAUUUUAUUUGUCUUAGUCAUUGUAACUUUUUUUUGUUGAAAUCAUCAUUAUUUAUAGACCUUUUGAACCAAUUUGUCAAAGGCUUUGCUAGAUUGAUCAAUCUUCAAAUAUUGAAGUGUUUUGGUUGAGAUCUGGUUUUGGAGGUUUCUUGGGUCAAUGAGCGUUAUAUUGAACCUUUUAAACAAGUAAUGACAUAUUCUGGUUUCGGGGUCCAAAACUACCUAAAUUUGGAUUUUUUUUUUAUCAUUAUCAUUUUUAAUCAAUAUUUGCCAUGAAGUAAGAAACUUCUAUUAAUUAUGUACAAAAAUGAUGGUAACUUACAAAAAAAAUUAAAAAUAUUGAAUGCAAGAAGGAGAUGAAUCCUACCUGAUUAGCACUCGAUGCAUAGCAACAGUUUGCCGAUGUGAAAGCUUUAGAUAGUCGCUCAGCAGAGACCGAGAGAGAGAGAGAGAGCUCUAGGUAGAGAGAGAGAAUAGAGGGAAAAGGCCAAAUGGAGCAUUCGAGUAGAUGUCUGUUACGAACACUGGACAUAUUAGAAUAUAAGUUCGACUUCACUCGAGUAAUGUUUGGUAUGACUAAUACCGAACUGACAAAAAACAAAAGCACUAUAUAUCCGGUAUCCUGAACACCAAAUAGGACAAAGUAGCCCCUCUGGUGUUGUGAAAAAAAUAGAAAAGGAGGCCAACUUAGGAAAAAAAAAUGCUGCUAGGGGAGGGGUACUCUUUGUAAGGUUUUUGAAAAAAUAACACUAACCGAUAAUAAAGGAUACAAAAGGUUGUCAAAGGAAAGUAUAUAUUGUAUAUCUGGUUAAUAUAGAAGGUGCAUAUUAUAAUCAGUAAAUAUGAGAAAGGUAGGAUAUUGUGUCCUCCUUUGUUUUAUGGUAAGUCUGGGUAUAGUUUAGGCAUCUAUGAUUUAGUUUUUAUUUUCUCAUAUGUAAUUUGUCUAUAAAAGACAAGUCUGUAUAUGCAUAUCAAUUAAUGGACAUUGAGUCUCUUCAGAGAAAACUGCGACUCUUCACAUGGUAUCAGAGAAAGGUUAUCUUUGUUGCGUCCAUUCAUCAUCUGAACUUGCACUUUAGAUCUGAGUUCUUUGUCAAGUCGUGUUUCGACUAUUUAAUCUAUCUCUCUGUCUAGUCGUGUUUCGACUCUCUGAUCUGUCUCUCUAAGGAGUCGUGUUUCUUUGAUCUAUCUCUAUGCCGAGUCGUGUUUCGACUCUCUGAUCUGUCUCUUUAUGGAGUAGUGUUUCUCUGAUCUGUUUCUAUGUCGAGUCAUGUUUCGACUAUCUGAUCUGUUUGAUCUUUUUCAAGAGUUCCUAAAACCAUAUGUUCUAGAGGCUUGUUGAUUCUUCAUUGCUUUAUGUUCAUGUUGAUCAAGCAAUCUGAGUAUGCACAUGAAGAUCCAAUUGCUCGUUUUCUCGAUUUGGUGUUCAAACUCUAGCUGCUCUCUUUCAUAGCAUCUUGUGUUAUGAGGGAGAGUGUGAAAGGAAAGUAUAUAUUGUAUAUACGGUUAAUAUAGAAGGUGUAUAUUGUAAUUAGUAAAUAUGAGAAAGGUAGGAUAUUGUGUCCUGCAUUUUAUAGUAAGUCUGGGUAUAGUUUAGAUGUCUACGACUUAGCUUCUAUUUUCUCAUUUGUAAUUUGUCUAUAAAAGACAAAGCUGUAUAUUCAUAUCAAUUAAUAUACACUGAGUCUCUUCAGAGAAAUUUGAAACUCUUCACUAUCCACACGUAAAAAGAACUUUUCUAAAUUACCCAAGAAACUCAUUAAAGGAAAGGAGUUUAUAGGAUUAGCUUUAUCACUUUAAAAAAGAAGAAUAAACUAGGCCUCACAAGAGGGUGCUUUGGGUUUCCUCUAUGCUAUAAUUGUUUUGUAAAAAGAGAAACACACAAGACAAAUAAGUAAAAGCGAAGGAAACUUUGGGAAUGUGUAGAGAAAAUCUUUUAUGAGAGAUUUUGUAUCUGGUUCGCUCUAAGUGUCUUGUAAUUUUAUUUCUUUAAUUAGUGGAAAACUGUCGAUUGUCUUCUCCUUUGGAUGUUAUUACAUCUGUAUUGAAUUACAUAAAUUCUAGUUUACUUUCAUAUGUUAUUUUUCCAUGUUUUAUUUUUUGUGCUUGUUAUUUGAUUGUUAUUAGUUCUAUUUUUUUCGCCCUUUAUCUGCCGAAAAUCAAUCUGUCAGGUUCUAGAGCUUUCGGGCACAACACAUAUUAUGAUAAUCCACAUGAACUCUUAAGCCAAAAGAUUUCGACCUUCAGCACAACCAUACUACCCAUUUAAUUUCUCAAGUAAAACUCAAUUUAUGAGUAUUUUGAGGACUCAAAUAUUGGGGACGUAUCCUCUUCAGCCUACACAUUAACUUUAUUUAAAAAAAAAAAAAUUUUCCCAAUAACUGAUGUCCAGAGAUCAAUAGGUGAGGUUCCAAUUUUGGAUAGUGAGAUUUAGUAGUUAGAAAACUCAAAAUCCAAACCUUUUAUUUUGGAAAAUAACAAUAUGGUGGUUCUCAAAUGGUUCCCAAAAUUCCUUAUGAAAAACUCCUCCAAAGUAGUUCUUCCUCUUGAGGAAAAGUCAUACAGCCUGCUCCCUCGGGAGCAUAGUACAGGCGCUCAACUCUUGAAAUGUGCAUCGGGCUUGCCACACCGUCUAACCGACAAGGAAAACUGUGGAAGGGUGCACAUGCGUACCGGUUGAGAUUUCACGAGGCCAGCAAAAAAAUUGAUCUCAAAUUUUAUUUUUAUAAAUAUAAAUAAUGAAAAUAUUUUAGAUAAAAAAUAAUCAAAAUAAUCUUAAAUUUAUUUUGAGCAUUAUUUUUUAUUUAAAAUAUUUUUUGUUAUUUUUGUUCAAUUCUACUUAUAAAAAAGAAGCUAAAGCCCAAAUCUCAUAUUUAUAUUUUAAAAAAAAACCAUUAAACCAAAAAAAAUAUUUUGACCCUUGGAUGAGGUUGGUUCAAUCUCAACCACUAAAGGUGGUUUGUGUAAGCGUCACAGCAUGUGGACGCAGUACCACCUGGAGAAAGGUUGUACAAUCUAGUUGAAAACAAAAAAUUUGGCAACGAAAAUCUAAAUGAUAAAUGAAAAUACAUAUUGGAAAAACCUCACAAAAUAUAUUGACGCUCAAAAAGUACAUAUUAAAAAAAGUGAAAUAGAAAUAUAUAAAAUGAUAUAUUGUAUGAGAAAAGAAUAUUUAUGAUGUUGAAAAAGCAUGGUCAUAAUUAAAAAGAAAGCAAAAUGAAAUACACAAAAUUAUACAAUAAAAUUUUUAAGAAAGGAAAAUAAUUUACCCCCAAAAAAGAAAAGAAAAUAAUUUGAUUAGGCUUCAGCCCUAUCAAAAUAAGUAAAGCCUCGUCUCAUAGCUCAUCAAAAAUUGCAGUUCUAAGUAUUGAAAAACCUUGAAAUCAAGCAGCUUGAACACUAAUGUUAAAACUAAUGUAUAUUGCGACAAAACAUCUAGACCAUCCACUUUGCCUUAAAAAUAAAUGUUCAGUGCACAAGAUCUAUACCAUUUUUUGUGUUUCAAAUUUCCUUGUCGGUGUUGAAAAUUAAUUUUAGAUCUAUCAUGAAGAUUUUCAACAUCCAAAAUGCUUUCCAGAUCAGGAUUUGAAGUGAGGCUUUAUUUUGUUUCAUAACGCCCUUGGCUCUAUAGAAACUUCAUCCUUGAAGAAAAAAAAUGUAGAAAGCACCGCUAGAGCCACUAAUAAAGGGUGAAGCCUGAACCAUCGUCACAGAAAAGCCAACCUGCUUUAGGUGUUCUAGACACCGUGUUUAGGGGCUCAGUUGAGUCGACUCGGCGUCGUGACCCCGCCAAAGUGAGUGUAUUUGCCCAAUUCACCCCUCUUAAAAUCUAUUGAAAAGUCACAAAUUUUAUUUAAGAACCACUAAUAUAUAAUUCAUAAAUAUGUUUAUGUAUGAAUUUUAGGGAUUUUUAUGAUGAUUUACGAAUUUUUUUAUGUGUUUUAAUUUUUAAUUUUUCAUUUGUUGGAAUAUUUUAAGAUAUAGAUCAAUUUCUUCAAUAAAUUAUGUUUUGCAGAAUUUUCAAUAUCUUAUAUCCUUUCAUCGAUCUUUAUUACUUAUUUUAGUCUUUGUUGUUCUAUUUUUUAAUAAUUUUUGUAAAUUUGUUAGAUUUUUGGGCCGAUUUGACAUUAUGCAGCACUCAGCCAUGUUCAUUCGAACUUAGCGGAGUAACUCAACUUGAGUCGGGGUGGAGUCCGAGGCUGAAGCCAUGUUUCAUAACAAUGUUGAGAACUAUUUUACACGAUCAAAACUCUUUUAAAUGUAUAACCGCCGGUUUUUACCCCUUGUUUUUUACGGUCUCCUCUACAUUUUCCCUAAACCUGCCGUUUUUAUGACAGUCUCCUCCAUAUUUGCACAACUUUGGAGAAAAUACGGAGGAGACAAUAAUAAAAGGGGUGGAAAAUCGAUUCGUACAUAUUUUUCCCAAUUAUAAAUAAGAAUAAAGAUUCAAUGAGCUGACCAACUUUUUGGGAAAUAUAGAGUAUAUUAGAUUAGAAAAAAAGACGCUACGGCCUAUAGAGGAUGUUGGCCAAUGAGGAUAACCGAAAUAAUAUGUAUAAUACAUUUGAAAAAAAAAUAUGGAACUAAGAAAAACUGCUAAAAUAGGAAAUCACUAAACCACAUCACAAAUAACAUAGACCACACACACAAGUAAAAAUAGAUUGCACCGAAAAUGAGUUACAUCCAAAAACAAAGACAAUAAAAGGGAAAAAUUUAAAAGUUAGUGGCAUCUAUAGAAAUUAUCUACAAAUAAAACUUGAAUAGAUUUUUCUUACCUCAAUACCACCAUUAAUCGACUCUUCUUCGUCACCGUCAACCAUCAUCGUUGCCACAAAGAAAUGCCAAUGAAAUCCAGCCUAAUACAAAAGAACAAUGGUGCUAGAAUUUAUGCAAAAAAAAAAAAAGCGCCAAAUCUGUACCUCUGGCAACUUCUCUACGCUUCCUUUUUAUGUUUUCUCUCUCUAAAAUUAACUUUUAUAGGCCUCCAUAAAAAUCCAUUCUUCUAUGACAAAAACAUCUCCGAACUUUGAGUGAUUGUGCAUGACAGGAGAUCUAGUUUGCUUAUUUAUUGUCAAUUACAUCUCGUUCUNNNNNNNNNNNNNNNNNNNNNNNNNNNNNNNNNNNNNNNNNNNNNNNNNNNNNNNNNNNNNNNNNNNNNNNNNNNNNNNNNNNNNNNNNNNNNNNNNNNNNNNNNNNNNNNNNNNNNNNNNNNNNNNNNNNNNNNNNNNNNNNNNNNNNCUGCAAAUUAUGGUGAAUACAAAUGGGGUGAAUACCUUAUGUCAAGGAGGUUCAGCAAUUUCAAGAAGUUGGACAAGCCUGUGAUUGAGGUUGCAGAAUUUAAAAAGUCCAAAUAAGCCACUCUUAUAGAAGUUUGUAACGCUUUAUGUUCUUGCUUGCUUGCUCUUGGUUUCCUUUCUGUGUUUCUACUCGUAAGUUUGUUCGAAUAAGUGGCCUUUGAUCCACAAACUAUCUCUGUCCCAACUAUUAUUGAACUGUUAUGUAAAAAUAGCAAUGAAAUAUGGUAUUGGUAUCAUCCUAUUGCAUUAAGUUCGAUAAUAUGCAUUUCUCUCUCUAAUUUGUCUCAUACACAUCUCUUUCUCUCAUACACAAUAUGCAUCUCUCAUCUCUUCAUACACAACAUGCAUAUUUAUCUCACACUCUCUCUCUCUUAAGGCGCUAAUAAUUCAAGAAUCUUAAAAUACGAAAUGCUCUAUUUAGAGGUGAAAGUUAUCGGUCAACCUAUUUUUUUAAUUUGUUUUAAAAUUGCCCCUUAGGCCAAGGACAUAUCUCACGUGAAUCAUUUAGCUAGUAUUUUUAGGAUUAAACAAGAAAACAUAGUUAUAUUUCGACAAACAUCUAUUACUUGAUAUUCUGAUAGACUGUUAAUAUUUCAUUCAACAAAGCUAAAUCGUUGGAAACUUUAAAAAUAAGAGUUUAAAGAAAUUGAACAUUUUUUUUUCUGUUUUUUUAGGGCAAUUGUCAAUCCAAACCGAUUUUCCGGACAACCACUUCGCCAGGCCCAUCGAGAAUUUCAAACAUUGGUGGAUGAAUUAUUCGACUUCGAGGUCCCAACCGUAGGCAUAAGAGAGCUGUAAAUUGUUUCAUCGUACGGUAUAUGGGCUUGUUGAGCUUUAAAUGUAUUAUAUUUACAAUGCACAAUAGGCAAAGAUAAAGAAAUGACACGACACGGAAAGAUAACGUGCUGCUGCGCCAUACACAUGAUUAACUCCUCUUUCUUUUUUUGAAAUUUUUUUCAAAAUGGAAAAAGUUUAUAUAAGCUUGUAACGUUAUAAUGUAAAGCUACGGAUGCACCUCAAAAAUCCAUCGAAAAAAGUCGUUUUAAUGUUGAAAAACCCUUUGAUUGAUCAAUUCGACGUAGAGAUAAAUGUCAUGAAAAGAUAAAAAGAUUUCAAGUCUAAAAAAUAUAUGCAUUUUACAAGUCUAAAAAAAUAUGCAUUUUUCAAGUCUAAAAAAAUAUGCAUUUUCAUAUGUUUAUAGAUCUACUCGAUUUUAACCUUUUUGAAAUUUAAAAUUUUAUGAUUAGAGAUAAAAAUAGAUUUGGAGAUAAUCCUAAGAACAUUUUACAUCAAAAUUAUAUAUCAUGAUAAAAUUUGAAGGCGUACGUUACCUCUACAGCUAUGGAUGCAUCUGUAUGCCAACUGCACCCUUUCAAAAUCGUUCUCCAGUCUGAAGAUGGAAUCUUUGGUCCAAAUUUUAUUUUAUUUUUUUUAAUUUAUUUUUGUUAAAAGGGCAAUGCCCCCAAGCUUUAAGGUAGUACCCUACUUAAAACAAACUAAAAAAAAUUUAAAAUUCGGUUCUCGAAUGUCCUUGGCCUAAGGGGCAAUUUUAAAAAAAAUUUAAAAAAUAGGUUGACCGAUAACUUUCACCUCUAAAUAGAACAUUUCGUAUUUUAAGAUUCUUGAAUUAUUAGCGCCUUAAGAGAGAGAGAGUGUGAGAUAAAUAUGCAUGUUGUGUAUGAAGAGAUGAGAGAUGCAUAUUGUGUAUGAGAGAAAGAGAUGUUUAUGAGAUAAAUUAGAGAGAGAAAUGCAUAUUAUCAACCUUAAUGCAAUAGGAUGAUACCAAUACCAUAUUUCAUUGCUAUUUUACAUAACAGUUCAAUAAUAGUUGGGACAGAGAUAGUUUGUGGAUCAAAGGCCACUUAUUCGAACAAACUUACAAGUAGAAACACAGAAAGGAAACCAAGAGCAAGCAAGCAAGAACAUAAAGCGUUACAAACUUCUAUAAGAGUGGCUUAUUUGGACUUUUUAAAUUCUGCAACCUCAAUCACAGGCUUGUCCAACUUCUUGAAAUUGCUGAACCUCCUUGACAUAAGGUAUUCACCCCAUUUGUAUUCACCAUAAUUUGCAGUGUUUUUUUCAUCAACCAGCUCCUCUAAUGGCUUCACAAUGGCAUGGUAAGAAGGUACGGCCGCAAGGAUGGCUGAGAACCUCUCGACAUGGGAAUCCAAGACCACUCUGUGGGUUACGCUAUCAUAAAUGUCAUUGCUCCAUACCUGCGAAAGUUAUAAAACAUUCUCACUCCUNNNNNNNNNNNNNNNNNNNNNNNNNNNNNNNNNNNNNNNNNNNNNNNNNNNNNNNNNNNNNNNNNNNNNNNNNNNNNNNNNNNNNNNNNNNNNNNNNNNNNNNNNNNNNNNNNNNNNNNNNNNNNNNNNNNNUGUUUUUUUCAUCAACCAGCUCCUCUAAUGGCUUCACAAUGGCAUGGUAAGAAGGUACGGCCGCAAGGAUGGCUGAGAACCUCUCGACAUGGGAAUCCAAGACCACUCUGUGGGUUACGCUAUCAUAAAUGUCAUUGCUCCAUACCUGCGAAAGUUAUAAAACAUUCUCACUCCUAGAACGAGAUGUAAUUGACAAUAAAUAAGCAAACUAGAUCUCCUGUCAUGCACAAUCACUCAAAGUUCAGGAGAUGUUUUUGUCAUAGAAGAAUGGAUUUUUAUGGAGGCCUAUAAAAGUUAAUUUUAGAGAGAGAAAACAUAAAAAGGAAGUGUAGAGAAGUUGCCAGAGGUACAGAUUUGGCGCUUUUUUUUUUUUGCAUAAAUUCUAGCACCAUUGUUCUUUUGUAUUAGGCUGGAUUUCAUUGGCAUUUCUUUGUGGCAACGAUGAUGGUUGACGGUGACGAAGAAGAGUCGAUUAAUGGUGGUAUUGAGGUAAGAAAAAUCUAUUUGAGUUUUAUUUGUAGAUAAUUUCUAUAGAUGUCACUAACUUUUAAAUUUUUCCCUUUUAUUGUCCUUGUUUUUUUGAUGUAACUCAUUUUCGGUGCAAUCUAUUUUUACUUGUGUGUGUGGUCUAUGUUAUUUGUGAUGUGGUUUAGUGAUUUCCUAUUUUAGCAGUUUUUCUUAGUUCCAUAUUUUUUUUUCAAAUGUAUUAUACAUAUUAUUUCGGUUAUCCCCAUUGGCCAACAUCCUCUAUAGGCCGUAGCGUCUUUUUUUUUAAUCUCUGUCUCAUUCCUUUCUUUCCUUCCUCCAGACCCUUGCGGUCUUAUGUUUUUGACCUCUCUCUCACUCCCCAUAUAACCAUUCCCUCAUAAUUUUUACCUCCUCUCUCUCUCCUUCGACUAUUAAAUUUGACGUCUUUCUCUUAUUCUCUAUGAGUAAAUGAUAAGUUGUUGCUAAAAGAUUUCAUGCUCAUGUAGGAGCAUAUUUUUUAUUUACUCCCUUGUGUUAAACUCAAUUUAGGAGCACUUUUAGAAAUCCAAAUUUUAGAAUUUAAAUCUUGUAGACUAGCCUCAAUAAAAAAAAUUCCAAAUCAUACUCUUGAUGGGCUUGAAAAACAUGUAAUGUCUCAAAAUAGAAUAGAAACUGGCCAAUUUUUGGGGGCGAUAUCAAGUUUGCUAUAAAACUCGAAAUUAAUAUUUUUUAUUUUGAAACAAUUAUCUAUUAAUUAUUAGGUGGUUCUCAAAAUUUCAGAUCAUUAAAAAAAAAUGUCCAAAGUAGGUCUUCUGUCUGAUGGAGAAAGUAUAUAAUAUAUGCUCAUGUGGGAGCAUAAUAUAUGCCCAAAUAAUUUGUUUUUUUUGGGUGAGUAAAAAAGCAUUCGUGCAACUUUUUUAUCCAAAUAAUUUGUUGAGGAAAAUCUUUUAAGUUGAUCAUCUCGACUUUGAGCAUCAGAAAACUUUUAAGUUGAUCAUCUCGACCUUGAGCAUCAGAAAACUUUUAAGUUGAUCAUCUCGACCUUGAGCAUUAUGGUCUCAUAAAUACCAGCAAGAUUGGUAUCAUUUCUAAGCUACAAUUGUCAUAAUCAGUAGUGAAAUUUUAUCUUAGAGCCAUGAUAGAGAUUUCUCAUGUCAAAAGUGUGUUCUGAACAAUAUUUUGAAAUAAAGUUUUUCUUUUUUUAUAAUUUUUUUUGUAACGCCUAAGCCUAAUAGAAAACCGCAUCAUCCAUUUGUUAAUGCAUACCUGAACGACAUCACCGCCAACAAUGAUGUAGGAGUUGGGUAUGGGCCUAAGCCUUAGCCACUGACUGUCCGAUCUUCGUUGAACCUCGAAUCCACUGACCUCAUCAGUGGUUAAAAGGGUGAAUGCAGUUGGAUCUCUGUGAGGUCCUUUGCCCAAAGCCAGCUCUGGGAUACUGCACGGUGCGUAGUGAUUAGUGCGAACAUAGCAAGUGCUCUUUUCGAAAUAGCGGUGCAGUCGGUCAGAUGGGAGACCCAAGCUAAGAGAAAUGAGCUCCAUCAAUUGAUACAACAACUUUAAGGUCCCUUGGGCGAAGUCCUGGCAUAUUUGCCUGUGGGAGAGGGAGAAUUACAGGGAUUAGAGAGAAAAUGUGCUUAAUUACAUUAAAGAAAGUGUGAUAGAGAGGAUGAGCAUAACAAUAAGAGAGAGACAGAGUCCAUUACUUGUAAUCCUCUGGCUUUUCCGGCCACAAGUUCCUAAUAAUCUUGGUCUCCUUACAGUCUGGCUCCAUGUUUUCCGGUAUCUCGAGCUCCUCUGUUUCUGCCAUAAAAUCGAAGACUUCGACCCAAUCUCUAACAUUCUUGGUGUGGUCUUUAUCAUUGUAACCCCAAGGGUUGCUUAUAUCUCUACCCACCUUCUUCUUCUCCUCAUAUGGCAAAGCUGAGAAACCAGCCAUUGCCUUCUUCAGAUUCGACCAGAGAUCAGGCGACACACCAUGGUUAAUUACCACAAAGAAGGCCCACUCUUUCAUGGCAUUGUGCACUUGUUUGGCUAUACUAGCCAUGGCUUCCUCCUUGGAGGAAUUUUGAUCUGAAAAUGCCAAUUGAAGUGGAGCUAGGUCGAUUAUUGGGGCAUUUUCUAAGUAUAUGAUUGAACCUAUGGAUGGACGAGCCUCUACGGGUUGAAUUAGAGCUGCAUCAAUGGAGGGCGCCAUUUUUUCUCGAUGCUUUCUAACUCUAUUCACUCUAUGAUGCUUGACGCUUGGUCUCUUAUUCAUGGCGAGCCCUGCUCACCUCUUUAUUGGCCCUCGGGCUCUUUUAUUUUUUAUUUUUUAUUUCUUGGAAGUGUAACACGUGGUGAUGGUGCACCAUAAAAAAUUGUGGGACCGGCACCAAUACAGCAAUGGCCAAUCCCUAGCCCUCGCUAUGUCGGGGUUGCGCCGGAUACCGCCGGGCUUAAUAUAUCCAAAGUGAAAAAAAGAGAAACAAUAAGAAGAAAGAAGGUUCACACCUGGCCUUGUUUGGCCCUUGGGCCGAUGCAUCCUGCCCCUCGGGCCAUAUUUUGUGGCUUAGGCCUAGGAUUUUUUAAGGUCGGGCCUGCCAUCUGACCCAUUUAUCCUACCAAUAUAGGUACUUUGUCUCGUAUUGGUUUUAGGUGCAGUAUUGGGGCCACACCUCAUACAAACCUGAUAUAUGCAUACAACCAUCUAUAUAUAAAUUUAGUAACAAUAUCAUCAUCAUUAUCAGAGCAUUUUUCUAGUUAAUUGGGAUUAGCUAUAUGAAUUAUGGUUCACUAUUCUAUUCUAUUAAGGGUCAUACGCUCACUAAGGAUAUAAGUCCUCAUAUAUUUUCUCACUACUUCCAACCAUAUUUAUAUGUUUCUAUUAGUAUGCGGUGUUCACAUGAAACUCCUGCUGCACAUCUUCACUUUGCCCAUUCAGCUCACUCUAUUGUUUUGGAUUAUCGAUUCAAGAUAUUUAAAGUGUGUUUUUUUUUUUGUAUUCUUUAGCCGUUAAUCUUAACUGUUUCUUCAUCUCUAUUCUAUUGGUAUGCGGUGAUCACAUAAAAGAGACCUAACCAGCGAUUUAAAAUAUAGAAUUGGGGUUCAACUUAAUCGUAUUAAGCCUACAUUCGAUCUUUUAAUUCUGAUUCAUAUUGCCUGAUUCAGAUUGCGGAUAAUAAAGAAAUUUCAGGAAAAUAGAAAAUCAAGGGAACCCGUGCACAUUAUGGAUUUUUCGAGUUAGAAUUGCCCAUGCCCCAAUCCAGAUUCGACAUGAACGACUCACAAUUAGAUUGGAAAUUUUCCCACACUGGUCCCUCAAAAUAAAUUCCCUGCCCUUGAAACAGGUGGCCAGUCAAACACGGGGCGGCUUCCUAGUAAAGGUCCAAAUUGGGAUACAAAGCAUGUAUCCAUUUCUUUUCGGUGUGGAAUAUAAAAUGGUGAGAUGGUUAUAAUAGGAAAAGUUUAUACCGAGGUGAGGCUCCAAACAAUCAAAUUUGACUCUAUCUCAAAAAUUUCACUAGAAGAGAUUGUUUUGAUGUCCAAAUAUUUUCAAAUUGAUCAUCUUGGCAUGAAGAUGUAUAGACAUGAGAAAAAGGAGAUUUCAAGUUUUGAAAAUAAUGUAUUUUGUAACGUAUUUUUGGACCAUCAAUUUUCAAGAUUUUUAAGUUUUUUUAGAUUUGUUGAUCUACACUAUUUUUGAAGCUUUAAACUUUUAUAAAUAAAUAUGAAAAUAUAUUUUAAGGCUAUUACAAAGAUUUUUAAUAUUAAAACCACAUUUCUCAGAUACUAUUAGAAGGUGGCUCUAAUUUGAUUGUUUAGAGCCUAGGCUCUAUACAAAUAGCAUCCGGUUAUAACAUUGUGCAGUCACUCACUAACAACUAAAUACAAUAAAAUUAAGAAUUGGCCUCGAAGUCAGAACGGCCAAAAGAAUUUGACAUCUUGAAUUCUAUUUCUACGGCGUCGUGUCCCACUCAUUCGUUGUACUUGAAAUUGUUGAGAUUCCUGCAAAAAGUGGACAAUUUAAAGUAAUAAAAAAUGUUAAGUUUAGCUUUUUGGUGGGGUUUUAACCACACUCUUUGCUCAAGGAAAAUAGGGGUGGAGUUUCUAUAAGGUUGUAACCUUAAACCAUCGAAUGAAGUUGCACUUUAAAAUUUUAUUAUAACAUGUAAGUUUUUAUAAAAAUAUUAUUAGUAUUAUUUUAAGAUCUAUUUUCAUACCUAAGUAAAAAAUUUUAAAUUUUACAAAUGGUUAAAAUCAAGUAGAUCUAUAAAUAUAUGAAAAACUUGAAAAUGGACAAUCUAGAUAAUGUGUUACAAGAUGUACUAUUUUCGAGGCUCAAAAACUUUUUUUUUUGGUACUAAAAAGAUUUUUCGACAUUAAAACAACAUUUCCGAUAAAAUUUUGAGGUGCAUAUAUGAGUCUACAUUUUAAAGUUGCAACCUUAUAUAAACUUUUCCCAUAUAAUAGUGAAAUGUUAUGUUGAAAAAAGAACGUUGGGAGAGAAGUGAAAAAGCCUCCUCCUCGUGAAAAUUAGUCAUGACCUAAGUUGCACCUCGUGAAUAUUAGACAUGUGUAUAGGGAUAUGACCGGGCCACUGUAGCAAACCACGACUUAGAGACGGAACUCCGCCAUGGGUUCGAGUCGAGGGUAUGCCCGAGUCAAAAAGUGCUAAAAAAUAAAAAUAAAAAACACAAAAAUCUUAAAAUAUAUGAAGAUACGUUUAAAAUAAACUUAAGAAAAAUACACCAGAAUGAGGUUAAAAAGUACAGAAAGAAAAUCAAUUUUUGACAUUGAGGUUUUCAAAAAUAAUCCAAAAAGAAAAAAAAAUGUCAAAAUAAGCACUCAUGGCCAAAACACUUUUCGAUGUUUGCCAAUAUGGAUGAUGUCACACCCCAUGUUGAUGAUGUUAUACCCACCUAAUGACUAAAAAUACCCUUGUUAAAAAAAUACUACAUGUACAAAACAAAAAUAUAGAAGUGUCCAAAAUUGUUGAGUACAAUGAUAAAUUACUCCAUAGUAUGAGCACCCAAACAUAACCCAAAAUUAUAAUAUUAACUGCAAUAUUUAAUAUUGUGUUUUGUUAAAUUCGUCUAAUAUAAAAAAAUAACUUUCAAUAAAUGUAAGUAAUUUUCUAUUAAAAACGUAAUUAAUAUAUGUAUUGUAUUAAUUAAGAACUUAACAUUCAUUCAUAUAAGAGAAGAAGGGAUUAGUAGAGGGAGGGUUAGAGGAAGGGACAUGUAGUGGAGAUAGAUGAGAGAGAUAUGCUAGGAGGAGAGAAUGUAAUGAGAGCUUUAAAUAAUUGUAGACAGACAGAAAGAUAGUUAUAGAAAGUUGAGCGAUAAUAGUGGAUAAUUGAGAUGAUAUUAAGAGUAGUUAAUAUGUGUGUCUGUGUAUGUGAGAGAGAGACUAAUAGCAAUUAGUAGAAUAAAUUUGGAAACAAAAUGGCUUCAUUUUUCCAUUGAUUUACUAAAAUAAAUAAAUAAAUAAAAGGUUAGAAUAAAAAAGGAUUAAGAAAUCGUAGGACCUCAUAUGAUUGUCAUUAUUAAAUGUAUAACAUAUUAAAAAAUUGAUUAAAAAUUUAAUAAUUAACUAAUAAUACUCUAUAAUUAUCAUAAUUUUAAUAACAAAAUUAUUAAUAUAUAAACAAAUUUAUAAUUUGACAAUAUGUAUUUUAAUUCUAUAAUUAAUUGUGACAUUAACUAUUAAUAUUUUAUUUAUUCAAUUUGUAUAAUAUAAGAAGAUAACUUUCAAUAAGGGUAAGUAGUUUUUACGGUAAGAAUAUAAUUAAUACAUGUAUUGUAUUAAUUAAGAGCUUAAUAUUCAUGCAUGUGAGAAAAAAGAAUAUUAGAGGGAGAGGAUGAAAACGAGUCACGUAGUGGAGAUGGGACGGAGAGAAAUGUCAGUUUUCGGAAAAAAAAAACACAUGUCAACAAAAUAAAUGGGGACUUUCAGUUGCUCAAUAUAUAAAAUAGAAAAGGAUAAUAGAUAGUGGUGCAUAGUUGGAUGAGAGUGAAAUAAGAGUGAGAAAGAGAGUGAGCAAUGCGAAGUGGCAAACGAGGAUUUGUUCACUUCAAAUUAAAGGCUUUGCAAUGUCAAUGAUAAGAUCUUGCGAUGUUUGAGCACAGGCAAAUUUUUAAAAUAUGCAUGUAGCCGCCGCCCCCCCCCCCCAACUUGCGAUGUUUNNNNNNNNNNNNNNNNNNNNGUUUGAGUCACAGGACAAAUUUUAAAAUAUAGCACUGAAUUUUAAAAUAUGCAUCGUACGCGCCCCCCCCCCCCCCCCCCCCCCCCCCCGCCCCACCCCCACGCCCCACCCCAACUUUUGACUCAAUAAUGGAGAUGUGGUCAACUGAACUCAAUAAUGGAGAUGUGGUCAACUGAACUCAAUAAUGGAGAUGUGGGCAACUGAAGAUAUGAGGCUCAUUUAAUAUUCGUCAUGUAAGUUUUUUUUUGUUUUUUGUUUUUUGUUUUUUGCUUUUGGAUUGUGUGAAGGGUUGGUGGGUGGGGGAGCCUGCAUGCAUAUUUUUUUUUUUUAAAAAUUAAGAUCUUAUUCUUGUGAGAAUAAAAGAAGUAUGGAGUUUCAUAAUAUAAUACUUGAACCUUGCCAAUUUUAAUCACUUCAUUUGUGUUUCUUGACAUUUGUAUUCGUCGUUUUAUUGGUGUGGGAGCUUCUAGGUGUCCACUACUAUGACUCCGCUCUCUCUCUCUCUCUCAAGGGACGAGGUGUGAAAUAUAUUCGAAUUAAUUAAUGGGAAAUUAUGGAAUGAGACCAUUUAUCUUUUAUGGUCACAAUAAUCUUGACCAUUGGAUGUAGAGUUGUAUGGCUGCAAUUAUUCCAUCGAUCAAGCUCAAACUUCAAAACAAAUUUUCUUGAAUUUUGUGAUAUAUCCAAGCUAUCAAAUUCGUAUCAAAUGGUUGUAAGGAAUUGUGACCACCUUGUAUUAAAGGUAAAUGGUUUCAUUGUAUACAAUCCCUUAAUUAAUUAGUUGUAGGGGUGGUAAUGGACUCGGACCUGACCCAGGACCCACCGGGUAUACCUGACGUGGGUCCGGAUAUGGGUCCAAUAUUUAGACCCAACAUAUUGGAUCCAUGUACAAAACCUAGAUCCGAACACUAUUCGAGUCUGGGUCCAGGUACGGUUGGAUGCGACCCGUACCCAUAAACUGUUAGAGAUAAAAUACUUCAAGCCCUAUUCGUUUUGGUGUAUUAAAGAUCGUAUACAAUAAAAACUAAUAGUCAUUCUUAACUAUUAAACAACAAAUCAGACGACUUGAAAUCUAAUGGCGGUUUAUUGUGACCUUGUUGCGAAUAAUAUGGGUAUAUAAUACAAAAAAGAAAAAAAAAAGAAGUUCAUAGUGAGAGUGAAAAUGGACCCAAUCAAACCCAGAACCCGACAGGUACAGGUAUGGGUCCAACUUUUAUAUUUGACGUAUCUAAUCUAGGUCUGAAUUUGGAUCCAAUUCCAGCCAAAUCCAACCCGUACGCAACCCGUUGCCACCCUUGGUUAGUUGGCAACAAAAUUAUUGGGACAUGACAUUUUGUGAAUAGAAAGACAAAAGAACGCCAAAAUCAAAGCCCAUUGAUCUCUUUUAAGAAUCCUUGUAGGCACUCGUCACUUGAUUGCAAUCGCAAAAGGACCCGGUUUUUACGAGUCCCUUGACUCAUACUAUUUUCUUGAGGGCUCCCUUGAACCCCCAUUAUUUGUGUCGUGGAUCCAAAUUUGUAGUGAUGAUCUAGACUAUGAUGAUCAUGAAUAUAAAAAAUAAAAAUUUUUUAUAAUAAAAUAUAAUUUUCAAAUAAAUAAAAUUUUACAAUAUUUUCCUAUCCAUUGAAUAUGAAUCUUUUGUUGUGGAUGUUGAUCUUAAAUAUGGAUGUUUGUGAUUCUGCGGGCUAGUGAGUCCGUUGAUUCAUAAGGCACAUUUUCAUUGCCAAGUAUACAAAGACACUAUUUAUUUUUGAUACAAGGAGGUCAAUUUUAUUUUUGCCUAUUUGAUUUCAAAUCGGGUGGUUGUAAGAGUGUCACUGACUGCGAUAAAAAAAAAAAAAAAAAUAUUCUCGAACUCUGUGGCAUACUUCUAACAAUCUAAUUGGAUAUGUAGUGGUUAAGAGUAAUUAUAACCUUCUUAUAACAUUGAAAAAAUGUCUCAUAGUGUACAAUCCCUUGUAAAUAAGAAAGUGAAAAUAUACUUGAACCCAUACGAUCAUGAAUGUCAUUUUAGGAUAUGGAUAUCUUGUCUUAGUAUUGAUAUACUUGAUAAUGGAUACAUAUCAAUAUGGAUAUGCAUUUGUAUCCAUAUCAGUAUGUCAAUACUAACACGAGAUAUCCAUAUCCUAACAUGCCAUGCUUGAUUCGAACAGGCUUUUAAAUCCCUGAAUGGGUCCCACAUUGGCCCUAGCGUGAAUCGAGCGAAAUCGGUCAGUUUGUAUCAAUUUGAGAGAAGAUUGUAAAAAAAAAAUAAAAGAUAAAAUAAAUAGCAAGAAUAUUAUGUUCUAUAAUCAAUUUGGUGCCAGGUUUUAAUUUCAAAAUACGGGAGAGAUCAGCAUCGCUUAUGGCUACGUGUUGAUCGCUCUAGUGAUUUCUCAUUUAUGUGGAAUCCCAUCCCUAGAUGCCGUCUUAUGAUAGCGGCACAUUUUUGGUGGUUGGUGGGGAAUGGUGCCUCCAUUUCCUUUUGGCAUCAUAAGUGGAUGGGUGACAUCCCUUUGAAGGUUACUUUUCCAGAUCUUUUUUUUCUAAGGUUCUUCUCUCGGACACUAAGAUAGCAGACUUAGUAGAUUUCAAUGGUUCACAUAUUGUUUGGAGUAUCUCUUUUCCUUACGAUAGACAUUUUGGUGACACUUAUCUUCAGUGGUUAGAACUAUUGAGGCUAUUGGAUUCCGUUUAUAUUUCCCAGGGGUCGUCAGAUGAACUUAUUUUAGAAUUUGAUAAUGAUGGCAUCUUCUCGGUUACUGGCUUUUUUUCCAUGAUAGAUGGAGAUGGUCAUUACCUCUUGUGGCUAAGAUUUGGAAAUGGCCUUUUCCCCAUAAGGUGCAACCUUUUCUCUUUUUAGCAGCCCUUAACAAGACAUUAACUAUUGACAACCUGGUUAAGAGGGGUAAGGUGUUACCCAAUAUCUGUUUGAUGUGCAAAGAAGACAAGGAAACUGGGAAUCACGUCUUCAUUCAUUGUAAGAUUGCUUCUUUUAUUUGGCAUUGGUUUUUCAAUCUUCUUGGGGUUCAGACUUCUAGUCCUUUUUCGACGGAGGAUUUAGUGUCACAACUAUCGUUUGGGCAUUUACAUUCAGGGGGGAUCUUGGUUUGGCAAAUUGCAAGAGGGGCAAUGCUUUGGGAGUUGUGGAAAGAAAGGAAUAGGCGCACUUUUGAGGAAGUGUGUAUUUUAGCAGAUAGUUUGCUUGAUAAUGUUUAGCUCUCCAUAUGUUACUGGUUUUCGAUCACUAAGGAUAGCUGGGAAAUCUCUCAACCAGAUGUCUAGCCUGCAAAAACUAUUUCUCUUGGGCGAAAGUUAAGAUGCGACCUAAAUACUUUUGGACUCCUCCGAAGGUUGGUUGUUUUAAAUUGAAUUUUGAUGGCAGUUCCUUAAGUAAUCCUCUCCUUGCUGGAAUUGGGGGUGUGUUGCGUAAUGAUCAGGGACAGGUUAUAUUUUCUUAUGCUGGUCCGUUAGGCUCUGCUACGGCCAAUCAUGUAGAACUUGCCUCAUUGCUGCAAGGUCUUAAGCUGUUUAUUUCCAAAGGCAUUGACAAUAGUUGUAUUUUUUAAGGUGAUUCGCUUAAUGUUGUUGGUUGGGGUAAGAAGGAAUUGCACAUUCCCUGGAAGCUCAGGUCUAUCUGGUUAAAGAUUAUAGACAUUUCAACUCCCUUAGCUAUCUCUUUUUCCUCUAAUGUAAUAUCUUUUUAGUAGUUUCUCAUUAAUAAAAGUUGGAACCUUUGUCAAAUUUUUUAUUUUUUAUUUUUAUGAUGAAAUAUAUUUAAUUAUUUUAGCAAUAAAGUUCUUUGUGAUUGAAAAUUUGGCUGAGUUACUUGGAUGCGACUCCCGGUUGAUCGGAGUACUCAAGUCUAAAAAAAUGGCCUACUUUUUCAACGAUUUCAUUUUUACACCAAAACCUAUUUAUUUGAAUUUCCAAGGCCUAUGCAUUACAAUCAUCGGCCCCAUUGACCGGAAACAUAAGGCACAUUUGGUAUUUAUGAAAAAUUUAGAGAGAGAAACAAUUAAAAUUUUUCAAAGAGAGAAACUAUAUCAAAUUUUUUUAGAGAGAUGAACUAUCUUAAAAUUUAUUUUGUAGAGAGAGAAAGUAUGUUAAAAUUUUAGAGAGAAAAACUAUAUCAAAUUUUUAUAGAGAGAAAGUAGUGAAGAGUUUUUAGUGAGAAAAACAAUUUCAAAGUUUUAGAGAGAGAGAGAGACUACAUUAAUUGUUUUCGAGAAAAACAAUUUCAAAAUUUUUAGAGAAAGAAACUACAUUGAAUUCUAAGUUUUUGAGUUUUAGAGAAAGUAAAUGAAAAAUUUUAGAGAAAGAAAAUAUCCAAACUAUCUCAAAUUUAAAUUUUUAGAGAGAGUAUCUUCAAAUUUUAGAAGGGGAAACUAUAUCAAAUUUUAAAGAGAGCACCUGAAAAUUUUUAAAGAUAAAUUUUCUCACAUUUUUUACAGAGAGAAAAUAUCUCACAUCUUAAGUUUUAGAGAGAGAAAGUAUCUUAAAAUUUUAGAUAAAAAACUAGAUCAAAUUUUAGUGCUAGAAAAUACCUAAAAUUUUUUAGAGCGAUAAAUAUCUCAAAGUUUUCAGAGAGAGAACCUAUGUCAAAAUUUAGGUUUCAAAGAGAGAAGGUAUAUUAAAAUUUUAGAGAUAAUAACUAUAUCAAGUUUCUAAGAUAGAAACUACUCGAAAAAUUUAUUGAGAGAAAUGGUAUCUCAAAAGAUUUAGAGAGAAAAACUAUCUCAAAUUUUAGGUUUAGAGUGAGAGUAUUUUAAAACUUUAGAGAGAAACUAUAUCAAAAUUUAGAGAAAGUACAUAAAGAUUUCUAGAGAUAGAAAUUAUUUCAAAAUUUUUGGAGAGAGAAACUAUCCAACAUCUUUAGUUUUGUAGUGAGAAAGUAUUUUUAAAUUUUUAGUGAGAAAGUAUUUUUAAAUUUUUAGAGAGAGAAACUAUAUUAAAUUUUAGUAAGAGAAUCUGCCAGAAAAAUUUUAGAGAGAGAAAUGUUUCAAAAUCUUUAGAGAGUGUAACUGCCUCAAAUUUUAAGUUUUUGAGAGAAAAUAUAUUAAAAAUUUCCAAAAAUUUUAGAGAGAGAAACUAUAACAAAUUUUAUGUUUUAAAGAGAGAGAGAGUAUCUCGAAAUUUUCAAGAGAUAAACUAUAUCAAGUUUUAGAUAUAGAAAGUACCUAAAUAUUUGAGCGAGAGGAAGCUAUCUCAAAUUUUUUAGAGAGAAACUAUCUCAAAUUUUAAGCUCUAAAGAGAGAAAGUAUAUCAAAAUUUAGUGAGACAAACUUUUAUAGACACCUCAUCUUGUCAACUGGCAAAUUCGAUGGUUUUUUAAACCAUAGACAGCCUUAGGACUACAUUAUCCAAGUAAACCCCCAGACCAUAUACCACCUAGUCCAUACUGCUGGCCCUGUGAUCCAGAAUCCUGCAGAACACGCUGUUUUAGUAAACAACUCAUUAAAAAUAGCAAAAGACCUUAUUUUGACUUAAAUUUUAGUGCGCAGCAUCACAAGGGCCCGUAUAUACUCGCAGAAUUUGAAUUUGCUGAUUCUGCAUAGAUUUGGUCUAAUUGGUGUCGCCCAGCCUAAACUGGUCCAAGUUGGCUAAUUUUUGGCAGGCAGCAACCCACCCAACAGCCUAAAGAUCACCCCAGAGUUAGAAUAUGCCGAUUCUAGGCAUAUUUGGUAUGGGCGACACUAGGGGGUGGCCCAACAAAAACUGUUUAGAAUUACGUGAUUUUUGGCAGGUGAUGUCUCAAAAGCCUUUGGAUUACUCGAGAAUAAAAAACUGUCGAUUCUAGGCAGAUUUAGUCUGGGCGACACACCUACUAUCGCUCAACCAAAACUGUCCAGAAUCAUGUGAUUUUUGGUAGGUGAUAUCUCAAAAGCUUGUGGUUCACCUCGGAAUUUGAAACUACCGAUUUUGGGCAGAUUUGGUCUUGACGACACACCUAGUGUCGCCCAACUACAACCUUCCAGAAUCGUGUAUCUUUGACUCAAUUCAUCUCUCGAAUCAUUUUCUGCCAGGUUCAUUGAACCUGGACCAUUUUGGUAUGGGCGAUAGGGUAGUGUUGCCCAAGCCUUUAACCACCAAAAUGGCAAUCUAGGUUGGGAAAUCCCUUUGUUAUGUGUUGUCACCCAUUCCAACCAUUUUUCACGGUCUAGUACGCUUUCACUCUUUCCUGUAUUUCUUUCCAUUUUUAUUUUUUAUUAGAAUUAAAAUUAGUUUUAUUGCAUUUUACGUAGGGUUUCGCAUUUCGAAUCGAUGUUGGCUUUGCCAUAGAUCUGAGUGCAGAUCUACUCAUUUCUGAGUAGAUCUGGCCUCAAAUUAGAAUUUGAUUGACCCCACUUUCUAUCACUCUUUUAAAAACAAGUUUGUGAUUCAGAUCUGAGAGAUCUUCAUUCAAAGAUCAUCCUAAUCUGCAUUGUGAACAGUUUGGCGCCUACCGUGAAGCAGUUUGAGCUUGAUCCGAGCUUCGAAAUAUGUAUUUUUGUUUAUUAUUUCAAUGAUUUUUUGUUCAAAAUAGUCCCAAGUUCGACUGUAACUAGGACCUAGGGUUUCUACGGCUGCGAAAUCCUAUAUGUCUGGGGCUACACUACCUGUGUCGCCUAGGAGGCACUCCCUGUGUCGCUCAGACUCAAAGAUCUUGGAAUGGCCCAGGACACCACAGUCCAGUCCCUAGACCCUUUCCCUGCUUGCACAAAAAAUUUUCUAUCAAAAUAAAAUACUUAAAAAUACCAAAAAAAUAUUUUCUUAGAAAAACUGAAAUAGUUUCAACCUUUGUAGGCUUUGACUUUGUUUUAUUUAUUUGAUCUCUUUAAUUCAUUGUUUUUCGCUUUUUAUAAGUUCAAAAAGACAUGAAAAUCUAUCAUUAUCAGUGACCUAGGGUUUUUGCGGUUGUACCCUAUCUGUCUGGGGCGACACUACUUGUGUCACCUAGGAGACAAUCCCUGUAUCUCCCGGGAGACCACUUGUGUCCCUUAGACUCAGAGGUCAUCCCGGGACCCCGUAUACCUGUUCUAGGACCUUUUCUCUUGUUGUUCACUAAUUUUCAGGUCAAAAUAAAAUGUUUAAAAAUGCAAAAAAAUAUUUUUCUUGAGGCAGGUCUUUCUUAUCUGUGCUUUCUGUAUUUCAUUUUAUUUUAAUUAAUUUUAUUAGAAACCAUGAUUUCCUUGCUUUAUCAUGCUUAGUUUAACCCUAAUUCAUCAAAAACAAAAAUAAAUUAUUUUGAGGGUUUCUUCCACCCUCUUCGAACCGUGUCCUAAUCGAGUCACCCUCGACUCGGGCUGCACCCAACCAGGCACAAGCUGUACCUAGUUCUACUUUGUAUAACUUUACAUUUUCUUGGGGGUGGUUACCCCCACACCUGAACUGUGCUUUCAGUCGGUCAAAACUCUAACUCAAAGAGCACCUCACUCGGCAAGAUUUGUGCCAAGUGGUCACAUCUCUUUCUUAUGUGUUUGCUUGCCACUUUAUUUUCACUUGCUUGCUUCUUUACACACUACUCCACACAACGAACCAGGAAAGCCUGGGAAACCAAAUUUUUUUUUUUGAAAACCCCUGAAAUCCAGCAUUGUUGUAAGGGGAACCUAGUCUUGAGGGCUGAGGGGAACCUAUCGUAGCAUUAACUCGCAGUCGAGAUUCACAUAACUUUAAAAGUGAGCACCCCUCUGUAAUCCUUAGCCUCAAAGCAACUCCACACAUAGUAGGACCUUGCUGAUUCCUUUAACAGGUAGCCAAAACCUACGUGGGGACCCACUCAACCUAUCCUCAUUUCUGUAGUUAGAAACCCCCUCAAACCUAGCCUACCCAUAGUUUAGGGCAAAGUUUUUGAGUGCUUUGUUUGUUUACCAGAGUUGAUUAGUCUUAGAUCUCAAUCCGGAUCUACUUAUGGUCUGAGCUGAACCCUGCUGGGUCCGUUUCUAGGCUCAUACUUAGCCCAGUCCAUGUCCGAAUUCUGUUCACAACCGGGUCCAAACCUAAGCUCCCUCUCGGUGCGAGCCAAGGCUCACACCAAAUGUCAUCUAAAUCUCAGUCCGGGUCUAUACUUGGUCUAAAUUCGAAACCCUCUAAGUCCAAGUUUAGGCUUGGACCCAGCUUAGUCCAGGUCCGACCCAAGUUCACACCCAAGUUUGAACCUAGACCCCCCCUUGGUCCGAGCCAAGACUCGUGCCCAUCUAGUCUAGAUUUCAGCCUAGGUCCUAACCUAGGUCUAGAUUCAGAAUCUAGAACUAGACUAGGUUUAUCCUAGUUUAGGGUCCUAACCAAAACCUACUAAGUCUAGCAAGACCUCGAGUCUAGGACCUAACUCUGGUUUGAACUUAAAGUUAUCUCUGGGAAUAGGUUAGGCUCAUCUCUAUUCAGGAUUCAAACUUAAGUCCAUCAAGCCUAACUAGGUCAAAGUCUAAAUUAGGUCCUAUUCCGUCUUGUCUAGAUCAGGUUUUAAGACUAAGUUAGGGAAAAACUAUCAUGCCGAUCACCCAAAGCGACCAUGAUGAUUGCUCCACUGAUUACUCCAAACCUAACCUUCCCAAACCUAGGGACCAGUAUCUCACAAUCACAUGGGAUUACGACCAGAAACCGAGUCCACCCAUUUUUUGGUGCCCAAGUCUUCAACUCGAGGUAGAGUCUCAAGGAACAGUUCCAGAUGUUGAAAUCUGUGUUGCUCGAAAAGCUAACUCCGCUCGAAAGACUUUGAAUAGUCAAGGCGUUCCACCUGGGGUCACCCUGCAAGGGCUCUUAGGAACCCAAAGUAUGAGUCGAGUAAGGGAAGAGGUUCAUGUAGUGUCAAAUGGUCAUUCCCAUAACUCAAACCAUGAUAAUUUCGAGGCACGAUGGUCUCGAAACCAAGACCCACCUAGGUUUAGAUGAUCUAAUUUGGUUGCCCUAGAAAACAGAGGGAUCGACUUGAAUCGACCCAUGGGUGAUAUAGGUGUCCAAGCAGCCCUUCAAAGUUUAGUUGACUGGGGCUAUAUUGUUCAUGCCCCAGCACAUGGGGUCAAUUCCAAACCAGUUCAGUGCUAUAGGGCAACCCCUAGGACAACUGAGUCAACUAGUUCUUCAAUCGGUUCCAGUAGUUCUUCGGGUCCAAGAGACCAUGCACCUAUGAGACAAUAUGUCCAUCAGGCCCAGGUGUAACAAACCGCCUCGGUGACUACGACUCAUCAACCUCAGGUCCAUAUGGGCCAAUACAUACCCCAAGCCUUGACUCAUCAAUCUAUACUUGGGAACUAGCCAACCAGUCGGCCUACUGACAUGCGGAAUGCCCAAUAUGAAGGCACCAUGAAAGAUGAAUGAUGUGUACUCAACCACACAUCACUUAAAAGGAAUGUUCAACGUAUACAUCUCCCACUAUCGUAGAUCGACACCAAGACCUAUCUGUUAUGCCCGGAAGCUCUAAAUUCGAUGGGUUGAUGUUUGGAAAAUAAAGUAUGAGAAAUAAAGCAAGAAACACAUACACAAGAAUGCAAAUAUUUACGUGGUUCACCCCAUAAGGGCUAUAUCCAAGGGCACGGUAACAGAAAUCCACUAUACCAAUGAAAAUUACAUCAAAGAUUUUGGAACAUACCUCGAAAAAAAUCCAAGCCGAGCAAACCCUUUUAAACUUGCUCUCCCAAACGGCAACAUGCUGAUUUCACAUCUCUAUUCCAUAACUAGACCAUUUUCUAGGAAGAGAACAACUUUGAGAGGAAACGAGAUUUUAUCUCACUAAAAGGGUAACAAUCCAAAAUAUAUAUGGGAAUUGCUUCUCUACAAGAAACAAGACCCUCAAUCUUCAGGAGUCUAAAAGAGGCAUCAUCACAAUGUUUCUCUCCAUAGGAAGCUAUCUUGUCUCUAAGAGGAAAUUACAUCUUAUGCACAUAAGGUUCUAGCUCCAUCUCUCCCUAGAGGAACUAUCAUUCCCAUAUGGUGACCCAAAUAGGGCACAUAUUCUCUCUCUAAAAAUAACCCAUUAUAUAGAGAAAAGAUACUCAUUAAAAAAAGGCUCAAGUGAUAACCCUUUCUAUUCCUUCUUUUAUGGGAAACUAAUCUUUAUAUCUUUAAAUAUGGCUCUUCAAGUUCAUCCUAAUCCAAAUAGAAUUUAUCCCAAUAGCGAACUCCUAAAUUGGUUAAUAGCAAUCCCACAUAAUAAGGAAAUAUCUCAAUCCCACAUAAUAUGGGAAUUUCCAUAUGUGGGUGAUUUUGGAUAGCACCAAAUCUAACCAUUUCCACCUUGAUAACAAAAUCACCUACUCACUGUGCCAACAUCCAUUGGAUAGCUUCAUAAAUUGUUCAUCUUUUGCCAAAAGAAAAAAAUGCUUUCCAUCAAUUUUCUUGACCUCGAACCUUGCAUUCAAAACCUUUAUUACCUUACUGAAAACCCCAUACCAGGACUUUGAUACCACUUAUUGUGUGCGGAAGCUCUAAACCCGAUGGGUUGAUUUUUGGCAAAUAAAGUAUGAGAAAUAAAGCAAGAAACACAUAUACAAGAACCCAAAUAUUUAUGUGGUUCACUUUAGAAGAGCUACAUCUACGGGCACGACAAACAAAAAUCUACUAUACCAAUGGAAGUUAUAUAAAAGAUUUUGGAACAUACCUUGACGAAAACCCAAACCGAGUAAACCCUUUUAAACUUGCUCUCCCAAACGACACCAUGCCGAUCUCACGUCUCUAUUCCAUAACUAGACUAUUAUCUAGGAAGAGAAUAACUUUGAGAGAUGAGACUUUAUCUCACUAAAAGGGUAACAAUCCAAAAUCUCUAUGGGAAUCGCUUCUCUACAAGAAACAAGGGUCUCAAUCUUUAAGAGUCUAAAAGAUGCACCAUCAUAAUGUUCCUCUCCAUAGGAAUCUAUCUACUCUCUAAGAGGAAAUUGCAUCUUAUGCACAUGAGGUUCUAGCUCCUUCUCUCUCUAGAGGAACCACCAUUCCCAUAUGGUGACACAAAUAUGACACACAUUCUCUCUCUAAAAAUAGCCCAUUAUAUAGAGAAAAAAGACUCACUAAAAAAAGGCUCACGUGAUGACCCUUUUCAUUCCUUCUUUUAUAGGAAACUAAUCUUUAUCUCUUUAAAUAUGGGCCUUCAAGUUCAUCCUAAUCCAAAGAGAACUUAUCCCAAUAACGAACUCCUAAAUUGGUUAAUAACAAUCCCACGUAAUAACGAAAUAUCUUAAUCCCAUAUGAUAUGGGAAUUUCCAUAUGUGGGUGAUUUUGGAUAGCACCAAAUCCAACACUCUCUCCCUAAGCAAACUCAGUGCAACAAAGCAAAACCUAAGAGAAACCUUUGAGGACUUCAUCAAUCGAUUCCGUGAGGCGACAAUACGAGCAAUCAAAUGUCCAUUCACAAAUCUGGCUAAGAUCUCCAUGGCCCUAGAAAAUGCCGCUCCCGAAUACAGGACCUUCUUCAGCCAAGGUCUUAUCCCCUACUCUUUCGACUCCAUGAUUGAGCGAGUAGCACAUCGCGAAAGGGCCAAAAUAACACCCCUCAGCACUAGGCCCGAGAACAAACUUUUAACUACUCCCCAAAACACGAGAAAUAAGAACAACAACAAUAGGGGGAAUACUUCUGAUUAAGUUAAUGAAAUUGUCAUUAACGGCCCGGCUCGAGGUUCAGCCUAUCAAUGAAGCAAUCAUAACCAAAAUAAAAGGGGUUAGCCCAGAGCCAACACUCAAAAUAACAACCAAAGGCGAGAGGAUAAUUUCACUCCUCUCAAAGACCCAUUAGAAAAAGUAUUGAAUUUAUUCGUGUCUAAAGAUAUGGUUUACCUGCCAGCGCCUUCCGAGCCACCAUUCGAAGUCACAUACAAGAGUAAAUGGUGCAAAUGGCACUGAAACGAUGCACAUGACAUCUAAAAAUUGUUAUCAUUUGAAAUGGGUUAUUCAAGGGUUGAUCAAUAGGGGGGAUAUCACUGUUCCACCAAACAAUAGACCAUUGGAGAGCCUAAUCAAAAGAUGGGUAUCUUCAUAAAUCCCCUUCUUAAAAAUACGGUCACAACGGCUGGAAAGAUGGAAGCUCAAGAACACCCAGAUGAUCGAAAGUGGAGAUGGAGAAGAAGAUUUAGCUCAUUUCAUAUUCCCUCAAGAUCAUUGUCUCCAAGAACCCCAAGACAAUCUAUUGGAUCUUCUAAAAGGGAUCCCUUUGCCUCAAAGUCUCGACAACCCACCUAAGUGGGACCAAUAUGAGGAGGAUCUAUUAGAAAUCGAUGUAGUCCGGAUCAACGAGAAUGGAUCAUCCUCCAAUCAGGGGGCCAACGCCCCAAAGUUUCCCAUUAUGCUUGCUAGGGCAACCCCUAUCGAGCUUCAGGUUGGUGAGAUAUAUUUCUUAACCCAAGGAGGAUGAAUAUUCAAACCCAUCAAAUUGAUGGCCGAUACCCUCAAAGAAAGGAUGAGAAACACCUUUAAGUCCAAACAAACAAUAGUAAUCGCAGAUCAUGGACCCCAUAAAGAAUCUCAGGGAUCCACAACCACCUACGAUCUAUCGGCUCACCUUGGGAAGAUCCAAGCUUAGAUCUCCAUCUUGGAGCUACUUAGUAACUCAUUAGCACAUAAGGCCUAUCUUGAGAAAGUCCUCGCCAAGAUGCACAGCCCAAGCAAUACACAUCCGGAUGAGUUGUGCUGAAUGAUCAACCACUUGCUGACACCUAUUCGAUUGUGUUCACAGAUGAAGAUAUCCUCGGUCAGUUUCAACCGCUUUCACGUCCAACUGUUGCACAUCACUAUUUUCAUGCAAGGGUAUGCGAUAUGAAGGGUACUCGUUGACAACGAGGAAUCUUUAAACAUAUGCCCUAUGAAAAUGAUGAAGCAGAUAGGAACGAGCCCAUAUUACUUCGAACCGUGUCAGCUCAAUAUCGUUGCAUACGAUGGGAACAAGAGACAAAUUGAAGGCAUAUUGCCUCUCACUCUUAAGAUCGACCUUGUCAUCCAAAUGAUAAAGUUUUUUGUCUUGGCCAUAAAACCUCAUUUAACAUGUUGCUAGAAAGGUCGUGGUUGUAUGAGAAUCACGUGGUGGCCUCUACACUCCAUCAGUGCCUCAAAUUUCCAAUCAAGAACAACAUCUCCAUGGUAUGUGUUGAACUCUCUUCUCUUUGGAUCCCUAGUGUAGAUAAUGGGAACCUUUCCAUAGGAGUCGAGUUAGGAGAAAUCCUACUUGUUUCCUUCAAGAAACCUAAUUGCACCGCCUUACACCUAGAGGCCAGUGACCAUAAAUUCCUCAAAUUCUACAAGACUUAUGUAUUGAUGGAAGACAUCAUCUAAUCUCAACAUCGAUACGGUUUUGGGUCCCUCGAGGCUUGGCACAUGCUCUUCUCCCAAGGUUUCCAACUAGCCCAAGGCUUGGGAAGUCAAGGGCAAGUCAUAAUGGAGGCAAUCUCUGAAUCACCCCAAGCCAAAAUCGAAAACAAGGAUCGAAGAGGACGUGGGUGUUCUCUCACCAUAUUUCAAAGCCGGAUGAAGCCUUCAUGCCAUUCGGGCUUUGUAUCUAGAGGUAUUCAAAGCCUCGACCCCCUCGAUGCCCGUCCUUCAAAACGACCAAAGGUGACCCUUAAUUCCCCAAGAUGGAGGAUUCAGCUUCCUCACCUCAGCACACACAAGAACUGGGAAUUGAAAGCCUUUUCAUUGACCUGAACUUGAAAGUAUAUACAAUUGGCUAUAACACAGCCAAUCGUGCUCAUUCAUCUGUUCAAACCCAAAGACAGAAUUGAUUUAUCACUCCCCUAUCUCAAGAAUCGCUGGAAGCAUACCAGAGGCACCUUCAAGUUCCGAUGCCAAAAGGCAUGGGGUGGCCACCUAACCACCCUGUGCAUCCGGUCCCCAACAUAUCUCUUACGAGUCCCAUAAGGGACACCUCUUUUGACAUUUCAAAAACCGGUGACAAUUCGAAACAUGAUAAUAAUGAUAAUAAGGAAAAAGAAUUUUCAAAAAAGACAAAUACUCAAGAUAGCCCAUUAACAGUGCAAAACGCCCAAGAUGAUGAAUCAGAUAACCCGGACUAAGACCAAGAAAACCAUGAGUCCGAAGAAAUCCCUUAAUUUGAGAAACUCACUUCCCAUGUUGAGGAGUUCAAGAAGAGAUUUGAUGGUGACUCAACGGCUACCAUUGAAGAGAAAAUCAAUGUCAACCUGAGGAUUGAGAAAGACCCAAGGUUAACCAAGAUUAGAACCUCUCUAUCUUCCAAGGAGAGGAAAAACAUGAUCUCCUUUAACCCCUAUUGAUUACUCAGAAUUGUUGGCCAACAUAAUGGUCGUACUCAAGAAAGACGAGAGGAAUUGAGUAUGUGUCGACUAUAGAUACCUGAACAAGGCAUGUCCCAAAGACAACUUUCCCCUACCAAAUAUUGAUGCCUUGGUCGACAACAUUGCAAGGCAAGAGAUGAUGUCAUCCAUGGAUAACUUCUUAGGUGAAAACAAGAUCCUCAUGGCAGAAGAAGACCAAACUAAGACAUCGCUCAUAACAUAAUGGGGACCGUACUGCUACCAUGUCAUGCCCUUUGGACUAAAAAAUGUAGGGGCAGCUUACCAAUGGGCAAUGACUAGCAUCUUCCACGACUUAGUGCACACCAUCAUGGAAGACUAAGUCAAUGACAUUCUGGUCACAUCAAAGGUCAGGUCCGAUCACCCCUCUAACCUGAGAACCAUUUUUGAAAGACUCUGAAACAUUAAACUCAAUCCACAAAAAUGUAUGUUUGGAGUUGAAUCUAGCAAAUUACUAGGCUUUAUAGGACACCAAAGGGGCACUGAGGUGGACCCAUCCAAAAUACGAGCCAUCACUAAAAUACCCCCUCCCUAGAACAUCUGAAAAAUCGUGGGAUUCAAGGUCGUAUACAGGACAUAAGGAGUUUUAUCUCACAACUGCCAGACAAGUGGGCACCAUUUAAUAGGCUCCUUAAGAAAGGUACCCCAAUAAUAUGGGACAACGAAUGCCAAGAGGCAUUCGACCAAAUCAAUAAGUACCUAACCAAAUCUCUCGUCCUUAGUCCUCCUAUUAUAUGUCGUUUUUGAUGUACUUGUACCCCCGAUAUGAAUAAGGUGAGAGCCUGUAGUAACCUGGUCCUGCCGUUGCCCAAAACGCCGUCAGACCAUGAGAAUAUUACAACAAUAAGCCUAAAACUGGGCGACCACUGAAGAAGUGUAGAAUGACCUCAAAUUGCAUGAAAGGGGUAGUUUUGAUAUGAAAUGGACCCUACAAACAACCCCAUUUUAUAGGUCUCAAAACGGUACCAUACUAUCGCCAUUCAAUCUGGAAAGUUAAAAAACCCCCAAGUGCAAAAUUUCGGCUCAAUUGGACCGUCCGAGACCAUUAUGGGUCUAACUUACCAUAAAGGGUGGGUUUUACAUUUAUGGAAACUCUAUUUUCUCAUUUCGGGAUGAUUUUCAAAUGCUCAUGACUUAGUUGUUUUGAGUCCAAUUAAUCUCAAAUUUGGACAUGAGUAAGAUCUUGACGAUCUGAUCAUUUUGACAUAAGGCACGCAUCAUUGCGUGGCUUGAAAAAGAGAGAAUUCUAGAGAGAAGAUGGGCUUGAAAACAUGAAAAUUCGGAUUUCAUACAAGAGAACAUCCAAUUAUUUGAGAGGCCAUAGCUCAAGAUCCCGGUGUCGGAUCGUUGCACAUAUGGGUUUGUUGCGACCGUGCUUCGAAGAGUUACAGUUUGAUACAAUUUUUAUGAUCGGAGGCCAGAUUACACAAAUUUUGAGGUUGAAAAUGGCAUACUUUUUCGGUCAUCGGAAUCCCAUUUUCCUGUGACUUCUCAAAUUUGGAAUGUGUUCAAACAGAGACCAAAAUGAACAAAAUUUAUUGCAAAAUGAUAAUGACAUUGUCCCCUUCGAUUUGUGAUAAAAAUGAAAGCUUGGAACGUCAUAGAUCAUACCAGAUUGGUGGUUGAAGAAUUGUAAAGUUUAUGGACUUGGCUAGAUUUUGGGUUCUUCCUUAAACAUCUGUUUCAAGACGAUCAAAGCGUAUCAAAACGUGCGUAAAUGUUCAAGUAUCGAUUUUACGGCGAUUGAUAGCCCGAAUUACCAUCAUAGAUGCCCGAAUUAUUUUGUCAUUUGUUGAAAAUUGCUUACGGGUAUUUUGGUCAUUAGGUCCAAAUACAAGAUUAAUAUUUUAUUUCAUUAAAUAUGUAUUUUUGAUAGUUUUGGGUAAUUUUGAGCAUUCCACCCCUAUUUAAUGGUUGCUCUAUAUAAGGAAACCCAAGUCAUUUGUAAUAGGACUUUUGAAUUGUUGCUUGGGGCUUGAACAUUUGAAGUGUGCUUUUGAAUUCUUUGGGUUAUUCUUUUGGUUUGCUUGCAAUUUCAAGGUUCAAGAUGAGAGGAGAGAGAAGCAUUUUUAGGAGAGAGAAACGUUUUGUGGAGAGAGAAGAUACCCGUAGAUCAUCAUAUACCUUAGCCCAUCCCUUACUCCUCACCAUACACUAUAGAGUCCCAUACUCCCUACACCUUAUUCCACACCAUACACCUUAAAGCUUCUUACACCACACCAAUUAGCUUAACCCACCUAGCCCCUAAUCUUGACCCACCAAACCCAAACCUCUCUCUCUAAUGUGCAUGCAAGGAGACUAAUGGAUGCACACCUAGGCUCAAGCUCAUCCUAGGUCUACUGUCUCUCCUCUCUAUCUUCUUUCCUCUCUCACUCUCCCUUAUUUCGUUUUUCUCUCUCCUCCUCCUCCUUUCUCUUUUUCUUUCUCUCUUCUCUCUUUCUAUCUCUCUUUCUUCCUCUCUCACUCUCUCUCUCUUUCUCCUGCUCGAACUCAGGGCGGGUCUGAGCACUCCUCAUCCUCCUUCUUUCUUUCCCUUCUCCUAUUCCGCCUCUCUCGUCCAAAGUUACGACUUACACUUAAAGCGGGCUCGACUUCACCUCUCUGUUUUUUUCUCAUCUCACUCUCUUCCUCUCUAAUCGAGUGACAGACUCGUACCUUAGGUGGGCCUGUUCAAGUUUACCACACUCACACUCGCGCCUUUAGCCACUUUCUCGUCUCUCACUCAGCCGCCCUUAACACCCACACUCACACCCUUGCCUUUAACCACUCUCUCGUCUCUCACUCAUCUGCCCUUAACACCUAUACUCGAACCUGUGCCUUCAGCCACGCUCUAGUCUCUCACUCAUCCACCCUUAACACCCACACCUGCACUCGCACCUUCAGCCACUCUCUUGAACCUCACUUACCUGUGGCCAACAUCUGCACUCCUAUCCGUGCCUUAGCACCACCUUACCCCUCUCACGCACACUCCGCCCUCUCACCCCUCUACAAAAAAAAUAAAAAUAAAAUAAAAUAAAAUAAAUUUGGGCAACACUACCCAUGUCACCCAAGUGACAGAGCCUGUGUCGUCCAACCCAGGAGGAAACGUGAUGUGUCCUCCCCUAUUCAAAUAAAAAAAAUUAAAAUUUCUGGCGACACUGCCUGUAUUGCAUAGCCCAGGUAUGUGUCCACCCUUUUUUGUUUUUUACAAAAAAAAAAAAAAACAUGGUUGAGACAACCUGUAUCACCUAGCCCACCUUUUUCCUCCAAACAAAAAAAAAAAAAUUGCUCGACACUAUUUGUUUGCCCAACCCAGGAAGACACGUGAGGUCUCCUUUUUUUAAAAUUUUUUUCCUAUAUAUAUAAAAAACUUUGAGUGACACUACCUAUGUUGCCCGAGUGACAUAGCCUGUGUCGCUCAGCCUAAGAGGACACGUGAUGUGUCCCCCCCCUUUUUUCUGCAAAAAAAAAAAAAUCAAAAAAAAUUUGAAAAAAAAGACUGAAAAAUAAGAGAGACUCCAGAGUCUCAGAGGAUCAAUCAAAAUUGAAAAUAAAACUUUGUAUAUCUCAAAAUUCUCAAAUAUCAAUCUUAUUCAUCCAUUGAAUAUGGGUUUAUUACAUGCACUCACGCAAUCAAAUCUAGUCUUGAGACCAAAAUUUCUUAUGUCCUAACAUACUUCAAAGGAAUUAAAACUGCUGAAAAAUAAAGGUGAUCAUGAGAUCAACUUAUUCAAACCAAAGCAGGAACAAAACAAAAGAAAAGAAAAAGGGUCAUACAAUUACUCAGUCUUUGACUUGAGAUCAACAUUCUUCUCCUUGAGGUCCGCCACAACCCAUUGAGCUAACUCAACUUCAGCUUCUUCCAAGCUGAUGUCGGAUACAUCCUCAUUAGAUUUGGCUCGCUUAUUUGAAGAAGAGGCAUCAUUAUCUCGAAAAGGCACGGGAUUCUGAGCAGGGGCAUAGUUGAUGAUGAUAGGCAUGUUCCCACUAGGAAUCAUAGUUGGAAGUGGUUGUGGGUUUGUCUUGCUUGAUCAACUCUUCAUUAGAAGGAGGUUUAAUCCCCUUCCACAAUAAACCUGCCUUAACCAGAAGGGUGGAAGAGUGUUGUUGAAGUGGAAAGAUAGGGUGACGAUUGAUUGCCUUUUCAGGAGAUGUAUAGUUCUGAAUAUACCAAAACUGGCGAAGCACCCUUUAAGGGAACUAGCCCUCUAUGAAGUAUUGCCCCACCAAAGAGAACACAUGAAUACCCCAUAGGCCGAAGAAACAUGAGCACAUUCUCGAGACCCCCCAUUACCAAUCGAACGACGAUAACUCAUCAAAGACCAUGCGAUAGAAAUUGACGUCGUGAGGUCGGGUGGUAUCAUUGACAUACGCUAGUCCUAGAGCAACAGAUAUAGCUGUCAUGGAUCGAGGAGGAUGGACAACUGCGAUGUGUUCAUAGGUCGAAAUCUACGAAAAGAAGGACCCAAAACACCCCAAAAGGUCACAGAAGUGAAAUUCAGAACCCCCGAACCAUUCGAGGUAGGAUCACUUGGGCGACACUACUGGUAUAGCCCAGACUGACCUGGGCGACACUACCAGUGUCGCUCGUGUGACACCACUAAUGUCGCCCAAGUCAGAACCCCUCGGGUCAGUCUAGGUCUUUUCAAGAGAAUCCCUAUGAUCAAAAUUUGGAUUCCAAAAACAAAAAUGAGGCAAAAAUCUAAAUUUCAGAAGAAAAAAUGAAGUAAAAGAUUAAGUUCAGGAACACACCUACAAGAUCAGGACACUGCUCUCAAUAAAUCGAACGCUUCCAGUAACUCGGUUGUGAGGACUUUGAUAUAUGCCUACUAACACGUCCGGAAUAAUGGUAUGACCCUCUCUCUCCUAGAAAGCAUGGGCUAGAGGGAUGAGAGAACUACGGACAGUCUUCCGACCACUUUUAAAGAGGACCGAUCCCAAAAGCACAAAGAAAAAGUUACGGAUCUGCUUGGCUGCAUGGGAUCGCUCUCGAUUAACGACUAGCGAUCCAUAACAACCCAAUCACCAUGAGAAGAGUAGGCAGUCCCCCAACAGUCGUGCACCCAAGAAGGAAUGAUCAUCUGUUGCCGUAGAUAGUUGAUAUGCAAUACCGAACAAGCUCAAGCCAGAGAUCCCGAUGGCCUCCUCGAAAGUAAGAGUUGUCUCUCCUGUAGGGAGGAAGAAGGUAUUCAUAUGAAAGUUGAACCUCUCGGCAAGGGCCUCAAGGAGGGAAAAAUUGACAUGGCAAGAGGCCAUGGUCAAGAUAACCACCAUUGAAAGUGAGGCCAGAAAGGCCAUGAGCUCAAGCCAUUGCCGAGCAGAGAGGAACCAAAUCCUAAACCAGGGGCCGAUAACAAGAUAACCCUGAAGUCACCGAGGAGCAUCACCUAUUCUUAGGCCUUGUAAAAUAUGAGAAGGGAGACCUCAGGAAAAUGCCUAACCCUAGCAAAAGGAGGGAGACCCUCUUCCUCUCUCCUAUCGUCAGCUUGAACUGCACUCUUUCCCUUACCCUUAGAAAGGAUAGCAUUCUUCAUAGGAGCCAUGGAAAACUAGGAAGAAGAAGAAGAAAGAAGAGAGAAACAAGAAGGAAGAAGAUGAAGAUGAAAUCGAAGAAGGGAGAAGAUAAAGAUGAAAAUAAGAAAGGAAAAGAAGAAGACUUGGAUUCAAAUAUUUUCCAAGAAAGAAAUAGAAGAUACGAGAUCUCCUGUAAAAAAAUCCAUCUUAUAGUCUCCAAAUUCGGGAUCUAGGAGGAUUGACAACCCCAAGACCUUCCAAACCAAAAAAUUUGAGAUUCGAAGGUUGGUGGCCUGUGUGACGUAGGGUAUGUCGCCUAGAUCCGUAUGCCUAGUCCAGGCGACAUAGCGCAGUUGCCCAGGAGACACUACUUUGUCAAAAAAAUUUGGACAAAAAUGCCCCUACUUCAAUUCCGAAGUAUUCUGAGUACCAAAGUUGGUUUUGUUAUGCCUUGUUUUUUCGAAAAAAAGACUGUUUUUCAAAAAAUUAAUUGGUUUUCAAAUUUUUUCAGAUUCUCCUUGGUGGCACGAGCCUAAACUGGCAACUAAUUUCAAAAGAAAAAUCUUUAAUUUAAAAAGAAAAAAAAAAAAAUUUGCUCCUUGGUGGCACGAGUAUAAACUUCCAACCACAUUUUAGUUCAAAAUGUCUAGCCAUAAAGUUCAAAAUGUCUAGCCAUAAGACCCAAAACUCAGAUUUCUAGAACCUGUGUCAUAGACAUAGGGCUUCAAAAUACUCAGCCACAAGGCUCAGAACUCAGUCUUCUGGGUUGAUCUAUUUGGUACGCACACUUUGUGUCACUUUUACCAGAAUUCCCAAUAGUUUCACUGGUGACUCCAGCCCUGUGUCCCAGGUCCCUAUCAACCAUUUCGUGAUCUUUGGAAUUAUAAAAAAACAAAAAAAAAAAAUUAAAAAACUAUAUGGGAAAAGUUUAUAUAGAGCUGAGGCUCUAAACAAUCAAUUUUGACCCUACCACAAAAAUUUCACUAGAAGAGGUUGUUUUGAUGCCCAAAUAUAUUCAAAUUGAUUAUCUUGACAUCAAGAAGCACGGACAUGACAAAAAACUAGAUUUCAAGUUUUGGAAAUAGUGUAUUUUGUAACACAUUUUUUGACUAGCAAUUUUCAAGAUUUUCAAGUUUUCAUAGAUUUGUCGAUUUACAUUAUUUUCUAAGCUUUUAAAUUUUAUAAAUAAAUGUAAAAAUAUAUUUUAAGGCUUUCACAAAUAUUUCCAAUAUUGAAACUACAUUUCUUGACACUAUUUGAAGGUAGGCUCCAAUUUGAUCGUUUAGAGCCUAGGCUCUAUACAAACCACACCAUCUAUAUAUAUAUAUAUAUAUAUAUAUAUAUAUAUAUAUANNNNNNNNNNNNNNNNNNNNNNNNNNNNNNNNNNNNNNNNNNNNNNNNNNNNNNNNNNNNNNNNNNNNNNNNNNNNNNNNNNNNNNNNNNNNNNNNNNNNNNNNNNNNNNNNNNNNNNNNNNNNNNNNNNNNNNNNNNNNNNNNNNNNNNNNNNNNNNNNNNNNNNNNNNNNNNNNNNNNNNNNNNNNNNNNNNNNNNNNNNNNNNNNNNNNNNNNNNNNNNNNNNNNNNNNNNNNNNNNNNNNNNNNNNNNNNNNNNNNNNNNNNNNNNNNNNNNNNNNNNNNNNNNNNNNNNNNNNNNNNNNNNNNNNNNNNNNNNNNNNNNNNNNNNNNNNNNNNNNNNNNNNNNNNNNNNNNNNNNNNNNNNNNNNNNNNNNNNNNNNNNNNNNNNNNNNNNNNNNNNNNNNNNNNNNNNNNNNNNNNNNNNNNNNNNNNNNNNNNNNNNNNNNNNNNNNNNNNNNNNNNNNNNNNNNNNNNNNNNNNNNNNNNNNNNNNNNNNNNNNNNNNNNNNNNNNNNNNNNNNNNNNNNNNNNNNNNNNNNNNNNNNNNNNNNNNNNNNNNNNNNNNNNNNNNNNNNNNNNNNNNNNNNNNNNNNNNNNNNNNNNNNNNNNNNNNNNNNNNNNNNNNNNNNNNNNNNNNNNNNNNNNNNNNNNNNNNNNNNNNNNNNNNNNNNNNNNNNNNNNNNNNNNNNNNNNNNNNNNNNNNNNNNNNNNNNNNNNNNNNNNNNNNNNNNNNNNNNNNNNNNNNNNNNNNNNNNNNNNNNNNNNNNNNNNNNNNNNNNNNNNNNNNNNNNNNNNNNNNNNNNNNNNNNNNNNNNNNNNNNNNNNNNNNNNNNNNNNNNNNNNNNNNNNNNNNNNNNNNNNNNNNNNNNNNNNNNNNNNNNNNNNNNNNNNNNNNNNNNNNNNNNNNNNNNNNNNNNNNNNNNNNNNNNNNNNNNNNNNNNNNNNNNNNNNNNNNNNNNNNNNNNNNNNNNNNNNNNNNNNNNNNNNNNNNNNNNNNNNNNNNNNNNNNNCAUCACCGUCCAAAGUUUAUCGCACGGUCACAAUUGUCCGAUAGUGUUUCAUUUUUCAUUUGUUUUUUACAAAUCAGAAUAAUCUAAAAUUUAGAGCGUGUAUACAUCUUAGUGAGACGCACCUAAUAAAAAUAAUAAAAAAAAUAAUUCAAAAAACUGAGUUAACCAAAUUACCCCUAAAACUUUUCGAGAGAAUUUUGGUUAAUGUUUUUCUGGUAAAAACAUUUUUUGAUAUUUUUUUGUAGAUUCGCCUAUUUUUUAUGAAUACGCACUACAAGUUUUAAGUCAUUCUAAUUUGUAAAUAAAAAAUAAAAAAUAAAAAAUAAAAAAUUAUUGGACAAUCGUGACCUUCCGAUGAACUUUGGACGGUGAUGAGGGUAUGUGAAAUCACUGUUCAUUUCUCUUAAAGAGAGAGAGAUAGAGAGAGAAAGCUAACAAUAGCUGGGCAGCUAUAAUGAAUGGUAAUAUAGGUGGAAUCCUAAUCGCCAGAUCUUCAUCGAGUGGUUCAAAAUAUAUAUCACUAUUUUAAUUUUAAUUUUUUCUAUAAAUCUGAUUAUAAUGAAAUUUUGGGUGUAUAUACCUAACACUAUUGCCCACCAUAAAAAAAAUAUAUAUAUUAUUCUCAAUAAUUUAAAGAUAUUUUGGCAUCAAAACAACCUCUUCUAGUGCAAUUUUUGAGGUAGACUCAAAUUUGAUUGUUUAGAGCCUCAGCUCAAUAUAAACGUUUCCCUUGAAAUAAAGAGGUAUCUUUUUAAGAUAGAUGGAUCGACUAAGAAAGGUGGGCGCAAGUUUUCGAGCUUUUCGAUGUGUAAAAUAGACUGUAGGCUGAAGAUUAAAUUAGAACUAUGGGUUAGACGUGAGUGGCUUUCUUGGGUGAUAUGGAGGCAAAGAAAAAACGAUGGUCGCAAAGAGUGCAAAACGAUGCAAAAAAAUAAAAAAAGAGAUGCAAAACUAUGGAGGCAAAGAGUGCAAAACGAUGGACGCAAAGUCAAAAAGUAAGAGCAAUAUCUCUUUCUUAUCUUGUUACAUGCAAUAUAACUUUUUGACCUUGUUACAUACAAUAUAUGCUUUCCUACCUUGUUGCUUUCUUAAGUCAAAAGGUAAGAGCAAUAUCUCUUUCUUAUCCUGUAAUAUGCAUUUUUCUAUUUUGGAUUUUGUUUCUAUUAAUACUCAUGCGUCUCCCUCCCCCGCACACCCUCUUGUCACUCUCUCACUCUUUCUCUCUCUUGGACGUGCCACUUUCUUAUUUUCUCUCUCCAGUUUAACAAGAUAUCACUACUUUGAAAUAAGGUUUUCGGGUGUGUCUAGGGGGUGAGAGUUGCUUGAUCCUAGCCUUCAAUCCCUUAUUGGCUACCAAUAUUAAGGGUUAACAUUUAAUGGCCAUUAUCCCUUGGCCUAAUUUAAACCUAAAUUUCCCUCCGAUUUUUUAAUUCAAACGUUGCCACUAAUUGAAGUUAAAUCCAAAUAAACUUUGAUCAAAAUUCUAGUUUUGGAUCUAAGACUUAAUUUCCAGUUACCAGAAACUAAUUGUGUGAGGGAAAUUGUGUAGAGAGGGGCAUAUAGUCUAGAUUUAAUUGAUCUCUCUCUAAGUUUUAAAUUCAAAACACAGGUGCACUUCUUACUAGCAUAUGGCGUAUCCAUGCAAUUAAGGGGAGCAUGUCAUGUGGCAUGCUAAUGGAUUCUUUCCUUUACAUAUGUCCUAGGGUUUAGACAGUAAUGUCGAACCCUACGCCCAUUUUAGAAGCUUGCAGGUGCGCGCGCCAUGUGUACGUCCCUUAAAUUAGGGAUAUUAACUUUAUCUCACAUAAAUCUCAAUCCAAAAAACAUAUGACUAGCACACUCCCUUGACAUCACUCAUGUGAUAUCACCCACAUAGGACCCCAUAUGUGGUCCAUGUGUGCUCAUGUAUUAGAUACGAAGACACUCCACUUUGAAAAUGGUUGUAUGAUAUGAAGACACUCCACUUUGGCUUAUCUCAAUAUCUCCAACCAUUUUUUCAAACCAAUCUAAAAAACCCGUGACUCACAAUUUUAACUAGAGGCUCAUGCGUAGUCCAUCUAAAUUCAUCGAUUGAUGAUAAAAUCUUAGAAUUUAGUAGAUUGCAGGUGUACCCCACUGUUGACAAGUAACUCAUGCGCUAUUAUGCCUCUCUGAAGUACAUGUGUAUGCUCCCUAUCUAGUUGAUCAACCAGAAGGGUGGCUUGGUGGUUUCCGAAAACCGGUUGUCAUGUGCACAUGAUGUAGAUUAGUUAGUGUCGAGGAUUAGGCACUUGUUAGAACACAUCAUCAUAAACGACAAACAUUUCUCAUAAAUUAAAUGCCCUGGCUAGAACACACAUUCUAGGCUAUUACUGACUUCGGCAGAGGACAAUUACCUCCGCUUUAGAAUACCAUAUGACUCUUGAUCUCUUCAAACUCUCAACCCAUUCACUUAAAAAUAAAUAAAUGUGGGAUUUAAAACAUCAGUUUUAAAAUUUAGGUAAUUGUAAAUUGCUUUAAAUUUGCAUGGACUAUUAUAUAAAUCAAUAAAUCAAUUUGUUUAAAAUUCUUUAAACUAUUGAGAUGUUAUGUACCUAAUUUUCAAAAUGAUUUCUUAGAUUGGCAUGGGUUUCUUCUAACAUUAAAUUCAUAAUUAAGGUAUCUAAAGAAUUUAGAACUCAUUAUUGACAUAUUUUCAGAUCUCUUAUUUCUCAAUUAGCAUAAAUUUCUUUUUAAACAUGAACAACUUUAAUUGUAAAGCGUCAAAUUUUUCCAAUGGGCAAACCGGAAAUGGAGAUUGUUGUAAUUAUUUUUGUACUUUCAAAUUGAUGUAAAUUAGUUCCCAGGCAAUUUUAAAAGAUACAAAUAUUAGGAAGGCUUUAUUUCUUCCAAUCCAUUGCUUCAUCUUCUCUUUAAUAAUUUCCAAGUGUAAAAUCAUAUCAAAAUCAAAUGUUUUGGAAGGUUUUUUAUUUCUGAUUUUCAAAUUUUUUAUUUUUAAGGAACAUAAAUAAAAUUUUAUUUUCAAUAUUGCAAUCAAAGAAUUCAAAUCACAAAAAAGGUGAUUAUAUAUAGUUUAUACUUUUAAAAUAGAAAUUGGAGUUUCAGAUAAUUUGGACUUUGCCAGUAAUCGCCUACAUGAAUGGAAGCCUUAUUUCUUUGGAUAUUCUAAAUACAAAAAUCCAAAAGUUUCUAGUUGCCCCUAUGAAAAGAAAGUAAAACCUCAUCUCGUAACCUCGUACGAAAAAUACUUAUUUUGGUAGGGCUGCAUUCCUAAUAAAUAUUUCUAACAAAAUUGACUGCCCAAACUUUUGACGCCAUAGCCGCUUAAACCUUCUUAAAAUUUGACAAAUUAUACAAAAAACAAUAUUCACAAACAUCUCCGGAACUUAUUCACAUUGGAAUUACUACCAAUGAGAGAAGAUGAACUAAUAAUAAAGUUCCACCAAGAGACAAAUAUAGUGAUGUUGUAGACACCCCAAUUGGGAUGAAUGAAUUUCCAAGUAUCCACACUCCUAAACCCAUGUCACUCUAAUCUAAAUACCUUUCCGGACCUAACCCAAACCUAAAACCUAGCUUUGUCCCACCUAUAUACCUCAUUUCUACCUUAUACCAGAGUAGGGACCAUAGUAGAGUAGUAGUCCAUAGUGCACCAGAAUUCAUGCUCCAAGCACCUUAGGAAACAUCUCAAAAAUGCCCUAGUUGCCCCAUCAUCAAGGGAACACACCUCGCCAACCUAAAACCUUCCCAAUUAGGCUAACAUAUUAUAAAAAUUCACCUAAUUUGGCUAAGCACCUUUAAAACAUGCCUAAUUAGGCUAGCACAUCCUUAAAGCCCUCCAAAAUUGGCGUAAACCUAGAUUGGGAUGAUCCCAUCUAGCUAGGCCCCAAGACUAUUUAUGAAAGUUGAACUAUGUGAUUGAGCAUGGUGUAUAUAAAUUAAAAAAAAAUUUAUUUAUUUUAUUCUUAUAUCGAAAAAAACACUCACAAUGUCCAAUUACAAAUAUAUAACUCUUAAAACAAAUAAAUAAAGGAAAAAAAACACGGUUCUCACUUACUACCACUAUUGAAUACAAUUCCAUAAAUUAAAAUCUUAACUCAUUGCUUUAUGAGAAGAGAAGAUCAAAUCACAAAUAAAGCUUUAAAAAAGUAAAAUUGAUGGAGAUUACCUCAACCGGGCUUAAUAUAACUCACAUUGAGUCUCCUCCUUUCGAUGGUGCUCGAGAUCUAUCGGUCUCUUGAUUCUCCUAACUAUGGCAAAACCCUCUCAAUGGCAUAUGGAUCUCGAUAUAAAACCAACUUCCUAAGGCUUCAAUGCCUUGGUCUUGCUCAAGCCCCUUUAGCUUAAUCGUUGGAGAGAUGAGAGAUAGAUUAAAGAGAGAGAUCUACUAGCAAGGGGAUCCUCACCUUUGCUACCAAAAAAAUUAAACCACCACAAGAAAUGAGAGAGACAGAUGACUUGGGCGUGCUCCCCUUGCCAUUUGGCUUGAUAGAGAUUUUGGUUGGAGCGUGCCCUCUUAAAAAAAUGUGGGAGAGAUCUUGAAGCCCUAGGUGAGGCAUGCCAUAUAUCGAGAGAUCUUUGAGAGAGAUAAACCUUAAGGAGAGAAGAAAAAAUAAGUGUAGAGAUUUUAUGAUGUGGGAGAGUCUCUUUGUAUAGAUUUUCUAUGCUUUGGGGUUUGCCUCAAUUCGUAGGGUCAAAUCUUUACCGUCGAUCUAAGUAGACUUAUGAGAUGAGAGAUUUGAGUCAUCCAUCUUUUUGAUACACUAUCAAGAUUCUUUGAUCCAAUUCAAAGAGAUGAGAUAGAGUCUUAUUUUCUAAUUCCUAGAUCUAUUCCUAUCAAAUCUUUAAAUAAAUAAAAUAUAAAUCCUACUUUCUAUUUAGUAUAUCCAAUCUUUAUUUCAUGGAUCAAGAAAUCUUGAUUCAAAGAUUUACUAAAUGUUUCAAAUAUUCAACCUUAAGUUGGCUAUACCCAAAAGAUAAGCCAACAAACAAGGGGAUAACUAUCACCCAAUCGUGGUGAACAAGUUAGUCCCUAUGGGUAGGGCAUGCCACCCUUUGAUGGCCACAUGUGUGCCUCAUCGAAUCCCACAUGUUUUAAAUUGGGCCCCCAUAUUUAUAGAGGGUCCCAUAUAAUUUUAAAAAUACUUUCCGGGGGUAUUUUGCUCAAUUUUUUUAUUUUGUAUUUAGAAUUUUUAAAUAUUAUAUUUUAUUUAAAACAUUGAAAAAUUGAUUUCUUUUAAUUUAUAAAUCCAAAUGAAAAAAAUAAAAUAUCAAAAGAUUAACAAAAAUUCAAAUAAACAUUUUAAAAAUCAUAUAUCAUAAAAUUAAUUAAAACUAAUUAAUUUUGAUGGGUUAAGAAUUUAUCAAUAUACAUGAACAUUUCACCUUCAACUGCAUACUACAAUCCACCUAGCUUUCUCAAACUGACCCAACAGUUUCCAAUACCCACAGUCCACUACAGGCGCUGAUGAUUGGACCACCGAAGUCAGCCAAUGGACUAAGGGACACAAUCCUAGUUUAUGGAUUUCAUGUUCUCCCCUAAAGAAAAAAAAUUCAUCGUCAUCCAGACCAUGAUGCAACCAUGAUUCUAUGGUGAAUAGGGGUAAUAUCUUGCACAUGUAUAUGAUUCAUGGCCAUUGGCGAAUAUGAAAAAGGCUAUCUAUGUACAUGUCGUGAUGUAUAACGAUAAGGUUUCAGCCCUGUCUCUAAAGGCUGUUCAUCAUAUGCAAGCGUCAUAUAGUCCCUCGGCUCUCAUCUGACCAUACUCUGACAUCAUCAAAGGCUAACCCACUACACCCUUCUCGGUAGAUCCCUAUACCCAGGUAUCUUGGGUGUUUCCAAACUCGGUUGUCCUAGCACGUUGAGCUUAGUCUACGUAUCAAAAAAAUCACAUUUUCCUAGUAUGGUCCACAAGAUGAUCACACUCCCACUGAGUUUAUAUUUCACUAUAAAAUGCUCAUACAAGCUCUCAUGAGGCCUUUAAAUGUCACAUAAACCCAACAUCUCCCACUUGGCUUUUGGAGGCCUUGCAUUCUCUCUUUCUCAUAUUCUCAUCCCCCCAAUUACAAUCUCUCUCUCAAGCAUUUUUCACUUAUUAUCUCUUAUUGUAGUAAUCAUGCUUUUGUUAUCAAUCCUUUCACAAAGGAUUUUUAGAGGCAGUGCCUCAUUUUCUUUGCUACUCAGAUCUUAUUCUAAACGUGGUCGUAGUCCAUCUUUCAUGUCGUAUUGCGAAUCAUAGACGUGUUGUCACAGAUGAUCAUCAUGUAACCUCUUCGCAUGGGGUUGUAUCUUUAUUGACUUUAAGCAGUUCUUCAAUCAAGCUGCUCCCUUCUGUAGCCAUACAACUUGCGCCACACAUUCGGGUUCUAUGGGUGAACAACGGUAUGUUGUUCCAGCUGGGCCAUCAAACAUAAGCUGGUGCUCCCAAUGGAAUAUUGAGUUUAUUUGGAUCUUUUCAUAACAUGAUACAUGUAUAACUCAAAACCAUGUAGUUUGGUACUUGAGCUUUCUUGAUUCUUUGCUUUUACUUGCUGACGAGCUUUUGUGAACUUGGAUGAGCACACAACUGAUGAAGAAACACUUGGUCAUCACCUUUUAUACGUUGAUGAGGCAUCCAUCUCUUUGGCCUUUUGGAUUCUCUCAUACAUAUAUAAAAGUACUUUUCUUCAUUCCAUCAUUUCAAAGAUCGCGAAUUUAAAUAACCCACUGAUCUUUAGAGCUUCUAUGCUGCCACCAAGUUUCUGUACAUAUCCCUUCUUUGCGAAGAAACCAAAGUGUUUUCACAUGCAUUGUAUUUCUUUUAUAUUCUACAAUUGCCAGAUUCACUUCUUUACAUAGAGUGUCAUAUCUUGUCAACCUUAUAUUACAUCUCUUUGAAGUUUUAUUGUUAUAAACCAUACAUAUGGCACAUUAUAAAAGUUUUGAAUAACACCUAAAAGAGCUUCAAUUAUGAGAAGUGCAAAGAUGUGCCUCAACAUUACACAUCUUUUCAUUUAUUGCAGAAUAGAAGAUGAACAUCUCAUGGUACGAAUACGAUAUAUUUCAACUCAUGAGAGUUUACCUCUUAACCUUUUUUAGUAUUGAAAUAGACAAAAAAAUAUAAAAUAGUGUUUAGUUCCAUCCUUAAAUCACACCAUUUAGUGAGAUUUUGAUUUAAUGACAUUCACGUCACAAUAUAGUUUUCACAAUAAAAAAAUUAGUUGCGCACCUCUCAAUAAAAUACUUUUUCCUCUUAAUCCACAGAUCAUUUAUUCCUGAAACUUUUUCUAUUGAAAACUAGAUAUAAAAUCAAAGCGUAGAAUCAUAAUGUGAGUCCCAAGUAAUAUUUUUCUUCAAAGAAAUAAAUAAGUGACAUUACAAUCAUAAAAUAUAUAAUACUGCAUAAUUCCAAGAUGAAUAUUAUCUAGUAAAAUUGUCUUUUCUCUCUACCUUCAUAUAAUUUCUUUUUCAAACGUAUUUUUUUUUUGAAGUAGACACAGAAUGGUAACUCAUAUAUUUUCACAAGUCUUAUAUCACUCUGUUAAGUAGGUUUGAUAAAUAUAGAUAUUCACUCCUUAAUGAAGAACAUACCAAACUGCUGAAUAUUCAGGAUGGCCUAUCUUCAAUCGAAAAUUUGUAUUCAUCUCUUCUCAUAGAUAUUUCUCUCUCAAAUAAGUUUUAUUAGAAGCUAGACUCAAAUGGAAGUUAAAAACUUAGUAUAGGCCUUAAAACACUCUGUUAAGAAUGAAAAUAAAAUUAUGGCUUCCAAGUCAUUAAAACAGCUUUUUUUGUAGAAAUAGUACUUGCGCACCCUUUAAUAAAUUAAUCUUAUCUGUCAAACCACACUUUGUUUAUUCAUAAAACUAUUUGUUUUGAAAUUACACUCAAUUUUAUGAGUCAUAGUCAAAUUUCAGGUAAAACUAAAAUCAUAUGAUUGCUGGAAAAAUUCAUGGACCCCAAUGGACAGUUCCUAGAUUUUGCAAAGUCAAAACCUGGAUUUUGUAAAGUCAGAACUGACACCCUUCAUUGAUUAGUUCAUAACUCUCUAUUCCCUCAGGGCCUCCCACUAAUAUUUUGUAGUUGAUCCUACUCUCCAAAAUACAUAAUAUCCUGAAGUAUGUAUCAAAGAAAUACAUCAUUAUGUUGUUCAUAUCAGUGCUCCAAAAACAACAAGAAUACCCGAUUCUGCGGAGUGCCUUCUUGGCUUUUGAACGUGCCAAUCAUUCUUCCGGAGGUGUAUCUUUUGACCGCAAAAGUCAUUGGAUUUCUUAUAUCUCAUUCCCAAUUCACCAAAAAUAGUGAAAUAAAAUAAAUAGGAAAGCAAGUAGAUCUAGCUCUAAUACCAAUGAAAGUUGGACUAUGUAAUCUAACACAGUGUAUAUAAAUUAAUUAUUAUUUUUCUCGGAAAGUUGGACUAUAUGAUCAAACACAGUGCAUCUAAAUUAAUUAUUAUUAUUUUCUUAUUCUUACACUGGCAAGACAACUCACAAUUUCUAAUUACAAACAAAUAACUCUUGAAACAAAUAAAUAAAAGAAAAGAAGCACGAUUCACACGUGCUACCCCUAUUGAAUACAAUUCCUUAAAUCAAAAUCUUAACUCAUUGCUUUAUGGGAAGAGAAAAUCAAAUCACAAAUAAAAAUUUACAGAAGUAAAAUUGCUGGAGAUUACCUCAACUAGGCUUAGUACACCCCACACCGAGUCUUGUCCUUCCGAUGGUACUCAGGAUCUAUGAUCGGUCUCUUGAUUCUCCUACAUAUGGUAAAAUCCUCUCAAUGGCAUAUGGAUCUUGAUCUAGAACGAACUUCCUAAGGUCGCAAUGUCAUUGUCUUGCUCAAACCCCUUUGGCUUAAUCUUUGGAGAGUCUUUGGAGACAUGAGAGAUAGAUCAAAGAGAGUGAGAGAGAUCUACUAGCAAGGGGAUUAUCUCCUUUGCUACCUAAACGUCAAACCACCACAAGCCAACCUUAGCUUAGGUGUGCCACUUAGAAAGAGAGAUGACUUGGGUAUGCCCCUCUUUGCUUGAGAGAGAUUACUUGAGCAUACUCCCCUUGGCUUGAGAGGGAUUUGGUUGGAGCGUGCCCCCUUAGAAAAACUUGGGAGAGAUCUUAAAGCCCUGGGACGUGCCACCUAUAGAGAGAUAUUUGAGAGAUAGAGAGAAAGAGAUAACCCUUAGAAAGAGAAGAAAAAAUAUGUUUAGAGAUUUUAUGAUGUGGAAAAGCCCUGUACAUAGAUUUUCUAUGCCUUGUUGCCUUAAUUCGUAUGAUAAAAUCUUGACUGUCGAUCUAAAGAAACUUAUGAGGUGAGAGAUUUGAGCCAUCAAUCUCUUUGAUCCACCAUCAAGAUUCAAAGAUAUGAACUAGAGCCUUAUCAUCCAUUUCUUAGAUAUAUUCCCAUCAAAUAUUUAAAUAAAGAAAGUAUAUAUAUCAAACUUUCUAUUUUAGUAUAUCCAAUCUUUAUUUCUUGGAUCAAGUAAUCUUGAUUCAAAGAUUUACUAAAUAUUUCAAAUAUUCAACCUUAUAAUGUAAGAUGGUUAUACCUCAAAGAUAAGCUAACAAACAAGGGGAUAACUAUCACCCAAUCUUGGAGAACAAGUUAGUCCUAUGGGUAGGGCGUGCCACCCUAUGGUGGCCACAUGUGAGCCUCACCCAAUCCCACAUGUUCUAAAUUGGGUGCCAAUAUUUAUUGAGGGUCCCAUAUAAUUUUAAAAAGUAUUUAUUUUGUAUUUAGAAAUUUUAAAUCAUAUAUUUUAUUUAAAAAAUUCAAAAACUAAUUUCUCUUAAUUUAUAAAUCCAAAUGAUAAAAAUAAAAUAUCAGAAGAUCCACAACAAUUCAAAUAAACAUUAUAAAAAUCAUAUAACAUAAAAUUAAUUAAAACUAAUUAAUUUUGAUGAGAAUCAACUCCGUUAGAUCUAAGAUUUUAUCAAUAUACGUGAGCACUUCACCUUCAACUGUGUACUGCAAUUCACUUAGCUUUCUCAAACUAACCCAAUAGUUCCCAUGACCCACAGUCCACUGCAGGGGCUCAUGAUUGGACCACCAAAUCAGUCAAUAGACUAGAGGACAUAAUCCCAGUUUAUCGAUUUAGAUUCUCCCCUAGAGAUAAAAAAAUGAUGCUCCUGCAGACCAUGACGCAACCAUGACUCUAUGGUGCUUAAAGGUAAUCACUCGCACAUGUACACGCUUCACCGUUAUUGGCGAAUAUAAAAAUUGCUAUCUAUGUAUAUGUCGUGUGAUGAUAUAGCGAUGAGUUUUUAGCCCUAUCUCUAAUGGUUAUUCAUCAUACAUAAGGGCCACACAGUUUCUCGGUACUCAUCUAGGCAUACUCCGACCUCAUUAAGGGCUAACCCACUAAACCCUUCUCGAUAGAUCCCUAGGCCCAGGUAUCUUGGGUUUUGCCAAAAUUUGCUAGCCUAGCACGUCUUGCCUAGUCUGAGUAUCAGGAAAUCGCAUUUGUCUAUUAUGGUCCAAGAGAGGACCACACUCCCACUGAGUUUAUAUUUCACUAUAUAAAAUGCUCAUACAAGCUCUCAUAAGGCAUUUAAAGGCCACUUAAACCCAACAAUUUAUACUCCCUUGUUUGACGAUUUUAGGGUCUAGGUCCUAUCAUUAGGCCCCCUAAUCCUAAUUUUCCCUUCCCUUUCACCAUUGAACCCAAAAAUCAUCAAUACUCAAAUCCAAUCCCUAGACCUAUGAGUCCCUGUAACCUCUCUGAAUUUUAGAAAACCAAGUUUCAAUCUCUUCAAAAUCACAAACUAGAUCAGCCAUGCGAGGUAGCCUAUGAAGCACUAUUGUACGGGCCCUACACUAUUAUAGGCACCCUCACUUUUCCAACCUCCACUAAUUUCGUUAAAAAAAUUAUGAACCGGGUGUAUCCAUCUCAAGUGAACUCAAAGGACAAGGGCAUGUUCCCCUUGUACUGAAUCAAUCUAAUCUAGGUUCAAACUCCAAGUGUUGCUUGUGGCUCUGACUUGCACCAAGUAGGCCAUUUUCCUUUCCUUCUCUUUUAUUUCUUUGCAUUAUAUGCUUAAAGUAGUUCUCUUCUACUUCUAAGAUGUUUCCUUGCAUUUCUUUUUGCUUCCUAAGCUUUUCAAACUCUUCUCUCAGAUUUGGAGAGUCUCUAACUGGAAUGACUAGUAAAUCAUAGAAGGAAGGUCCUUGAAGUCUAACCUUUGUGAAUCGUAAUUUGACGGAACCCAUCUCUUCAGACACACUUAAUCUAUUUUAGGCACAAACAGACAUUGAGGAAAUUUCGAUCUUUCAUGCCUCCUAGUUUUGCGUCAACCUAGGUAUGUUCUAGAGUAAUUAUUCAUGAUUGACAUCAGUAGUUAUUGGACUAUAUACAACACUAUAGUACCACAUGAUCGUAAUGAAAUGGGAGCUUUGAUAGAAAAAGAAAUGUUCUACAGAUCUCAAUGUUACAAUAUACAAAAGGUAUUUUGAUAAUUUUCUAUUACGUUCGUUUCUCAAAGAAGCUCAACAGGCCCUAGAAGAAGUCCAUGCUGGGGUCUGUAGAUGGAUCAAUCAAGACCCAAGGUUUUUAUGAGGCUUAAAUGCCUUUGACGAUAUUGGCCUCCAAGAACUGACUCUAUUUUUAGAUUUACAAACCCAAAAAGAAACCGUGAGAGAUUGGCCCAAGCAGAAGCACCCUAAAAUGAUUUUAUUUUAUUUUUUAAUCAAGAGAGAGAGAGAUAUAUAUCUAGAGUGAGAUGAGACAGGCAUAGAAGACCAAAUGGAGAGAGAGACAAAGCCUUGCUCUAUUAUUCAUUUAUUUAUUUAUUUUUAUUUUAUUUUUAGUUUUAUAAAGGGGGAGAAAAGAAGGUAAGAAGGUGAGAAAACAUAACCACCUUAUUGGACUCAUACACGGGUGACUUCUAUGAAAAAAGACAUGAAAGAUAUUAAACCGGAUGCCUGGGAGACUUACAGGCCGGCUGGGUGUAAUGUAAUCUACCGCAAUAGCUAACUUAUGCAGUACUUUGCCGCAAUGGACUCACUCAUGUUUAAUAUGACAGUUAGGAUAGUGUGGGUUUCUCGGGUCAACGCACCACGACAAUGAUCUUAGUCAAAAAACAAUUUUGUUUAUAAUUCACACUCUUCAUUCAAUCUGCAAGGGGUACAAUAUAUAGUCGCACGAGGGAAUAUUUACUCGUCUUUUGUAUCAAAUCAGAAUAAAGAAAAAGAUACAUCAAAUCCUAUUUUACAUCCUAUCAAAGAAAAAGUAACAACGUUCUUCUCUGAAUGCCUCUUCUAGUUCUUCUUUUGUUUCAAUCAUGCACCAAGCCAUCUGAAUUUCGUUUUUCUAAAAAAAAGCCCUGAUUGGUCUGGGUGCUCUGGUUGGGCAUGGAGAGGCCAUAUGACCAUCUUGUUUGCAAGCACAACAUGGUCCUUUAGGAGGAUAACUUUUAUUUCUUUUAUAAAAUUUAUACGCUUAAUAGAUCUCUUCUUGUGCACUCUUCGAAAUCUUGGAAUAUUGUACAAUUCUGCUCCUUCAAUGUUGUUGCAUCCUCUGACAGCUACCUUUGGAAAUUGCUUAGGGGCAUUUAUAUUGAAACACAUUUUUUGACUUUUGAUCUAGCAAAACCAAUCACAUCUGCUAAUACAAGAGCUUCUACCAUGGUUCCCUUAGCUGAUACUAUUUUUGUUAUCGUCCUUGGCAAACUUGCCAAAUAGGAGGUAUUGCACAUGACAUUUUUGCUAACCCUCAACCUAUAACAUUAUGUAUUAAAAUCGCCGGACAAAAUUUCAAAAUCAUCUAUAUCAACUAAUUUUCUCCGGGAUAAUAGUACUGAAUCAAGUGCAGUUUUGUUUGGAUGACUUGCAACAAAUUCUAUAUACACCUUUUCUCCAAGCUCAUUUAACCCCAUGUACUUAAUAUAAUUUUUCCCAUCAUCAGUAAAUCCAAGCCGCCAGUAUGAGGAUCUUCCUUGUAACACACUUGCUUUGGUUACUGCAUUAUCAUUUGGCCAUCUUCUUAGCUCCUAAAUCAUAAAACAUUUAUGAUUCCAGGUAACAAUAUUUUGUUCUUUAGAAUUACUUAGCCUGUCAAUAUUUAACAGAGGAAUAUCAAUUCUUAUGUUUUUGUUUCCACCAUUACCUGAAGCUCUGAACAUUUAUAUAUAUAUAUAUAUAUAUGACAAUGACUUCAUGCAACCGUUGUAUGGUAAUAUGAUGCAACAACCUUAAAAAACCAUCUUAUAGCCACUUGUUUGAUCUAAAUUUUGAAAUAUACACUCUUUUCAUUCUAAUGAACAAUCACAAAAAAAGAAAAAAUUUAAAACACAACCUAGAGAGUAUUUUUUUAGCCCAAUUAAUAUAGGUCGUUCAUUUUGAUGAGAUGCUUAAAUCUAGGCCUUAGAAGGAUUCUUUCAUUUCUAACUUUUUUGGAUGGCUUUAUUAUCAUUAGAUGAACAAUGUUAAAAAAAGCAAAAAAUGAUUUUGGAUUUAUAAAGGCUAAGAUAUUGACAUUCACAAAAUGAUUGGUCUACAUUCGGUUUUGGAGGGGACUCAUUUUGACCAUAUCUAGGGUUCAAAUUAAACUUUUUUUUUUUUUGGAUGAUUGAUUUUUGACAUGAAGAGAGAGUGUGUAUAAAAUUUGGGGCAUACAAAUACCACAAACAUGGUUUUCAAGAAANNNNNNNNNNNNNNNNNNNNNNNNNNNNNNNNNNNNNNNNNNNNNNNNNNNNNNNNNNNNNNNNNNNNNNNNNNNNNNNNNNNNNNNNNNNNNNNNNNNNNNNNNNNNNNNNNNNNNNNNNNNNNNNNNNNNNNNNNNNNNNNNNNNNNNNNNNNNNNNNNNNNNNNNNNNNNNNNNNNNNNNNNNNNNNNNNNNNNNNNNNNNNNNNNNNNNNNNNNNNNNNNNNNNNNNNNNNNNNNNNNNNNNNNNNNNNNNNNNNNNNNNNNNNNNNNNNNNNNNNNNNNNNNNNNNNNNNNNNNNNNNNNNNNNNNNNNNNNNNNNNNNNNNNNNNNNNNNNNNNNNNNNNNNNNNNNNNNNNNNNNNNNNNNNNNNGCUAUUUUCAAUAAUUUAAAAUGACCAAAAUAACCCCAUCAUUUUUCAAGGUAUUUCUAUCCUUUUAUAUUUUUGAAAAUAUUUUUUAUUUGUGCGCCUUAUUUUUUAGUACACAUGAAAAUUUCAUUAUGAUCUGAUUUAUAGAAAAAUAAUUAAAAAGUGAUAUGCAUUCUGAACAGCAUGAUGAAGAUCUGAUGGCUCUCAUUCCCCCUUUAUUACUAUUCAUUAUAGCUGGCCAGCUAUUGUUAGCUUUUUCCUAUAUAUAUAUAUAUAAUAAAAAAUCAUGCACAACAUAGACCAUGCUUGUGAGUCAUUGUAUCCCACAAUUUCCACAUAACCAUUAACAGAAUGGAGAAGGAUGUCAUUUAACGGAUUCGACUAGCACCCGCUAGUGCUUGCAUAUAUAUAUUUUUUAGCUAUUAACAAUUAUUUCUUCAAGUGUGCAGAAGCAAUACCAGUUUGAAUUGUAAUGGUAAAGAUGGUUGUUGAUAUUGUUUUGCGUCAUAACAUCUAUAGAUAUGGUGUCCUAGGCAAAAUUAUCUCGGAUAAUGGUGCAUUUAUAAAAAAUAGAGCCUCGUAAACAUCAACUUCAUGCUAAAUUUCAAAUUCAUUUAAGCUAUACACCUGAGGCAGUGAAAAAACUUUACAGGGAAAGAACACAAAUAAUCUAUUGACUCAAGGCAUGGCUCUUGCAAGAUAAUAAUGAGCUCCAACAAAAAAAAAAAAAAAGUCCAUUAACUAAAAAAAUUUAAGAAAAAGCAUGCAAAAGCUAGACUUGAAUUAAAGAAACGUAGUAAAAUCUCUAACGCAAAAGAAGGGAUUUCAUCGUACUGGCAACUUCUCACCCCUCUAUGGCAUUUACAACUUUUUAUUUGAGCUGCUCCUCUGCUGUCUUACCACGCGAGAACGUAACUACCAUCUAGGCUCCUCUGGUUUAACUGGUGUGGGUAUGGGUUGGGCAUUACUUGGCCCCUCAUUUGGUCGGGAAGGGAGCCAUACUGGUGGUACGUUUUCUUCCAUCUUAUCAUCCAACUCUAAUUCCUCAGAUGCAUCCUCAUCCCUUGCAGCUUCGUCAUAAAUUUUCAGCAAUUCUAAUGCUUCCCCAAUUAGGUCCCAAUUUCUUGAAUUUUAACCUUCACGUACAGGUUGAGCUGCAUGGUUGAUGUCCCUAGGUUACAUCAAGUCUUAUGAAAAUAGAUUAUUGAGUUUUAUAAAAUUAAAAUGUAGUGAAUCAAACAACAAAGGUUCUAAAAAAUUCUUACCAUUCUAUCUUCAUCAUUAUAACCUUGAGGUGGUUAUUUAGAGGGACGUUUUCUAAAUGGAUUAAGGAUUGAGGGCUUAGUCCUUAGCAUGUAUCAUUCGAUGUAUUCUUGUAACGGCUUCCCAUUGAACAUAUCUUUAUCUGUCUGACACAAAAUAUCUAACAUAUUCAUCCACAUAUCUAUUUCAUUUUGAAGCUCAUCUGCCCAAUUGUCAGUCAUCUUCCCCAUUCUCUCCCUCCUCUCCCUCCUUUCCAACUGCAAGGGAUCAGCCGGUAUCCCUGGGUGAAGUCCAAACUGUCAAAACAUACGAUCUGGCAUGUACCCCUCACAAAUGUGUCCACAUAUGAGGUAUGUGUGACACAAAACAAUCUGAAGAACAAUAAGGUCAUAAGCUCUAUCCUCUUCAGUUUCUUCUUAUAGGUUAAGAUAAUCAUCAUAUGAAAUCCAUAUGACGUAUGAAAAAAUAAAUAGAAAUUUUAAGUUAAAUAAACUUGACCAAAAUUAAUUAAAAUAUGAAUAAACAAAAUCAAUGAUAACUAUUUUAUACUAACAUCAUUUAUUUGUGCGUUAUCGGUCUCAUGUGGCCCCACGAGAGGGAAGUUAUGAGAGUUAUCCCAUUCUGUAAGACGAGCCCACCUGAGGGAUCUAGGUUACCCUACCCUUAUUUCUCUGGGAAUUUGGCGUAACAAUUUGAAAUACUCGUACGCCGAGCACUGAAAUGCAUGCAUAAAAAAUAAUUAUACAACAAAAAAAAUCUAUCAAACUUUUAAAAAAACUAUCAAAAUAUUAAUAUACUAGCACUAACGACAAAAGAGUGGCUUAUCCACUUAGGUGUUGAUGAUCAGAAUGAAUAACUUUUGACAAGCCUUGAAACAAAAAACCUAGGGCAGCUGCACCCCAUGCAUAUUGACCAGCUACUUCCAUAUCCUCAAAAAGCUGUAAAUAUAUUGCAGGCACCGUACCAUAUAUAGAAUCUGCAAAUAUUGUGCAGUCAAUUAGAUAUAGGAGGUAGGAACGAGUGUGUCGUAAAAAGGUGGUGCAUUUAUAGUUUUGUGGCAGCUGUUUAAAAAUGUUCAUCAACCAUGUCAGCCGGAUAAUAGAAUGGUUACGUGCAUAUUGCAAUUGUCCUAUUAUAUUGAGUAUAUAGUCCUCAUAGUUCUCCACUCUCGUAAGAGUUACAACUACACUAGUAACCCUUAAUCGGAGAAUUUUCCAUAUAUCUUCAAGUGUAGGCAUCAUCUAUCUGACGUCUAUAUUGAAGUGUCUAGUGUGCGUCUCUACACGCCACCUCUCGAUCAUUGUAGACAAUGUGCCAUGAUUAUGGUGAGUCAUCGAUACUAUGAUCAGAGGAUACAAUCCUGAUCUCCGGACCAAAUCGAUUUAAUCAUUAGUUGUUAAAGGCCAUAAUGAAGUUGCAUUGGCUUUCUCUUCAACCCUGAGGGGAUUUUCCCGAUCCUAAAAUGGAAUUUGUGAUUUAAAUUACUAAAAUAAAUAAGUUGAUUAACCAACAUAAUAGACAAAUAAUAUAAUUUGAAAUAGUUGUAAAUACAUCUUCUUCCUAGAUCUUCUGUGAUAUAUAUUCUCUCUGUCUAUUGAGCAAUGUAAGAAUCUCAAGACCUCCAGGGCAGAGUACACCUUCUGCCAUGAUCCCUGUUCAAAAGCCAUCAUAAACAACAAACUCAUGGUAAAUAGACUACUACUAGUCUAUCAGACACCUGACCAAGGAUAUGGCAAAGUAAAAGAACAAUCAGCAAAAAGAAACUACAGAAGCCCAAUUAAAGUUUAACUACAUCCAAUCAUAAUUGGGACACAAAGUUUAACUAACAAGGCAAACAAGAAAUCACUUUGAUAUGUAUUUCCGUGGAUAAUUAUGAAGAUUUGUCAUGCUAAAGAAAUCAUCGAUUUGCUGCAAAAAUAUUAUUGAUAUAAUGUAGAUCAUCCUGGUUUCACUACCAUGAUUACUACUCAAGAAUAACUUAAUAAAGUGGAGUGGAGUAAUUUCAUGCUUAUUUUGAACUUGUAAUCGAAGCCAUAGCAACCCAAAACAAUAUGAAGCAUUUAUUUCAACACUGCCAACACUAAAAUCCCAUUCCAAAGCAAGCUAAAAACCAAUAGAUAACUCUCUCUCUCUCUCUCUCUCUCUCUCUCUCUCUCUCUCUCUCUCUACUCUACUACUANNNNNNNNNNNNNNNNNNNNNNNNNNNNNNNNNNNNNNNNNNNNNNNNNNNNNNNNNNNNNNNNNNNNNNNNNNNNNNNNNNNNNNNNNNNNNNNNNNNNNNNNNNNNNNNNNNNNNNNNNNNNNNNNNNNNNNNNNNNNNNNNNNNNNNNNNNNNNNNNNNNNNNNNNNNNNNNNNNNNNNNNNNNNNNNNNNNNNNNNNNNNNNNNNNNNNNNNNNNNNNNNNNNNNNNNNNNNNNNNNNNNNNNNNNNNNNNNNNNNNNNNNNNNNNNNNNNNNNNNNNNNNNNNNNNNNNNNNNNNNNNNNNNNNNNNNNNNNNNNNNNNNNNNNNNNNNNNNNNNNNNNNNNNNNNNNNNNNNNNNNNNNNNNNNNNNNNNNNNNNNNNNNNNNNNNNNNNNNNNNNNNNNNNNNNNNNNNNNNNNNNNNNNNNNNNNNNNNNNNNNNNNNNNNNNNNNNNNNNNNNNNNNNNNNNNNNNNNNNNNNNNNNNNNNNNNNNNNNNNNNNNNNNNNNNNNNNNNNNNNNNNNNNNNNNNNNNNNNNNNNNNNNNNNNNNNNNNNNNNNNNNNNNNNNNNCAAUAGAAAUGUAACAUUUAUGGCAUGAUCCAUUUAAUAAAGGGUGCGGUUUGUCUAGAGCAUAGGCUCUAAAUAAUCAAAUUAGAGCCUACCUUCAAAUAUCGAGAAAUGUGGUUUCAAUAUUGGAAAUCUUUGUGAUAGCCUUAAAAUAUAUGUUCAUAUUUAUUUAUAUAGUUUAAAGCAUAAAAAAUAGUGUCGAUCUACAGAUCUGAGAAAACUUGAAAAUCUUGAAAAUUGAUGGUCCAAAAAUAUGUUGCAAAAUAUACUAUUUCCAAAACUUGAAAUCUAUUUUUUUUUAUCUUGAUAUCGAGAUGAUCAAUUUGGAGAUAUUUGGGCAUAAAAACAACCUCUUAUGGUGAAAGUUUUGAGGUAGGCUCAAAUUUGAUUGUUUAGAGCCUCGGUUCUAUAUAAACUGUUCCCAUUAAUAAAUGACCCCUAAUAAUAAUAUAGCUAUAGCAAUUAUUGCAAGUGAAACUAAUCGUAAUGGAGAAUGGGCUUGGGGUCGUGUUGGUAGCACCACUUGUGCCUCAACUAAGGUCUGGGCUUCCAUUCUCACCUAACGCAUUAAAAAACCACUAACAAUUUCAAAAAACGGGUAGUGGCUCAUCCCCACUAAAUUACUAAAAACAAAAUGUAACAAAAUGGGUAGGGGCUCGUCAUCCCCACUAAAUUAUUUGUUAUUCUUCUUUUCUUGGUAGCAAAUUUGUUUCUUUUAGGUUUGUAAUUUGCGAAUUGCAUCAAAGUAAAGAAAGAAAAUGUAAAAAAAUAAAAAACCAAAAUUAAAAAAAUAAGCGGUAGAAGGAAUAUUCUUAUACUAUUAUAAGCACUAUUAUAAAUUUUAUUACUUUAUUAAUAAUUUCUAAUAUUGCUUGUAUUUUAUGGAAUUCUUUAUCAGAGAAUAUUUUUAUUUUCUAAUAUUCUACAAUUAUAUUAUUAACCUACAUAAUUUGAAUUUUUUGUUUACUAUUCUUUAGAUUUUUUCUAAUAUAAUUGAAAUUAAUUACUUAUAAGUAAAUAUAUUAAUAUAUUUACUUAUAAAUAAAUAUUAAAUUGGAUCCUUUUUAAAAGAUAUAACAAGUUUGCUUGGUGCACAAUAAAAGUUGAGCAAGAAGGGAAAAAAUUAGUAUGUCUAGGUAGUAAGUUUUUCUAUUUUUCAAUUUAAUUUUUAUAUUUUAUAAACUAACAAAAUAAAAAUAAAAAUAAAAAUAUAAAAAAAUAAAAAUAAGAAAAAAUAGAGAAUUUUUUAUUUUUUUUUAAAAAAAUUGACUCAUAAGUUAUAUGUUUUUAAUUAUAAGACAGUGCUUUGGUGUUGUAUACUAUUGUUUCAAUUAUAUUAUUUCCCUAUAUAAUUUGUAUUUUUGGUUAAAUAUUUCUCUUUUUUCCAUUUUCUUAUGCAAUUCUAGGUUAAUAAUUUGCAUUUUCAGUUAGCAAAUAUAUUGUUUUGUUGAUGCAGAUAUUAAUUAGGAAAUUUUGGAGAAACACAAAUUGGAACACGAAAGGAAAUAGAAAAAAUAUUAGAUUUUCUUCAAUAUAAACGUAGGUCAAGUUUUGCUUUUAAAAAUGUAAUAUGUUUAUGUGGCAAUUCAAAUUUUUUCUAGUUUUCAAUCUAAAUUUUUAUUUAGGAAAUUCAAAAACGAAGAUAGAAAAAUAAAAAAUAAAAAAUAAAAAAUAAAAAUAUAAAAAUAAGGAAAAUAGAGAGGGAAUUCUCUUUUGCAUUUACAAUUUUACUUAUGCGUUGCACUAUAUAAUUUUCAUAAUAUGCUAUUACUUCAAGGGUGCGGUUUGUAUAGAGCGGAGGCUCUAAACAAUCAAAGUAAAGCGCACUUGCAAAUAAUGCCUAGAAAUGUGGUUUCAAUACUGAAAAUUUUUGUGAUAGCCUUAAAAUAUAUUUUCAUCUUUAAUUACAAAAUUUAAAGCUUCAAAAAUAGUAUUGAUCGAUCAGAUCUAUGAAAAUUUAAAAAUGUUGAAAACUAACAGCAAAAAAAUAUUUUACAAGAUGCACUAUUUCCAAAACUUAAGGAUAUUUGGGCAUCAAAGCAACCUCUUAUAGUGAAAUUCUUGAGGUAGGCUCCAAUUUGAUUGUUUAGAAUCUCGGCUCUAUAUUAACUUUUUCCUUGUUUCAAUUGUAUUAUAUCCAAUAUUUGCAAUUUCGGUUAAUUAUUUUUGCAUUUUUUUGCAUUUUUUGGAUACUUGAUUUGCAUUUUGAAGUAUUAAAUAUAUUAGUUUGCUUCUAUAAAUAUUAAUCUAGAAAAUUUGAAGAAAUGAAAAUGCAAAAAAGAAAAGAAACAUAAAAUGGCUUUUCUUUAUUUAUUUAUUAUUUAUUUUUGUUUCCGAUUCCAAUGAAAUUUUAAUGACAACUAUAUUUACAAAAUUUCUUUCGAUUUUCCAAACAAUCAAAUAAUUAAAGUGAUAUUGUUUAUACUUGAAAUUGCGUGUAGGGGACUUCGCCCCCGCUUAUGGUUUUGGGUGCAAACAAAUCGAUGAGUUGAUAGAGUAUGGGUCCCAUCAAAUUACGAUUCGAGGGACAAUCGGGUCCUAAGACCUUAUCCCUCUUGGAUCGCCCACAAAGCCGCCUUCCCUACUAUCUUACCCUUGGAAUUCAAACGAGAGAGCUUUCAAAAGAAGGUUUGAGAUAAAAGGAAGAUUUUAAGAAAAUAAAUUUAACAAGAGAAAAAGGGAAGAAAACCACAAAUAAGCAACUAAACUUAGAAGAUGCAAGUAAAUAGGAGUGACAAAUCUGACUACAAGAUGCAGGAAUAAUAAAAAAUUAAAGAGCAUGGUAACAAUAGAGUGGAUCUAGUCUAAACAUUCAUAACAUAGAAUGAAAGAGAGAGAGAGAGAGAGAGUAUUAUGGUAAUGCCAACACGAUUACGAAGAAGGAAAGAGGCGGGCUCCUCAUCAACGAGGUAGAGAUAUAUGAGUAUGAAAUAUGAAUAAAGAUAAUAAUAUAACAUAAGAAGAGAUAAAGAGAGAGAGAGAGAGAGAGGGAAGAAAGCUAAUACUUGUAAAUAACAUGCAAUGAGAGUAAUAAAACUAAUUAAAAAAAAGAGAUAGAAGGAAAGACUAUAAGAAAGAGUGUUAAGAUGAAUGAGAUAGAGAGAAAUAGGGUGUGAUUCACUAAAAAGGGAAAGAGAAAAAUAGAUGAGUGCAAAUUACUAAUAAGAAAUAAAUGCAACAAGAAGAUGAUAAGAGAGACAAAGCUAUUGAACAAAAUAUAAGGGAAAAGAUAAAGUAAGUAUGAAAGAAAGUAGGGAAUGAGAGGGAUGGAGAUGAUGAGAUUUAAACUACAUAAUAAGAGGAAAGAGAAGAGAUUAAAGUAAAUCUCCCUAACUAAGAUGGAAAAAACAUAAUAAAGAAUAACGAACAACCACCAUAUAGAGAAGACGAGAGAUGGGAUAGAUAUACAUUAUUAAAUGAGUAAGAGGGGGAAAGAGAACCAUACAACAGAUUAAAAGAAAUAAAUAUAGCAAGAAAAGAGAGAGCCUAUACUAUCAAAUAGAGAAAACUAGGAGGACCCAUCAAUGUAACAACCUAAGAGAAUGGAUGUUCAUGAAAGAUGAAGAAAAUAAAUCUACGCGAAUGGAUGUUCAUGAAAGAUGAAGAAAAUAAAUCUACGCUAAAGAAAAUGAUAGAAAAGGCAUAUCUACAUCAUAAAAAUAAAUAAAAUGAGAAAAAUGAAUAACCACAACAAACCCAAUCAAGGGAUAAAUAUUACUAAGAAGAAAAGGGAGACUUCUUAAUGAAGAGAAUGAGAGAUAAGGGGUUUAGUGAAAAGAGAAUGUUUAUACCACUAAAUAUUGAAGCAAAGAAGAGUAAUAAAUUCCAUAAAACAAAAGAACUAAUAUAAGGUAAAAUGAUCAUGCAAAAAAGGGAAAAAAGAGGAUUAAAUAUAACUAACUAUGUAUAUUAAAUACUACAUUAAAUGAGAAAGUAGAUAGAAUCAGUGUUUUAAAAAUCGGCGACCCGAUCCUGGAUCGGACGAUCUAAAUCGGAUAUGUCCAAUUCGUUCCUGAUCCAACGGAAAAAUAGGAUUGGCCGAUUCUCGGCAUUAAACCGAGUGAUGACAUCACGAGUCUCCUGCUUACCUCAUAGACUACCACGUGCAUACUUUUGUUAGAUUUUUUUUCAAAAAUUACAAGCACGUCAUUUAUUGCUGGGAAAGUACAAUUGACCCAGCCUUCAUCCACAAACCACGUGGCACGUCUCAUUUGCAACAUUGUUUCUCAGCGCGCUUUGCAUGUGACAACCAACCGUGCAAGCCCAAAGGCUUUUAUUAAGCCUUGCUCUUCUUAAAUUCUAAAUUCUUAAUGUGGGACUUGCUCCAUCGGCUGUUGUAUAAUAACGUGUAGUUUUCACCAGGUGCUUCAAGCGUACCCCAUCGCUUGGCAAUGCAAGCGUAGUGUUCACCAGGUUCACUAGGUGCUCCAAGCGUAUAAUAAACAUUGUGCUGUUGUAUAAUAACGCGUAGUCCAUCCUUUAGCGCUCCAAGCAUCUUUCAAAAUAACGUGUAGUUUUCAUCAGGUGUUGUUGUGUAAUUAUAAAUAUUUUUAAUACUAUAAAUUAAGAAAUUUUAUUUAAUGAUUUAAUAAUUUUUUUUUUUUUUAUAAUGUACAAAAAAUAAAAGUAGAUAUAGUUGAGUUUUAAUUGCAUAUAAUUACAUAAAGAAAUUCUAUUUAAUUCUUUACAAAAAUUAGUAUAAUUAUAUUGAAAGUCGUAUUGUUUAUUUAUCUUAAUAACUUGUUAAACUUAUGUCAGUCUAAUCAUAUAAAUAUGAUCACAUUAAAAUUUAUAGGGAAUUUUAUUUUGUUUUUUAUCAUAUGAUAUGGAAGCAUUUUUUAAUAAUUUUUAAUCAUGUUUAUUAUUAUAUUAUAAUUAACAAUUAUACAUUGAUAACCAAAUCUUGUAUUUUAUUUAUUAAUUUAUUUAUAUUAUAAAUUUUUUAAUAUAUUAUUUUUUCUUACAAUUGUAAAUAAUAUUUUUUAAAUUAGAUGAUAUUAUAAGAUAUUUUUUAUUUUUUAUUUAUUUAAUAAAAUAAUUAUAAAAUAUAAAGUUAUAAACCAACAACUUCAAUUUCAAUAUAUACUAUUAUACUUAGUUAGGUUGUAAUAAUUUUGGAUGAGUAAAACAAAAUAAUAAAUGUUUGAUAUUUGGAUGUGAUACUAAUUUCACUUUAUGUGAAUAGUAAAAUGAUGAGAAAAUUAUAAAAUACAAACCAAUUCAAUACAAACCAGUAAAAUGAUGAUAAAUUACAAACCAAUAGGGAAAAAAGGGAAAAGCAUAUACAAAAUGGCUAAACGAGAAAUAAAUGCAAGAAUAAGAAAAGAGAAGUUAAAUCAUGAAAUAAAGAAAGGAAAGAAGAAAGCCAUAACUAUAAAAGUAAAUGCUAGAGAAAUCAACAAAAGGAGAAAGAAAUAACAUUUAGGUCGGGCCUCCAAGCUCGACCCCUAGAGUAGGUUGCGAUUCGGAUCGUAUGAUUGUAUAGUUAAUCCCGAACUUUCUCUGUUCUUAAUAGGCAAAUAGAAAGAGAAAGAAGAGGGAUCGGAAUAUCAGAUUAUCCGGACUGCCUCCGGCUUAUAACGUAGUGUGAAGGAGUUUGUAAUUGUAGUUUUGUAUUGAAGGGUUUGGAUGGAAUGAAGAUUGCUCAAGUGGGCUCACCUUGGGGCUUCUCUCUUAAGCUCAAGUUCAAGCUUAAGAUCAAGAGGUUUUUAGUUAUAAUCUAGGCUCAAGAUUAAGGGAACUCAAACCUUAAGCCUAAGGUAAAAAGGUUAUUUAUAGGCAAAAUGGACCUAUGACAGCCUAUAGGUGGGUUUUGUGUAAUUUUUUGGUCAUCAGAACUCUGACGACACUUGGAUUGGCGCUAGUUGGAAUGGCGUCAUGUCAUUAAUGCUGCAAUAAUGACGUUCAACAAAUAUUAAUUACUCAUUAAUUCGGCUUUCAUACGACCUGUCAGAAUCUGCUGCCAUUGGCAAUGGUGCCAACGGAAUUCUGACCGCCUUCAAAUUCUGUUGUGGACAUGUGUAGCAUUCUGGUGACUCUGAUCUGGUUCAGAUGGACCAAUCACAGCUUCAAGCUAUUCCAACUGGAGCCAGCGACAUUUGUACUACCGCCAUAUACUAGCUGGCACACUGUUUUGGUUGAACCUUCGUCUAAUCAUCAACUAAUGAAAUUUUGAAAACCUUGAGCCGUACUGACACCUGACAUGUCAUACGGGCCUGCCAUGUCACCGCGUGCAGACUGACAUGUUAGCCCGUCAUCUCAGUCAUGUCAGCCAGACUGUUUUCCCUCCUGGUGGAGGUCUCGAGACCUGGCGCUAUUUGAAAUGGUGCUGGCAGCAUUGGCACUGCCACCAGGCUUCUAAUCAUUGUAGCACGAAAAGGGAGUACUGAGGCUUGGCGCUAUUUGGACUGGCACUGGUGUCAAUGGGAAUGGUGCAAGGCUUCUGGUCUGUAGGGUUGCCCGUGUGAUGACUAGGAUGCCUUCGGUAUCCCGCCGUUGGACUUUUGGUAGGGAUUUGGUCUCUGUUUAGUUAUCAGAGCCUUUCCUUUCUAAAAUGCAUCAUGGUCAGGUCGUUCUGAGUCUAUCUCACCUCGUUCGCCUCUUGACGUCUUUGAUCCCACUUGGAAUAAUAAGGGAUUGGUGGAGGCUAGGUUUACAGAAAGGGGUUCCAGCAGGGUGAAUGGUUUAAAAUAUCCACGUAGUCUGCUUGGGAUAUUUCAACUUAUUUAUAAGUUCUCUAGUCAAGAUCGGGGUGCCUACAAAUAUAUUAAGAAAAGUAGAAAUAGUGAUCCAAAAAAUUUAUUGUUGAAGCCAUUGCAUUAUAUUUAUUUAUUAACAAUUUAUAUGAAAAUUAUUGGAAGGCAAUUGCAAACUAAAAGAAAUACUUAGAAACUCACCUCUAGUUGCCGGCAUAACUUAGAGCACUGGAUAAAUUAAAGCAUUACCUUGCGUACCUAAAGAAAACUUAGUGAUUUAGUACGUUAUCGUUUGGUCUUAUUAGGAAAAGCAUUGGAUAGCGCAUUACCUUGCCUACCUAAAGAAAACUUGAGUGAUUUAAUACGUUACUGUUAUGGUCCUAUUAGGAACAACAUUAGGUUGUUAUGGUUUGGCAUGAGAGAGAGGGAGAGAGAGAUACACAUCAGGAUCAGACCAAUCAUUGAUCCGGUGUAGGAUAUGGUCAAGUGCAACGGGUUUGACUGGAUUAUAAAAAUACUAAAAAAAACGUCAAUAGUGGUUCAAUAGUGUGCAAUAUAUUAAAAAAAAAGGCAGACUGGUGGACACCACUGUUCGUACAGGCCAAAAGGCCCAAAAGGCAUCAAGCACUUUUUUAAGCUAUUUUUUUUCUAAAAUUUAAUGCUUUCGACCAGACUAGCCAAAAGACCUAAAAAUAAAAAGAUAACAUGAGAAGGCAUGCAUGUGUGUGAGAGAGAAUAGAAAUGAAAGCAUUAUGGAAAGAUGAACCUCUUUUUAACGCCACGAGAGUGGGGGUGAUUGUUCUAAUAAUGGUAAUAAAUAUCUAUGAGAAUAAGAAAAGGAGAGAUAAUAUAAGAGAAUUGGAAAGUCACCACCAUAAGAAGACCAACGUAAGAAGAGAGAAUGAACCCCUUAAAAACACCACCUAGUCUUAGGGAAAAUAUAGCCGUACACUCUAAUUUGUUUUACUAUUUUUUCACAAGAGACCGAGGGUUUUAAAAAUUUUCAUGCCGCCUAAGGAGUCCAAAUAAUAUAUCUUGUAACCCUUGGAACCUAUUCAACCUUUUUUACGGCACAUUUUUAGCUCAAAAAAAAUUUAAAAUGGCACAUCUAUCUAUUUCUUUUCCUUAUCUCCAAACAUGUCUCUAUAACGUCUUUGCCUCUUGUAAACAUCUCUCCUAAAUAGUUGGGUUGUACAUGCAAUUGCAAAAUAUUGCCCAUAAAACUUUAUCUCAUAACAUCAAAGAUUGGAAGAUGAUAAUAUAAUAUAUUUAGGAGAGAGGGGUUUAAGAGAGAGCAGUUUAGAUGGAAGUGAAAGAAAUAAAAAAUGUGUCAUUUGAAAUUUUGUUGGAUAAAAAAUGUGCGGUCAAAAGGGAUUAUUAUGGUACAAGGAGUUAAAAGAUAUAUUAUUUUGAAUAUCCAUGCAACCAUAAACUUUUAUGGUACCCAAAAUGGGGAGUACAAAGAUAUUUUUUCUAUUAUUUAAUUUAGAGGAAAUGAAGGAGGGAGAAAAAAUGAGAGUGCGAGCAUGUGAAAGAGCGCUGGAGAGAGAACAAAAUUGAGAGAAUUAUGAAAAGAUGAGCCCAUUUUUUAUUUUUUAUUUCCAUAAAUAGUGAUAAACAUAGUUACCAAAAGUUUUGUUAGCAAGCCUCCAUUUAAAACACAAUUUUUUUCAAAAAAUCACGUUUUUGUAAUGGAAACUAUGUAAAUCGGACAGGCUAAAACAAGUCCAAUACUGGCUUUGUUUUUCACCAAAUUUGGUUUUUACUCUGGCAAAACUGACCAGGGUACAAGUCAACGGUUUGAUCAGUCAGACCACAAGUCUGGAAUUUACAUAGUUUAAGGGUGCGGUUUGUAUGGAGGCUUAAAAUUCUUAAACUAUGGAAACAAACACAUACUUGUCUGAAUGGAAACAAGUAAUGGAUGUAUAGCUUAAAAUUUUGAAUGUCUAUUCUAUAAGGGUGCGGUUUGUAUAGAGUCUAGGCUCUAAAUAAUCAACUUAAAGGCUACCUUCAAAUAGAAUCAAGAAAAGUGGCUUCAAUACUGGAAAUCUUUGUGAUAGCCUUAAAAUAUAUUUUAAUUUUAAUUUAUAAAGUUUAAAGCUUCAAAAAUAGUGUAGAUCGACAUUUAUAAAAACAUAAAAAUCUUGAAAUUUUACGGUCUAAUAAUGCAUUACAAAAUAUACUAUUUCCAAAACCUGAAAUCCAUUUGCUUCUCAUGUGCUUGCAUCUUGAGGUCGAGAUGAUCAUUUUGAGGAUAUUUGAGCAUCAAAAUAACGUUAUCUAGUAAAAUUUUUGAGGUAGGCUCUAAUUUGAUUAUUUCGAGCCUCGGCUCUAUAUAAACUUUUCCCAUUCUAUAAACAUAGGAAAAAACUCAAUAAAUAUUAUAGAAAUUACAAAAUAUAAAUUGACCAAAAUAUCCCAUAAUAUUACAGGGGUAUUUUGAUCUAUUUAUUUUUGUAAAAUAAGUUUUUCAAUAUUUUUAUUAUUAGGGAUUGAUGAGAAGAGUGAAUUCUCCAAAUUUUAAAUGAUUUGAAUUUGUAAAAAAAAUAUUAAAUUUAAAUAACAAUGACAAUCAUGAGUGUUGGGUUUACACUAUUCUAUCAACUAGUGGGCUGACCGGAUCUUUUUUUCAAAAAAAUAUUAUUUUUUACCAGUUGAGAGAGAAAGAUUAUGGAUAAAUAAAGAGGAUAUGGAUAAAAUUGUGAAGGGACAAACAAAUAAGAAGGGAAAAAAUGAUCUCUUAAGGAUAAAGGUCAAAAUAAUAAAAAGGGGCAUCGUCUUCCUCAAUAUAUAAAAUCGAUAUGUAAUUGAUGGACAGUUAGAUUUAUGAAUAAGGAAACUCACACGAUGAGUUAUUUCUUAAAAUUGUAUUUAGGGCUGACAAUUUAUCCGAUUUGAUUCAAAACCCAAAUUGCGGAUCCAAUUCGGAAUAGUAAUUCGGAUCGGUUUCAAUUUGAAAUAAAAAUUCGGAUCCUAUAUGAUUUGGAAUAGUAAUUUGGACGGGAUUCGAUUCGGAAUAGUAAUUCGAAUCUAAAAUAUCGGAUCCAGAUUUGGACCCAACAGGUUGGAUCUAGAUCCAAAUCUUGGAUUUGAAUAGUAAUUCGGAUCGAAUUCGGGUACAAUGGAUCCAAUCUAGAUCGGGCCUGGUUAUUGAAAUACUAUGUGUUAUUUUGUAUAGGGUGCGGUUUGUAUAGAGCCUAUGCUCUAAAUAAUCAAAUUAGAGCCUAUCUUCAAAUAGUGUCGAUAAAUGUGGUUUCAAUAUUAGAUAUCUUUGUGAUAGCCUUAAAAAAUAUAUUUUCAUCUUUAUUUAUAAAGUUUAACUCUUCAAAAAUCAUGAAAAUUGACAGUCAGAAAAUGCGUCACAAAAUACCAUAUUUCCAAAACUUAAAAUCUAGUUUUUUCUUAUGUACAUGCAUCUUGAUGUCGAGAUGAUCAAUUUGACGAUAUAUAGGCAUCAAAACAACCUCUUCUAGUAAAAUUUGUGAGAUAGGCUUUAAUUUGAUUGCUCAGAGCCUCAACUCUAUAUCAACUUUUCUCUUUCGUAUAAAUACCUAAAUAUUUACUACAUAGCAUUCUUAAAUAUAUAUUCUACAGAAUUUUUUUCUAUAUAUUAUUUUAUAGAUAUAAAAUAAUAUUUAAUAUAAUUUUUCUGGAUAUGAUCCCAUGUAUACUUUUUGGAUCCGAAUUUGGAUCUGAUUGGGUCUGUGUACAGAUCUAGAUCCCAUGUAUACUUUUUGGAUUCAAAUCUGGAUCCCAGUUGAUCCAGACCCAAUCCGACCAAUUUUCAGCCCUAAUUAAAUUAGGAAAAAGUUUAUAUAAGGUUGCAACCUUAAAAUGUAGAACUACGGAUGCACCUCAAAAAUCCAUCGGAAAAGGUUAUUUUAAUGUUGAAAAACCCUGUGAUUGAUCAUCUUGAUAUCUAGAUAGAAACCUAAAUCGUUGCUGGGGGGAAAUAAAUGGAUUCGAGAUCUUAAUAAUAUAUUAUUUAAUAUUUUUCAGUCUUGUUGCCAUAAUCCACUGAGAUUCAGCUCUAUGUUACCACGAUUUGUUAAAAUGUUAAAAAAAAAAAAAAAACAUUAUUGUAGUUUAUGCUUGUUUAGUUAAGUUUUAUGCCGACCAUAACAUUUUUAUGCUUGUUUUGAACUGCAAGAUCAUGGAUCUAAAGCAAAAAAGCAUAUAGACUUGGGAUGUGUUCUUUACCUUCGAGAAAUUUUAUUAUGGAUCUUGUGUCUAGUCAAUGACACAUCUCCAACCGCCCGAUUUCAUAUUUAGCGACCUUGUGCAUAGUCACGUGGGUUCACACUUUUUAACGAUGGCAGACACGCAAUAACUGCAAUUGAAUACAUAAAAGUAUAAUGACCAUUUGUGUGUGAUCCGACAUAAAAAAGGAGUAGUGGAUUUAAAAGAGGAAUUUAUGACGAGAUAACGGCUUAAAGAAAUUUUCAAAGAGAAAUUGAAAUAAAUAAAAUAUAGUUCAAACCAUAAUUAUCAAGACCGAACCAUACUGGUAGUCCGACCAAUAGAGCCCUAUUUCCUUGACCAUAGAAGAUUAGAAACAUUCAACAGGAAAUUGGACUUGUCUCUAAAGUAAACAAUAGAAGGAGACUGAGAAAAAUAUCAACUUGGGGACCCAAGUCCUAUUGUAUAAUGAGUUUGGAGUGGCGAAGAUUUAGUUGAGAACUCAAAAGGUGUACAAGGAAACUAUUUACUUUCGAUAUAUCACUUUUAUCCCUCGAAUCUCAAAUAAGGUGAUGGAAAGAGUGCUAUCGACUAGACUCGAAGCUAAAAAAAGGUUUCUGGCUCUCAAGCUAUCCAAUUUCUUUUAGUGAGUGAAAGUGAUAAGUCAUAAGGGAUUUGGGCCUUAUCUUUUUGGUGAGAAUGGACUCAAAGAACUCAUCAUUGAACUUAACAAUACUAUUAAACUUAAGGUGCAGUUAACACGCAGAUGCAUCCGUAGCUGUAGAGGUAAGGUGCACUUUCAAAUUUUAUCAUGGUAUAUAAUUUUGAUGUAAAAUGUUCUUAGGAUUAUCUCAAAAUCUAUUUUUGUAUCUAAUUAUAAAAUUUUAAAUUUAAAAAAUGAUUAAAAUCAAGUACAUUUAUAAACAUAUGAAAAUCUUAAAAUGGACGGUGCAGAUAAUAUGUUGUAAAAUGCACUAUUUUUGAGACUUAAAAUCUUUUUAUUUUUCAUGGUCAUACAUCUCGAUGUCGAGAUGAUCAAUCAAAGGCCCUUUCAACAUUAAAACUACAAUUUCCAAUGGAUUUUUGAGGGGUAUCCGUAGUUCUACAAUAUAAGGUUACAACCUUAUAUAAACUUUUUCCUUAAACUUAUCAAAAGAACUUUUAAGAGAUUGUAUACUAUCUAUCAAUGUUAAAAAGGAGGGUAUGGUUUCUAUAAGGUUGCAACUAUAAACAAUUCAAUUUAGACACACCUCCAAUUUGUAUCAUAAAAUGUAAUUUUGGUGAAAAAAAUUAUUAAGAUUAUCUCAAAAUCUAUUUUUAUAUCUAAUUAUAAAACUUUAAACUCAACAAAUGGUUAAAAUCAAGUAGAUCUAUAAACAUAUGAAAAUCUUGAAAACGGACCGUCUAGAUAAUGUAUUGCAAGAUGCACUAUUUUUGGGACUUAAAAUCUCUUUUGUUUUCAUAUUCAUACAUCUCAAUGUCGAGAUGAUUAAUUAGAGGGUUUUUUUAACAUUAAACAACCUUUUUAGAUUGAUUUUCAAGGUGCGUAUGUAAUUCUACAUUUUAAGGUUGCAACCUUGUAUAAACUUCUUCCAUGUUAAAAAGGAAAAAUUACAUACAUAUCCGUUAUACUUUGUGUUAUUACAUAUAUACCAAAUAUUUUAUGUUAUUACAUGUAUGUUCAUUUAAAAAAUACGACUUUAUCUUUUUUCGGAUGUUGAUUAACCGAAUUUGAAAGUUUUUUAGAUGUUCAAUAUUCGAAAAUAUCACAUUUUCGGAUAUUCAACAUCCGAAAAUGUGAUUGCAUAAUGUUUUUGGAAUUUUGCAGUCACAUUUUCGGAUGUUGACCAUCCGAAAAUAUAACAUUUUCUGAUGUGGAACAUCUAAAAAUGGUUUCGGAUGUUGGAUAUCCAAAAAUAUCAUAUUUUCGGAUGUUCAUCAUCUGAAAAUAACUGUAAAUUUCUAGAGACCUCUAAUAUUUCGACGUAUUUUCAAAUGUUGAACAUCCGAAAAACCCUCCAAUUCGAUUGUUCAAUAUCUGAAAAAGAAUAAAGUAAUCUUUUUUUAAAAAAAAUAUUUUAAAAAGUAAAAAACGAUUCAUGUAAAGUAUAAUAGGUAUUUAUAUAAUUUUUAUAAAAAAUAAAUUGUAAAUAGAAUUCAUUUGCCACACGCUGCGCUAGAUUCCUUUUAAAAAUAGCCCCACAUGUUAUCUAUAAGAUAAGGUUACGUGUCUAUAUUCUAUUAGCGUACAAACAUUAAUGAUUAGGACAGCGCGGAUAAUGGCUGAACUUUACCCAGCACACACUUUUGGCUGCUAGCCGCUCCAGUGUCAUUGUUUCUUGAGAGGCUCAACUAUUGCUUCAGAAUGGACCCACUUCUCCAUUAUUUGUAUUUCUCGACAAAAAAAAGUGACAGUUUACAAGAUAUGUAAUGUGAUAGCGAACUCUCGCACAAAAGAUUUCAUGCAAGAGGAAAUGGGCAUGUCAAUCGGUGGGCUCCAUUAUUGUCAUCCACCCCCCAUACAAUCCCUGACCGCAUUCGACCAUUAUUGUCAUCCACCCCCGAUACAAUCCAUGUCCUGAUUCGAUUUGGUCUCUGCUUUCGAUGUGUAUAUCAAAUGAAGGCCAAGCAAUGGAAUCCCAAUCGAUCGCUGGACGGAGAGAGUGGUCUCUUAUUUUUUUUUGUUAAAGUAUUAGAAAAUAUUUUUUUAAAAAUAUUAGAAAAUAGUUUUUAAAAAUAUUAGAAAACAUUUUUUUAAAAUAUUUGAAAACAUUUUUUUAAAAUAUUUGAAAACAUUUUUUUUAAAAUAUUAAAAAAUAUCUUUUAAAAAUAUUACAAAAUAUUUUUAGAAAAUAUUUUUUGUUAAAAUAUUAGAAAACAUUGAGUGGUCUCUUAUUUUUUGGUAUGGUUUCUAUAUGGUUGCAACUUUAAACAAUCCAAUUAAGGUGCAUCCCUAAAAUUUAUCACAACAUGUAAUUUUGGUGUAACAAUUAUUAGGAUUAUCUGAAAAUCUAUUUUCAUAUCUAAUUAUAAAAUUUUAAACUCCAAAAAUAGUUAAAAUCAAGUAGAUUUAUGAACAUAUGAAAAUAUUGAAAAUAAAUGGUCUAGAUAAUGUGUUGCAAGAUGCACUAUUUCCAGGACUCAAAAUCUUUUUUUUUUUUGGUCAUAUUCAUACAUCUCUAUACCGAGAUGAUCAACUAGAGGGUUUUUCAAUGUUAAAGCAACCUUCUCAAAUGGAUUUUUGAGGUGCAUCUGUAUUUUAAGGUUGCAAUCUUAUAUAAACUUUUUCCCUUAUUUUUAUUGUAAUUUAACAAUAGGCCCUUCUUAGAAUUUUAUUUCAGGCAACAAAUAAAUCUUUGGAAAAAAUUAUUAUCAAAUCCCCUCACUCCUCUAUCCCUUUUCCUUUUCACCUUAUCUUUCUAUUAGAAUUGCCAUCACUAAUUUCUUUAUAGGAAAGAGUAAAGGGAUUGUAUAUAAUGAGACCAUUUACUCACAAUUUCUUAUAACCAUCUGAUGUGAAAUAUGAUAAUUUGAAUGUGAUACAAACUUCAAGAAAAAAUCUUUUAAAGUUUGAGCUUAGUCAAUAGAAUAAAUGUAACAAUUCAAUUUUAUAUCCAAUAGUCAAUAUUACUUAUGACCCACCCAUACCCCUUGGGUGAGAAUUGCCACAACGAAAGAUAGAGAGGAGAGAGAAGGUCCACAUGAGAGACUGGUGAAGCGUUAGCUGAGAAGUAUAAAAGAGGGAGGAGAAGAAAAAAUACUUAUUCCUUAUAAUGAAAUUAUUAAGGGUGCGGUUUGUAAUUUGGUUCAAAUAGGUACACAGACAUAAAACUGAAAAAGCUGAGGGUUGAACCUCAAAUGUCAUUUUAUGUACAAGAACAAUACUAAAAUUUAGCCAAAGAUAAGGCUUGGAGAAAUGACCCAAAAAAAGAGACUUUUGUUCAAAUGGGUCUACUGCCUGUGAAACUGAAACAGUUUUCAGCUAAGGGUUGAACCUCUCUACCCCCCCCCCCUCCCCUGCCUUUCAAAAUAUUGGAUCUGCAUGCAAAAAUUAGCCAAAUUUGUAGUGUUUUGGUUUGGAUACAAUAUUCGGGAAGCAUUGCCGAUAUUGUUUCUUAUAAUAAAUAAAAGAACUCGAAAAAAGCAUUUCAUUGCUAGUGUAGGUACAACACAACACACUCCAAUCCUAAGAGUGAUCCAUCUUAGUAUUGUUCUUGUACAUGAAAGCUUAAUUUUGGGGUAAGCUAAAUAUUUUUGGAAGAAUUUAAAUCCUUCUUACAGAGUGAGUGUGGUGGCGCAUGUGCUUCCCCAUGAGAUCCAAAACUCUUCUUGCACAUGCAUGCUUAAGUUUACAAUUUCAGAGAAAGAGAGAGCCCUUUUGGUUGAUGAAUACUGAAAAUUGCUCAUACUAAUAUUUAACCACUUUCCAUGUUGCAGAUUGAUUACAUUAUAGGCAAGAACCCGCGAAAGAUGAGCUAUACUGUGGGUUUCGGAAACGACAACCCAAAACAUGUGCGCCAUAGAGCAGCUUCAAUCCCUAAGAACAAGAACAAGUACUCUUGCAAGGGUGGGGCGAAAUGGGGAGGGACACGCCCAAGCCUAACCCAAACACACUUGUGGGGGCAAUGGUGGCAGGACCCAACAAGCACGAUGGUUUCAAAGAAGUAAGAGGAAACUACAAUUACACCGAGCCCAUUCUCGCUGGUAAUACUGCCUUGGUGGUUGCUUUGUUUGCUCUCUCCGGUGAGUCACAUUCCAUCGACAAGAAUACAAUCUUCUUUGCGGUGCCACCGAUGUUCCCUACUCCCUCGCCACCUCCGGCUCCUUGGAAACCUUGCGACAGAGACAGAGAGAGAGAUAUAGAGGGAGAGAGCCACCACAAUCCUUUUUAGGAUGGUGGUGUUUAUUUGUUCUUAAGCUAGAAAGAGAGGGGGACUAGAAAAUGAGGAGAGGUUACAUGGGGUCUCUGAUGUUGGGGGUUUGCUUGUUCUUAAUCUUUAUUGCGUUCAUAGUUUGUAGGUACAAUAUUCUUGAUUUUUUCUCACUCUUUAUGAGCUCAAUGUGACAUAUAGAGUUAUAUUGUGUCUUUGCAACUAGUUUUUGACUCCCCAAAGAGGGAUGCUAAUGAUAAAAGCAUUAUGAAAUUUGUGCUCCUCCUUUUGUGUAUCUGGUUUCAAUAUUUGCGAACUCUUUUUAAGUCAUGGGACUCUCAUUUGAGCAAGAUUUCUAUAAAGGUCCAAAAAAGAUGCAUAAACUAGAAGAUAUUAGACUUGAUUUGAUUUGUAUGCCAUUCCAAAGCAGAGCAUUUGGAGUCUUUCAUCACCUUGAUUUUUAUAAGAUACUUGUGAUCUUGUGCAGUUUUGGCCACUUCAAAAACUACCCAAAACAUAUUUUGUGGUUGUUUUACUAUUGCCAGCAGUGACUGCUUGAGAUGCACAAGUGCGCUAUACAUUGGGUAGAAAAUCUACUUGUUAGUAUUUGUUUGAUCUAAAAUUUUAGGAUCCGAUACGGAAUCACUAGAAUGUUCUUUGCAAAAAUAACUGGACAUUAUAAGCACUUAGAUUUCACUGUCCAAAUACGUUCUCAGCAAUGAAAACUGGACAUUAUAAGCACUUAGAUUUCACUGUCCAAAUACGGGUUGAAUUCCAUUCGAUCUUGGGACAUUAUAUUUUUAGGCACUUAACAAAAUGCUUGUGAAUUCUUUUUUUUUUUUUUUUUUUUCUUGAUGAGGAUGGUAGUCUUGAUCAAAAGGAGGAUCCAAGCAUCCCACCUUUGAGGGAUAUGUGGAUGAUCUCAAUGAAAUGAGCAUGGAAAUUUGCUGAAAAAUGCAUCAAAAACUCCUUGCUCAUUUUAGCUAGAGAAAUUCAUGUAGCUUGGGCUUAUAGUUUAGCAUCCAAGAGCAGGAAAAAGUAUAUAUAAGGUGCCAACUUUAUAUUGUAGAAGUAAGGCGCGCUUGAAAAAUCUAUCUGAAAGGAUGUUCAGAUAUCAAAACCCUAUAGUUAAUCAUCUUGGCCUUGAGAAUGUACAUUUAACAAAUUGAAAGACUCACAAUUAGCGAGACAGGCUCUAGUGAUAAUAUAUAGCAUUUGAUAACAAUUUAAAAUACAUUCUACUCAUCUACAAACCUUUCAAGAAAUAGGUUGACAAAUUAUUGCCAUAGUGAUAAUACAUUGCAUUUGAUAACUUUAAUAUUACAUACAAUUCAUCAACUACCUACCAAAUUGGGUAGUCCAUUCAAUAACAAAAUUGUUCAUAUAAAGUUUAGUAGUCCUGCCCAUUAUCAAAUAAUGGUUCGUUCCUUGUAUCCAAUCACCUUACAUAUCACCUAACAACCCAAAAAGAAGUGAAAUGAGUACAAUGGUAUACAACCUAUAUCUUUGUUUUGAGCGAAUGACAUAAAACCUACAUCAAUAAUGCCAAUAGUUUAACAACAAAAUUUUCAAAAAAAAGAAGAAGAAAAGCAACAUAGCCCCUCCUUUGGAGUUGUUCCAUAUGAAUUUGUCCUCUCUGCCUGAGACAUAAAACACAUUUUGAUGAGUGACAAUAGUGUUCCAAAUGAAAUUACAAAUAUGAACUUACACGCAUAUACAAAUGUUUCAAAAUGAACUUGCACACAUGACUUUUAAACAAUUUCUUCUUACCAUCAACUCACAUUUGCUGCUUUCUUAAGGGUCCGAAGCUUAUGAUGUGUUUUGUCCAUAGCGCUGUAAGAGGAAGAUAAAAUUGUAACAAAUAGAUAUUACAUACUUGUGAUAUAAACUCAAUGCAACAGGGGCGAAAAAACCCAAUGGCCAAAAACAAAACUACAACAAAAAAGUAAAAAGGGAAAGAAAAUGGGAGAAAAAGACAAUUGAAAAAAUAAAUAAAUGUUUGCAAUAGAUGUAUUCUAAUUUCCAAGAGUAAGUGAUUCAUUAUAUGGUACAUCAGAUGCCACAUGAAGAUAUUGAACAGAAAUAAGAAACUCAAUUUAUUUCAAUUUUAAUAAUACCAAUCAUGCAUUCAGCAGGCCACAAGUAACAUUUUAACUUGUAAUUUUAUAGCGUGCACUAGCAGCAUGCAUUCAUCAUGCCGCAAGUGACAUUUUCCGCAAUUGUAGUUCGAUACAAAUUUAAACAUCAACCAUCUUGGCCUAAAAAAGGAUUACUGAUGGUAAUUAAAAAUAUUAUACAAGUAUCCUGAUACUCAUUCCCCUUCAAUGGAAUCCAUUUUUGUUUCCAUUGUUACUAUGAAAGAAUUGGUAAGCCAUUAAACAGUCUUGUCCUUUGUUCCCAAACAAGCACAUUUCUUACAAAAUUCAACCAAUAUUUUAUGCCACAUUCAUAUAAUAUUCAUUUAGGAAAUAAGGUAGCUAUGGACGGGGAAGAGUAUAUACAAAUAGAGAUAAUCUAAACUUUUAUUAAUUUUAUAGUUUAUUUUUCAAAAAAAGAUACUUUUGUGGGGCAAUUUUGUAAAUAUUACUAUACGACAAAAAGUACUUUUUUCAUCUCCAUAAAAGGUAAAAUUGAAAUUUUAACUAAAAGACAAAGGUACUCUACAAAUAAAGUUCCAAGACACCAACUUCCAAAAUGUCAAUGCAUUUUUGUAAAAAUUUUGAAUUUGCCCUUACUUAACCUAUUUAAAUAAUCUUUUUAUAAAAAAAUAAUCAUUGUUUUGGUAAAUAUACCCAUCACAACCCUUUCUAACAUGAACCUUUGUAUUUUGAGGGGUUGUUAUCUCUAGACAAACUCUAUAUAUAAAUAUAUACAUUAUUUUUUAUUUUUAUUUCUUAUCUUAUUUGGGGGAGGGCCCAAAAAUAAUUUCCAAGCCAAGCGGCCGUUUCCAGGCGGGCCAAAAUUUCGGUCAUUUUGUCCGCUCCAACCCAACGUGUUAAUGAAAAAAAGAGCACGAGGGUCUAUAAAGAGGUGAGCAAGAACACGAGGGUCUAUAAAUAGGUGAGCGGGGUUCGCCAUGAAUCAAGAUUCCAAGCAUCAUAGAGUGAAUAGAGUUAGAGAAUGGCUCCCUCUGUUGCUGCAGCUCUAAUUCAACCCGUAGAGGCUCGUCCGUCCAUAGGUAAAAUCAAAUACUUAGAAAAUGUCCCACUAAUCGAUCUAGCUCCACUUCAAAUGCCCCAAAAUUCCUCCAAGGAGGAUGCCAUCGCUAGUAUAGCUAAACAAGUGCACAAUGCCAUGAAAGAGUGGGGCUUCUUUGUAGUAGUUAACCAUUGUCUGUCGCCUGAUCUCUGGUCUAAUCUGAAGAAGGCUAUGGCUGGUUUCUCAGCUUUGCCAUAUGAGGAGAAGAAGAAGGUGGCUAGAGAUCUAAGGAACCCUUGGGGUUACAAUGACAAGGACCACACCAAGAAUGUCCAAGAUUGGGUUGAAGUUUUCGAUUAUAUGUCAACGGAGGAGCUCGAGAUACCGCAGAACAUGGAGCCCGACUGUAAGGAGACCAAAAUUAUGGGGAACUUGUGGCCAGAAAAGCCGGACGAUUUCAAGUAAUAUACUCUCUCACACACACACAUCCAUAUGCUCAUCCUUUCUAUCUCUCUGUUUAAUGUUAGUGAGCACAUCUUCUCUCACUCUCUCUAGGAUUUUCGACUACAUCUUCUCUCUCCCUCUAGGUUGUUCAUGCCUUCUUUUAAGCUAGAACAUCUUAAAAGUGUGCUUGCCUAUUAUGUAUGCUGGAGCACCAAAUUUGAUUUUUUUAAUACACUCAAAUAAGAUCCUCUUUGGGGAAUUUUUUUGAAAAAAAAAAAAAACGAAAAGAAAAAAAAUAAAAGAUGAGAAAUCUCUCACUAAACCCUAUGACUUCUCCCUCUCCCAAAGGAAAAUAUGCCAGGACUUCUCCCAAGAGAGCGUCAAGUUGAUGUAUCAAUUGAUGGAGCUCAUUUCUCUGAGCUUGGGCCUCCCAUCUGAUCGAUUGCAUCGCUAUUUCGAGGAGAACGUGGCCUAUGUUCGCAUAAAUCACUACUCACCGUGCCCACACCCAGAUUUGGCCUUGGGCAAAGGAGCUCACAGAGAUGGAAGUGCAUUCACCCUUUUAACCACUGAUGAGGUUAGUGGAUUCGAGGUUUAUCGAAGGUCAGACGGUCAGUGGCUAAGGCUUAGGCCCAUACCCAACUCUUACAUCAUUGUUGCCGGUGAUGUUCUUCAGGUAUGCAUUAUCAAGUUCGUAGGGCUGGCAAUGGACCGAGCAGACCGGCCUGGCCCUAUAAAAGUAGGGCUUGGGCUAAGAACUAUGGCUCCACGGCUGGCCUAGGGUCAGUAGUGCCUGGCAUGGCCCUCUUGCUUUUCUUUUUUUUCUUCUUUUUUUUGGUUUUUUGGCCCGUCCCAGCCCUAAGAGAGACAGGGUUAGGCGGCUUGGGCCAGCCCAAUGGGGGCAAGGCCGAUCCACAGCCAAAGAUGGCCCACUUGGGCUGCUACUGCCCCUUUUUCUCUCUCUAAAACUACGACCCCACCUUUGCUUCUCCUUUUUUUCUCUCUCUAGAAUGGGUCAGAUCAGGUCUGAAUCUACCGGGAUCUAUUUUCAACUCCAAAAAGUAUACAUGAGAUCUGGAAUAUUUAUAACUUGGUCGAAUUUUGAUUGGAUCCACCAGUACUCGGAUCCGAUCUGAAUACUAUUCAGAUUCAAAUUUUGGACCCGGAUCCAAUCUGUCAGAUCCAAAUUUUGGAUCUAUACAUUGAUCCAGAUCAGAUCAAAAUUCAAGUUUUGGAUUCAAGUUGGUAAAAUCUCAGCCCUACGAGAGAGACAAAGUUAAAGAGAAUUUUGUGAGGGACUUUAGAGAGAGAAGGAGAGGGGGAGAAAGAGUGGGAGAGGACGAGUUAAGAAUAAGGGCGGCAAUGUGCUUGGUGGCCGGCCCAGCCCGGCCUGUUCGUAGUUUUCCCUUGAUUAUUUCUUUUCCCUUUUAGUAUCUUUCUUGAAGUGAUAAUGUUUUUAUGACCUGCACAGGUAUGGAGCAAUGACAUUUAUGAUAGCCUGCUCCAUAGAGUGGUCUUGGACUCUCAAGUUGAGAGGUACUCAGCCAUCCAUGUGGCUGCACCUUCUUACCAUUGCGUAGUGAAGCCAUUAGAGGAGUUGGUUGAUGAAAAUAACCCUGCAAAUUAUGGUGAAUACAAAUGGGGUGAAUUCUUCAUGACAAGGAGGAUCAGCAAUUUCAAGAAGUUGGACAAGCCUGUGAUUGAGGUUACUGACUUUAAAAAGUCCAAAUAAGCCAGUCUCAUUAGCAUAUCCUAAUUAAUUAAGAAAAUGCUAUGAUGAUGAUGAUGAAAUAAGCCACUUUCAUUGUGAGAAAUUAGAAGUUUGUAAUGCUUUGCUCUAUUGCUCUUGGUUCCUUUUUUAUGUUUCUACUAGUAAGUUCUAUCUCUAAUGUUUGUUCGAAAAAGUGAUUUUUGAUCCACAAACUACUAAGGUGUAGCUCUAACGUUUUUCUCUUUCUCUCUCUCUCUCACGUACACAAUGUGCAUCUCUCUCUUCUUUAUCAUAUAGGGUUGCCACUGAUAAGGGCCAGUAAAGCACAAAAACUCAUUUGGCACGGCCUGAAAAUUUGACUUUCUCUAUAACGUCUCUUUCCUGUAUAGAAAAACAUAUUGGGUGAAUGUGGCCAUUAAAGGCCUUAUGAGUAAUUGUAAAAUGAAAUGAUAUCGUGGAACAUGAACUCAGUGGAAAUGUGGUCCCCUGUGGACUAUACUAAGUAAACGAUGUUUACAGAUACCAAACUGUGCUUGACGGUCUAGGUCAGUCGGUUGGGAAAAACCUCUAUUACAUGGGCCUAAAAAAUUAACCGAUAAGAGUUUUAAUGGGUUAUCCCUUAAUGAGUAAGCCAAGGGAUUGUGUGACCCUUGUGUAUGAUGGUGGCCUUCAGAGACGGGGCCAAAGCCUCAUCCAUGUACCAUCACACGGCAUGCAUAAUGAUAUACCGUUUUGGAAAAACAAAUUACCUUUCAAGGUAAAACUUAUACAUGUGCGAGAGAUACCUCUAUGCGCCAUAUAUCUAGGUGACAUUGACACGUCUAUAGGGGAUAACCUGAAAUACAAAGAUAGGAAUUGCGACCUUUUGACUCAUCGAUCAAAUUUUGGUGACCCACCAAUGAGCUUCUGCAUGGACUGUGGACCAUGGGAAACACUGAGUCGAUUGAUAAAGAAAGUAUAGUCUACAAUUGAAGGUGAAAUGCCUCAGAUUAUUUACUCCUAGACCAUAUAGAUCCUUAUCACAUCUAAUGAAUUUAAUUGUGUUUAUUUUAUGAUGAUAUAAUUUUAGAAUUAUUAUUUAAAAUUUUUCUUGAUCUCUGGAUAUUUUAUUUAUAAAAUUUGGAUUUAUAAAAACGGAGAUAUUGAUUUUAAUGUUUUAAAUAUUCAAAUUAAUUCUAAAAUAAUUUAUUGAUUUUUAAAUAUUUAAAAAUAGCACUCGGGGCCAUUGUGGAUAUGGCCCACCGUGACCUAAAUUGGUGGGGGUAACAAAGCCCCCAUGGGUGGCAUGCUCUAAUUUUUGGGGCUUCCUAUUUUGAUGGGGUGACAAGCCUUAUUUUUAGGGGUUUCCUAUCUUAUAUGGGAUAAGUGGUUAAAGAAGAUUUGAGUGAAUCUUUUAAAAAGCUUGAUAAUGCUUGUGCAUAUUUUUGAAUAAAACACAAUAUUAUGAUUAAUAUUAUUUUAUUUGAUUUAUAUUGAUGGGAUAAUGGUCAAAUGAAAGAGGAGGAUAAAGGUUCUUGCACCUUCCAUAAUGUUGGUGAUACUUAAAUCUCUUACCCCAUAAGUCAUCCAAGAUCAAUGGUUCAUAUUCAAUCUCACAAAAAGAUGCAAAAGCCAAGGAAAACUUUAAAAAACCAUAACAUUGUUUAAAGCUUAUAAAAAUGGAUUGUCUCUACCUAACAUCUCUACACCUUAUCGUUUUAUCUCUUUCAUCUUUAAAAUCUCUCCCAUAUUGUGGUGAAAAAGCUGUUAUCUCUCUCCCACAUUGUGAAAAAGCCUAAGGGUUUAAGCUAUGUAGUUCAUCUCUCUCCCAUUUCUCAACUAUGGAUUUAUGGCUAAGCAUCUUAGGGUAUAGCAAAAAGAGAAUCCAUUUCUCUCAAACUAGGUUGCUAAGGGAAUUCACCAAGAGUUGGAGUUUGUAAUCAAAUGGGUUCAUGUUCUAUUGGUGUGACUUGGCCUAAACUUGUUUUCCAUGUUGAGAUUGAAGGUUGAUCAUUGAUCCCGUGCCAUUGGAUGGUGGUGACUCGGUGUGGGUUGUAAUAAGCCCGGUUGAGGAAAUCUCCAGCACUAUUUUUUUGUUUCUUGCUUUAGUUAAUUACAUUAUUUUUAUAUUCCCAAACAUAAGAAUUGUGGAUAUUUUCUUUGGUUAAAAGAAAAUUGGUAUAGUGGUAUCAAGGUUUUUAAGAUGUUGGAUUUGUUAGUUUUAUUUUAUUUGAAGCAAGUGUUAGUGUAAUAAGACUACUUGUAAAUGAUCUUUGCCAAAAGAAAAAGAAAAAGAACAGAAAAGAAAGGGAUGAGAAGAAAAAAACAGAAAAAAUUCACCUCCAAUAUCACAUUCGUCUUUCUUUCAAAAAAUUAUGGAGAGAGAAAUAAAGACGUACAAAGAGGUUUAGUAGACAACUCGGUGUAUCUUUUUAGCUUUUUUUUUGUGGUAAAAACCGAGCCAUCAAAAAGGAUAAAUUGGGUCUACGGGUUAGAAGAUAUGCUUUUCAAAGCACCUACACCACCAAAAAGUUUUUAAAAACCUUGGAUACCUAGGGAAUUUGUAUAACAAAACAAGGUGGACAGAGAUAUUUUCCCAUAAUUCAUCAAGUGUCGUUGGUUGGUCUUAUCCUGACCGUUAAUGUAUUUGUCCCAUGUGUGUGGCGAAGCAUCACUUUCUCUUAUGCCAUAGACUCACAUCUUUAUCUUUUUGUGUAUGUAAAUCAUUCAAAAACCAAAUCAGUACUCAAAAAAUUGAACUGACCUCAUAAACCUGCCAAUAACCAGUUUCGAAUGACCGGUAAACCAACCUGUUUAACCGCCCUUACUGGGCAGGUCCUGGCUAGUCCAAAAACGGUUAAUAAAUAAAAAAGUACAAAAAAUAUUAAAAAAUUUGAAAAGUAUAUUUAAGUAUGGUUAAACAAAGCACAUCCAAAUAAAGUUAAAAAUUAAUGAAAAAUAGAUUUUAAAUAAUUAAUUUGUACUUAGAGAUAUUUUUGAAAUGUUUUACAAAAACUAAUAUUUAUGGCCAAGCACAUUCCUAAUCUUUUCUAAAAUGAUAAAAAGCAGUAAAAAACAUAUUAGAAACAAAUCCCUUAUUUUAUUGGAUUUUAUAUCAAUGUUUCUGAUUUUUCUUAAAAUACCCCGCCGAAUCAUUAAAAGUGGCCGAAACGGCAGUACCUAGUUCCAAUUUGGCUGACCGGUUAUCAAUCGGACGCAUGGGACAAAUAUAACUUCUGCUUUUCACUUAUAUUACAGUAGAGAGAGACAAUGGACCACUAAUAUGGCUGGUGUGUGAGUGCGAUUUAUUAAAGUGGUUAACUUAAACAAUCAAAGUAAGGGGUACCUUUAAACUUUAUUGGAAGAUAAAGUGCCGAAAACUCCUAUAACAGCUAAAAGUUUAUUUUUUUGCCCUUAUAAAAUUUAAAAUUUUAAAAUAGUAGAAAUUGAGCAAAUCUAUAAAUAAUAAGUCUUGAAAUUGGACAAUAUAUAUAAGGAUAGUAUAUCGUCCACGUAUUUUGGACCCUUGAAGGGUGCACAAGCACGCUUGCAAUGGAUCAGAUUGAACCGCAUAUCAUCCAAUGGCCCAAAAAUAGUUUCAAAUUUUAGUUUUUAUUUUGUCUAAAAAUGAUGCAUAUCUAGAAUUUAGUUAUGAAUGUAUUUCUAUACGGAGUACCUAAUAAAAAGAAUGAAAAAUACUUUCAACAAAAAAUUGACCAAAAUAUACUCUAAAAUAAUUUAAGGCAUGUUGAACACUUCACACAUAGAAAUACAUCAAUAUUCUUAAAUAAAAAUAAAAUAUGAAAUAUAAAACUCUAUUAUGACCAUUGGAUGCGGCUAUAUUUAAUCUAAACCAUUAGAAGGGUGCCACCUUUCUACCAUCCACAUUAUGUGGGGGGAGGCUUUCUCACUAAGAGGUUGGGGUGCAAAUCCCCAUUGACUUACCCAUUUUGGGAAGGGCUUGUUGAAUUACCGAAAAUAAUAAUAAUAAUAAUAAUGAUAAUAAUAAUAAUAAUAAUGUUGUGUUGCAAGAUGCAUUGUUUAUAAUAUUUUUAAAAGUUUUUCGAACAUUCACAUUAAGAUAAUGAUUUUCUAGUAUGAAAACAAGAUUUUACUUUCAAAUGAAGUUUUUCCAAAUAAAUGGACGUGGGGUUCGCAGUCUUUUGUAGGCGUUGGUGCAUAUCACCAUGUGUGGAGGACGCAAUUCUCUUAACCAGAUUUGUUGCAAUUGAAAGCGAUUUCAAUAAUGAACUCGAUAGGGAGAGAACCGUACUAGUUUGGUAAGUGACGAAUUUGUGAUCCCUCGCGAUUGGGAAAUGUUGUCCUUAUCCAUGUGGUGGUUAUUAAUUGAUAUAGCAUUAUCACAUAUGGUUAGAAUAACAACAGCUGCCCAUUGAAAAUUAUUGCUUUGUCCUUUAAGGUUUAAUUUAUGAUAGCUACUACAUAUUUUGUUGUGGCAAAAUUUACUAAAAAAAUGAAUGAUGUGGUCCAAAAGUUUCCAUUAUUGAGACUAGCAACCGGACUUUUUA